rnacentral:lncRNA from 1 species
GGAGGUGUUGACAUAUCUUUGUGAUCUUCAGGUCCUUGUCAGGAAAAUAAUUGAAUUGCAUGACAAGUAUAUGGCAUAUGUCAAUGAUUGCUUUAUAAACCACUCACUGUUUCACAAGGUUAGUGUUGUGACAUACUAGUCAGAUACAUAAUUACAUUUACGUUUACACUGUGUGUGAUAUACUUUUCUAUUUGGCUGUUUGAUAGGCUCUAAAAGAAGCUUUUGAGGUAUUCUGUAAUAAAGCGGUUUCUGGGAGUUCAAGUGCUGAGUUACUGGCUGGAUUCUGUGACAAUAUUCUCAAGAAGGGUGGAAGUGAGAAGUUGAGUGAUGAGGCUAUUGAAGAAACACUUGAGAAGGUAUUGUUCUAUAUCUUUUUUCUUGUGAAGAUUUAAUUGAUUGCUGUGAUAAUGUUUCAUUCAUUUAUUUUGUCAUUUAACAUAAAGUUCAUCAUUUCAUCUCUUUUCAGGUUGUUAAGCUGCUUGCUUAUAUCAGUGAUAAAGAUCUUUUUGCAGAAUUCUACAGGUAACCACUGUUUGAGGUUGUAAUAUAUAUGUUUCACAUUGUCAAAAGUUGUAACUGUUGUAAGAAGUUGGUGAUAUAUAUUCAAUCAUGCAGACCUCCAUACUGAAGCUUUCUUGUCCUUUGAUUGUGAAUUAAAAUACACACAUACACCCAUGUAUUUCUAGAUAUCCACAGAAAGAAACUUUUGUAUGUACCCUCUUAUUAUACACAUUGAAAUGCAGCUUUCUUGUUGUUUGAUCAUGAAUUAACACACAUACACCCAUGUUUUCCUAUAAUUCACAUAAAGAGACUAUGGUACGUGCCCACUUUUUACACAUUGAAAUGCUUUUAUACCAACUGCUAUAACGCUUCAUGAUACAUACUUUAAUACAUCAUAUAUGUUAUGUAUUAUAGUUAUGUUAUUGACUAGUAGGAUCCUGUCACAGGAAAAAGCUUGCCCGUCGGCUACUUUUUGAUCGGAGUGCCAAUGAGGACCAUGAAAAAAGUAUUCUAACAAAGCUUAAGCAGCAGUGUGGUGGACAGUUUACCUCCAAGAUGGAGGGAAUGGUCAGUGAACAGCAUUUAUUUGCGUUUUUCUCUAUGCUGUUAGAGUAUUAGUGUUGAUACUGAUUAUGUUGGCAUUGCAUUUUAAUUUCAGGUUACAGAUUUGACAGUGGCUCGGGACAAUCAGGUCAACUUUGAAGAGUAUCUUAAGAGCAAUGAGAAUGUUAGUCCUGGGAUGGAUUUGACGGUCACAGUUCUUACAACUGGUUACUGGCCAAGCUAUAAAUCUUUUGAUCUUAACCUUCCCGAAGAAAUGGUAAGAUUUGCUUUAUAUUUGAUGCCGCACUUCAUGCUUGAAAGUGUACUUGGCACCUAAAGUGUAAUUUGUUCACAUUUUAGGUGAGGUGUGUUGAAGUUUUCAAGGCAUUUUAUGAAACAAAAACAAAGCACAGGAAACUUACAUGGAUUUACUCUUUGGGGACCUGCCACAUCAAUGGCAAGUUUGAGCCAAAAACAAUUGAAUUGGUUGUAUCAACCUAUCAGGUAAUAUCACAUUGUCUAUUGCUUUAUUGGUUUUUGGUGUGGAAGCUAUUUGACUAUUCCAGCAUGGUUUUUUGUAAGGGCACUUUAAAUCCUGUUGUGUUUAUUCGGUGCAGGCUGCUCUCCUGUUGCUCUUCAAUACUGCAGAAAAAUUGAGCUAUUCAGAAAUUUUGACCCAGCUGAACCUUACCCAUGAUGAUUUGGUUAGACUGCUUCAUUCCCUGUCAUGUGCUAAGUACAAGAUUCUACUUAAGGAGCCUGCCACAAAGACUAUCUCACCAAAUGACAACUUUGAGUUUAACUCGAAGUUCACAGACAGACUUAGAAGAAUUAAGGUAUGAGAUUGCUAUACCGUUUUUAUUUCACUUUUGUGUUAAGAGUAGAUGAGCCAACACGUUCACUUUUUGUAUCAUAGAUUCCUCUUCCACCUGUGGAUGAAAGGAAGAAGGUCAUCGAAGACGUGGACAAAGACAGGCGAUAUGCUAUUGAUGCUGCAAUUGUGAGGAUCAUGAAAAGUAGAAAAGUCCUGGGUCAUCAACAGUUGGUGAUGGAGUGUGUAGAGCAGUUGGGACGGAUGUUUAAGGUAUUUCGUCUAGGUUCACUUUCAUUGAAUGCUAAAAGAAAAAUGCAAUUCUAGUAUAUGUACGUAAUAUUUUUGUGUAACAUGCUUGUGAAAGUAUUCCACUGACAUGGUUAUGUGCAAUUGAAUUAUGCAGCCUGAUAUCAAAGCAAUCAAGAAGCGCAUUGAGGAUCUCAUCACCCGUGACUACCUUGAGAGGGACAAGGAAAACCCGAACACGUUCAAGUACCUUGCAUGAUUCAAAUGCUGGACCUGGGGAUAUGUUACUUGGGGUAUGCUGGAAGUACAGAAACAUGAAUUAGGAACUUGGAGUUCUGCUGUAUAUGAUAUGCAAAUCUUUUAAAAUUCUAGGAUUUUUGAAAGGAGUGGAUUAUUUUUUGUGCAAUGCGCUAUUAAAGCCAGUUUUGUGCAAUUCACCCAUCUUUCCAGAGAGUUUAAUGUGCAAUUAUUUUCAAAGAGCUUAUGUACUGCUAUAGUACUAUUUUUGUGGUUGGUAAGAAUAUAAAAAACCAAUGUUCUGAUGUGUUGUGUGUGCUGGUUUGAAGAUAUUCUUGUCUGCUUGAUUCUAAAAAUGGGGCUCUCCGGUGAUCAUAUGAGAACUUGGAGAGGUGAUCACACCGGAAGUCGGAGAGUCGGGUUUGCUAUGGAUUUUUCUGCUUUACAUUACCCCGUGGAGAGCUCAAGUUUCGUUCAAUUUCCUCAAGUAAAAUAACAGAAGGGGAUUGAAAGGUGCAAAUUUAUUUUCCGUUACUCCGAGUAUCAAAGCUAGCUCCCCGUCUCCUCUGUAAACCCUAAACCCCAAUGUUGUCUCGUCUGUGUUCCAGAAACUGGGUCUCUCUCCAUGGUGGUGGUUCUCAUUGUGGUCUUCAAUAUCAGUGGUUUAGCACGAAGAGAUGUACCAGCAGCUACAACGAUUUCACAGUCUCCUACCUGGUUAACUCAUGCGGGCUUUCCCCGAAAGCCGCCGUUAAAGCAUCGGACAAGGUAAAUCUCCAACCUUCCUCUUUAGCAAGACCAGACUCUGUUUUAGCCGUUUUGAGGGAGCACGAAUUCUCAGAUACCCAGAUCUCAACUCUUGUGCGAAGAGACCCACGUUUUCUGUUGGCCGAUGCCAAGAGAACCCUGUUGCCAAAGCUUGAGUUUUUGUUUUCCAAAGGAAUGUCAAGGCUGGACGUUGCAAAAAUAGUGACCUACAACUCAUUUCUCUUGAGUCGAAGCGUGGAAAACUGCUUUGUUCCCUGUUAUACCUUCCUGAAAAGCGUUGUGGUCUGUGAUGCCAAGGUGGUGUGUAUAUGGAAGCGCAACGCUUACAUUUUCGGGCAAAUUCUAUACAAGAAUGUGAUACCCAAUUUGGAGUUUGUGAGAGAAUUGGGUAUGUCACAGUCCCGUGUUCCAUGUUGCUAACAACUCGUGCUGAGCUUUUGAUGAGGAAGCCUGAGUUGUCCAGUGAACUUGCGAGUCAAGUCCAGCAAUUCGGAUUUGACCCUCAGAAGUCUGACUUUGUGCAAGCCAUGGAGGCAUUAAGUAGGAAAGAGACGACAUGGAAACGAUGUCAAGAGGCUUACAGGAGUUGGGGUUGGUCGGAUGAUGAUAUUCUUUCUGCCUUCAAGGUGUGUCCGCUGUGUAUGACCAAGUCUGAAAAGAAAAUAAUGGAGACAAUGGAUUUCUUGGUGAGCAAGAUGGGAUGGGAAUCAGGAAAAAUUGUCAAGGUGCCGUGUGUUUUUAAUUACAGCUUGGAGAAGAGAAUCUCCCUAGGUGUUCAGUUGUUCGAGUUUUGUUAUGUUAAGUAUAUAAGGAUAGUUGAGUCAUUUACUAUUAUCCCUACCUAUAUAAAGCUAUGAGUUGUGUAUACUGUUCAUCAAUUGAGAAAUACAAGAUGCAGACGUUUACUCUCUCCUGUGUUUUCUUUACUUUUCUGCUUAGCAUUUUCAAUUCAAUAAUUCCAUGAAUCCUCAUGGUAUCAGAGCCCAUGGUCGCGAUUUUGUGGCCUUGUGGCUUCUGUGAUUAGCUUAGCUUCCGCGUUUUGAUUCCAGUUUUUCAGUUUUCAGUUUCCCCAACUUCAAUUACCCUAGCUUUGCGUUUUUCCCAAACUCGUUCAUCAACGAUCCCAAACUCAAAAUCUUCGUCUUUGGCGCUAUAAUCUUCUCUUACGGCGUCAGAUUGUCGAUACCCAGCCUUCUCUAAGACCUCUGGGCUUCGAUGUUCGUUCUCCGCGUCGUCACCUGCGCGGCUCGCCUCGUAUGGCUCUGUUCUUUGUUUGCGGGUUUUCUCCUUCAGAUCCCCGAGUAUGACGUCAGGGGAGGACUGUAUCAGUGUGAUGCAGCGAAUCUGUUCUCUGAGACUUGGUAAUCUUCGAGCCCUUUAUUUUGUCACUAUGUCUUUGCGCUGCAAUUCUUGUUUUUGAGAGUAUCUAGUAGACUAGUUGUUCAAUCUAUUUGCUCUGAAGGUGAAUGGGAGACGAAGAUGUGUAUAUUUUGAUAAAUCUGGUUGGAAGAUGAGUAUUUUUAAGGUUGAAUAUUCCUGGGCUUAUUGUUCUGAUGGUGAUUAGAGAUGGUUAGGUCUUAUGACUGGAUUUUGUGUGCUUCUUUCUCUGCUGUGCUUCUAUGUGCUAAGUGGUUGGUGACAUUAAGUUGAUAGCUGCUGUUGUUUAGUGUUCUCCUACCACAAUAUGUUUGAGAUACUGACCCUGCAACAAAACGUAUGUUUGGAAGUAGUAGUAAUGUAUGUGGAAUUGUAGUACAGAGGUAGUAGCCUCUGUAUGAUCGUAGAGUUGUGGUAAUCACAACUAGCGGUAGUAGCCUCUGUAUGAUCGUAGAGUUGUGGUAAUCACAACUAGAGGUAGUAGCCUCUGUAGAACAAAGUGGUGCAGAAAAAUAUUGUAGUGAGUCAAGGUUUCAAUUGAGAUGUGGAGGGAAACAUUAUUUUGCAGCAGCUUAUAUGUUGGGGUAUGAACGCAUGGGAUUGAUUACAGCAAGUUAAUACUGGUAGAGAUAUGCAGUAUGUAGCAGUGUUCAGUCCUUGCAGUAGUUUUUCAGAUUCUUCAUUGGAUUGUUUGUUGCCUUGCUUCCAUGGAUUUUGUCUUCUCAGCUCUGUGUUGCCUCAAUGCUCUGCUGCAACCUACAAUCUUGUCAACUGACUGUGGAUGAUGUUCUCAUACUGCCAAGUGGCUGUUGGGUUUUGAUUUUUGGGAUGAUAAUCUUGUAAAUUGUUCUACAUCAUGUAUUGUGCUUCUUGUUAUGUACUUGGUCCAACCAUUAUGCUUGUUACCAAGCAUAUGGUUGAGGGGGAUGUUAAGUAUAUAAGGAUAGUUGAGUCAUUUACUAUUAUCCCUACCGAUAUAAAGCUAUGAGUUGUGUACACUGUUCAUCAAUUGAGAAAUACAAGAUGUAGACGUUUACUCUCUCCUGUGUUUUCUUUACUUUUCUGCUUAGCAUUUUCAAUUCAAUAAUUCCAUGAAUCCUAUCAGUCGAAAGGGUUGAUAGAAGAGGAAAAGUUGAGCUUGGCUACUGUGAUUACGAAUCCGGAGGAGUAUUUCUUAAGUAGAUUUGUCACCAGAUAUGUCGACCAAGUACCUCAGUUGUCGAAUAUAUACCAAGGAAAAAUGGAUGUGCAGGAUGUAUGAUCUUGGUCACACAGUUUCUAGGCUGAUAGUGUUGAAUAUCUGAAGUUUCUAUUGGAAGAAAUUAAAUGUUGCAUUGAUCACUAUUUUUCAUUACUAUAACGAGAUCAUUUCUAACCAGUGUCUCUGUUCUGGAAGUAUAAUAUAAUCCCUUCGAGUGGUUGCUGUUGACGAGUAUCUGAGAAGGAGCAACAAGUUAGCUUGUUAUUAAUCGUUUUCUAAUAACAACUUAUUCCGCAGCAUAUAACCAAUCUUCUAUCUUCCUUCUUGAGCUUCAGGCAUUUUCCCUAGUUUAAAUGGUUGAUUGACUUUGAUCGAGUUCUCCAGCUACCCUAAUCAUAUUUUCUGCUUUAGAGUAUUCCAAUACUCCCUAGCAUCAAACAUGAUCUAACUUCAUAAUCUAUAUCCAGAUUUAGAGAACUCCAAUGAUCAUAUUAGCUUUCCUAUAACAUGGUGUUGUAACUGUUGCUGAACCAUGGCCAGAGAUGCAGGUGUGACUGAGUAGCUUCAUCUUAUGUGUAUGUACAGCUUGGAUACAGAUUACAGAAUCAUCCCAAGGUUUUCGGUUGUUAGAGUUUUGAUGUUGAAAGGAUUGAUUAAAGAGGAAAGGUUGAGUUUCACUACUGUUUUUGCGACUCCAGAGAAGUACUUCUUGAAUAGUUCUUUCCAGAUUUCUGGACACAGUACCCCGACUUUCGAUAAGUACCAAGGAAAAGCGCAUAUAUGCACUUCAGCCCAGUUUGUGAGGUUAGUUUGUAACGCACUUGUAGGCUUGAUAGUUUUGAAUAUGGCUUGUCAACAGAUAGCAUUGGAAGCAGCAUUCUCAGUAAUGACUAUAAAGAGAUUUCUAAAUUAUCGUCUCUGCCUUACAUUCAGUUUGUUUGUUACUAGAAAAUAUAUUACUUAUGAUCAUGUCCUCAGUCUGAAGUCUGCACUUAGAAAGGAGGUUUCUAAUUUAUCAUGUCCUGUUAGAUUAUUGAUUGGUAGCAAUUAGGUGAACGGGUUCUGUGCCAUUGCUGCCCUCAGUAAUGUCCCUAGACUACUCAUUGGUUUUAAGGUCUCUCGAAUCUGUGAAAAGCUCUAACGAAAGUCGUCAGCUGCAUCUGUAUUUGCCAACUGUGGGCACGCUGCAAGGCAUGUCUGUUCUCUACUAGUCAAGAGGGGAUCCAUGUUAAGCUGAUAGCUUUAGGUAUCGAAACAGCUAGGAUAAGAUUCUGCAACAUGAAUUUCUAUCAAUUAACGAACACCUUCUUAUUAAGUUGUGGAUUAGGAGAUAAUGGCUAACCCAACUCAAUGAAAAGCGUUGGUUCCAUUUCAACAUUAAUAUGUUCGUUCUGAAAAGUUCAACUGGGAUUCGAUCCACUCGAUGUUUGCUGUGACUUUUGGUCUAGAUUGUCAUACUAAAAUCUGGAGUUCAGUUAUUCACUCGUUUUCCUUACUGUCAUGGCAAUAGAGAAAAGUUCAACUUUCUUGUAGCUGUUGAUAACUAGUAGUGAGGAUCUGUGAUCUUUGCUAUGUUGUAGGCUGAUAGUGCCAAUUCCAGAGGCACCACCAUUUGAUGCUUGGACUUUGGAGUAGAAAAAACAGGUUUCUGUAUGAUUUUCAUGAGUAGGUAUAAUCACUGUCUCAGUUUGUACUUAGCAAAGAGGUUUCUAAAUUUUCAUGUCCUGUCACUUCAAAUUUAUCCUCAAGAAUCAGAUGCUCAUUUCUUGUAGUUUCGAACUGUAAAUAUGUCUGUUUCGCAACAAGACUGGCUAUAAUAUGUAAACAACAGUCUAAUAAUAUGUAAUCACACAUGUUCGGGAAUAUACGCAGAAUCACCAUCAGAUGAAAAGACUAAUUAAAUUUCUAGGAUGAUGGGGUUAGGAAAAAAUUUGGCUUCUCUACUUGGAUUUAUGUUGUUUGGAUUUGCUUGGAUGACUUCUAACCAUUGGAUCAAGUACAAUCUAAGACGAACAUGUCAUCCUUACUUCAUCUAAUAGUUAUAAGACAUCCAAGCAAAUCCAAACAACUUAAAUCUAAACGGAGAAUCCGGAUCCGUUGGGAAAACAUGACAUAUUUUACUUUGGCCUCACUCUGGCUCACUUUUCAUCGGCAUCGUUAGGCAAACUUGCUAAUUGCUAUGGCUUGGGUACCAACAGCCUCACCUCACUUGUCACGGCCGCGUGGGCAGUUACUAUUAGUCUCACCUCAUUUGUAUGGGCAAGGGUGGUGGGCAUUGUUAGCCUCACUUAGAAGUUGCUCUGAUAACUUGGCGUCAGCAGUGUUAGCAUCACUUGUAUUGAGCCUCACUUGCAUGAGCCUGAGCACCGGUAGAGUCUAGCUUAGAUAAAACCUGCGGCAAAUUUCAGUUUCUUGACUUCAGAAAGCAAGGACAAGCACAUGCCAACUGAGGGAAAAAUCAAGCUGCACCAAGUGUGGGUAAGUUCAGCCAUACACCAAGUUAUGCGAAGCAAGAUCAAGUAAAGACCAAGUAUGGGUAACGUUUGGUUGGUGUUCGAAACGCACAAAAUCAAGCGAACACAGUACGAGAGCACUGCCUAUUGAACACCAGUGCAGGAGCUUAGUCUCAACAGGCCGAAGGUCGAAAAACAUAAUGAUGGAAGGGGGGAGGAGGAAGCAACAAAUUGAAGUGUGAUAUAGGGCUUAAUAUCAAUGGAUUAUGACAGCCAGGCCAUUCUACCACUCAUUAUCCCAUUGCUCAUUGAAGUCGUCUGCAAAGGUUUUUUUUCCCACAACUUGGGUAUUUCAGAGCAUCUCUCACAACCUGUGCACCUCUGGACUUGGCCAUAAUUAGGCGCUAACUGUGGGUCGGUAAUCAAAACCUUUCCGGCUUUCCUGAUUAGAGCAUAUAAAGACCAAGAGUUGGUUACUACUCUAGGCGUGUUCUUCCGUUUAGGUUGAAUCACCCGCACCAUCUGUCAUCUGCUUGAAACGAAGACGAGGGCAAACCGACAAAGAGGGAAAGAUGAAGGCUCAGAAAUUUAAGUGGCCGUGGAGUAGAAGAUAAAUAUUUUCGACCAAGACCGAGAAGUGGAGAGAGCAAAAAAAAAAAAAAAAAAAAAAAACAGCCCUAGUCCUGUGUGUAACACCAAACCUAGACCUCUAAAUUCAAAUUCAUCAAAAGACAUUUUCAAACUUUGAUUUCAAAACUCAGGAACUGGCUAAACUAUAGUGAGUCUUAAUAAUCCUCAUAAGACAGGCCAAUUCAGGAAAUGAAGAGGUAACUUUAUUGAUAUGCUCCGCUAAUCAUCGGAGAUGAAUUUUAUUGAUACAUCCAAUGGCCAAUUGAAAUAAUUAAACUUUAUUAUCUAAACCUAUAUGAAUGUUAUUGCUAUGGGUUAAGUUUAAAGUAUAAAACUAUAUACCAACAUCAAAGAAAAUUUUGAACAAGAAUAUCACAUCAAAUUCAGUACUACCUAUAGCUGCACCUGCCCCAGUUGCUCAACCUGAAAGCAGAUCCAUGCUCAAGUCAGUAAAUUACCAAUGAAACUGCUAGAUCCUAAUUCAAACAUCUCAAGCACUUUGAAAGCUUAUACAUAACGGUGUAUUGCUAACAUGCAAAAUGAUGACAUUUUCGUGUGGAAGACUAAAGAUCAUAAAUAUUAAAGAGAAGGCCAGAGUGCCAAUUUGGCAGAAAUACCAAAUCGUAAAUUACAAAAAAUUUCAGCAUGGAUUGCCUACUUUCUACACAAGAUAUAGAAGAAACUUUGCAAAUAAAGCAUAUAGUCAUAUACUAUAUGCUCCUAAGGUUCAAUAACAAUCAAGUAUGGUCAUGAGCAUUAUCUGCAUUUUUCUUUUACUCCUUACACAGCACUGUCAUUGACAAUUAGUAGUUGGACUCCCACAACCUAAAUAUAUACAUGCUUUGUUUUUUCAUUUUUGUGCUUUUCCUUCAACAUUCAUGUUCUCCCAUCUAAGUAACCUAAAAUGGCUUUUCCCUUGGGAUGAACAGAAAUGAACAAAAGCCCACUGUUAGAAAAGCAACUAUUAUAUCUUGGGGAAAAGAGAGUAUUCACUUCUUGUAUCUGCAUCUCACACAAAAGUAAACUAGGUUUUUUUUUCUUUUCAAUUUUUUAUGAUAGGAAUUCUCUUAUUUGAGAGACACUGAUACAUAUUCAAUAGAAGAUCAACUGAUUGCUACGUUUAAACCAAGUUCAGAAGUCAAUGAACGAUCGCUGAAAAUUGUGAAAAUUUUACCUGUGAGAUCUGAAGGAAAGACCUAAAAAAUAUCCACCUCCCCUUCUCUUCACACAGAUGUCUUUUAUAUACAAAAGUUGCCACUGGCAAGAGAAAGUACCGAAUAAAAGUUAGAGAAGAAGGCAGACAGUAAAAACAAUAAAGCAAAUUUUCAUUGCUACGGCUACACAAACCUUUGAUGUAAGAAAAGCAGAACCCCAGCACUGGGAGUUUCAUGGAUAGCACUGACAAUAGUCUCAUUUACACAGUUUUCUGAUUCGAUCUCUAUUAAGGCAGCAAGGAGACAAAGUGAAGGAACAACCUGUUCAUGUUACAUUCUACCAAAAUCAAACUCAAGAGAUGUUUUUUGGAAAGUGAAAGGAAACAGAGAAAAGAAAAAAGAUUAGAGGGCGGGAAAUAAAGAAAAUCUAAUAGAAGGGCAGCAUACCUGCAACUUCCAAUUUUUUUAGCUCUCUUUACAUAGUGCCGAUAUGGCUCAUUCUGUAAAGUAAGAUCAGACAAUUCAUGCACAUACUGGAAGACUUGCAAUGCAGAUAACAGAUUGUUAAGAUAAGUUAACCAGCUGAAGAAGAAAGCCCCAAUUGAACAUGUGGUUCUCAUCAUUAUGUAGAACUAUUAUAUCUUCCAACACAUUCUUCAUAUCCACCUUUUGAAUGCUGCUCAGAAUCUUUUUCAGAAGAGCCUUAAAUAGUGAUGGUUCAAAGUCCUCGAAAUGACUAUUGGUUAUUGAGAUCCGAUGACCCACUUUGGAUCCAUACAGUGAUGGAAAACAGAUCUAGGAUCACAGAGAAUAAAUUGGGUAGAAGCUCCUCAGUAUAUAUGAACAGAAAAAUUUUGGUGACAACCAGAUCUCCCGGUACAAGUUCCAAGCUGUACAGCAGAAAUAUCCAGGUCAUCCCUUCACUGCAUGAGACCCAAGGACUCACCAAUAUGGUCUUCAUGUAUUAAUAUCAUCCCCACCACCAUCUGGACUCUUCUGACGGAUAUUGCUAAUGGCUUCCGUUGCAAGCCGUACCAAACGUAGUAAUCCCUCUACAUCCUGGAAGUUAAAGUCAAGAGCCCUUUUAAUGGAAGAGAUGCAUUCGGAAUACUUAGAUUCUCCCACAGCAGCUGCAAAAGCAAGAUGUGAUCUCUUUGAUGCGUCCAUUGCAUUAUGUACAUCUUGUGUCUGCAAUUCAUCAAUUUUGAGUAUAUAGUUUGUUCAGUCAUCAACCCAUAAAAACAUUGCUAGUGAGAACUGUGAGUGAGUAAGUGAGGAGGGGGGAAGGGGUUGGAGGCGUGUUACAAAAUGGAAGCAGUGCUCAGGUCCCAAAUAUAAGGAAUGACAGAUUAAAAGUUUCAAUAGAAGAUCAAUGAAAACUCACAAAUUUCAGCAUCCGGACAAAAUUGGGACGAUUUCGAGCAGCAAUGACAUGGUUUCCAGCAACUUGGGGUGAGCUGACUCCCUUAGGUAAGGGAACCUUGUCUGCGGUUGAGGGAUUGUUUAAGUUGUCAACAUCAGAGGCAGAGGAAGACGGAGAUUCACCUGAUAGAAAACCAACAGAGAAUGGCAAAUAAGUUAUUAGAAAAAAAAAUUGUUACAAGAGCUUUGCGCCUUCUUUAACACCAAAGCAGCAAAAAUAAAAUUUAAUUUACCAGGAGGAACCAUUUGUAAAGCUGUUUGCAACUCAUGUCGGUCUCUGCCUGCACUGGAAUGCGAGGAGUAGAUCACUUUCAAAUAAGCCACCUCCAAGCAUUUGAAGGCCAAAGCAGCAGAAGCCAUGUCUUUGGAUUUUUCAUAUUCAUGAGCACAAAACCUAUAGAUAUUUUAAGUUAGAAAGGAAAAGCAGGGGGCUACAAAAAGUGACAAAAGCUCCCGAAUCAAAAUAGAAUUAAAAUCCACAAAAAAAAAAGAAGAAAAAAACAGUUAAAGAAACAAAUCUACUACGAGAAUCCCUGCAGAAAGGGAUGGCAGACAACAGAUAGAUUUGCAUAGUAUGGUAUAACACCAUAUACCUUGUGCAAAGAAAGAUGAGUCAGCUUCACCAAGCAUGAAGUCACAAAAAAGCUCCCAAUUUUAUAUAAUUUUUUUCUAGUGAAGUUACCUACUCCCCAAGGCAAAAGCACCAACCCCUUGGCCAGUACACUCUUUCAUCUACCUCCCAAACGAAAAGACCCUCACAAUCACACUAGAGAAACACAAAAUACAGGCUCCAAUUACUCCUAAAGAUUUCUGUUAAGUACCCUCCCAUAUUAAUUUGGGAUCCAACACCACACCAGCAUUCCAUGAGUGGUAGCAGUGUCUCACAUGCAAGGUUGGAGGGAUAUUAAUUUGAGGAUAUGAAGAAGUACAGCAUGACUCAAUUCAGGAAUGUUAAAAAAAAUGACUGAAAGGAUAUGAAAAAUGACAGUCACAUAGAUCGGUGCAUGUCUAGAAGGGUUAAUACAGCUCAAGUUUGACUUACUGGCAUAGUGCUGCAGUGCUUCUAUAAAUUUGCAUGGAUUCAUUAUGCUUGGCACUCUCAGUGUUGGCAGAUUCUAAGAGAGAUGCAGCGUGAAGAAAUUUCAGGACCGCCUGGAAGUAAAGCCCCGUACUAUCAUUUUCCUCAUUGUUCUGCAAAGAUCAACAUUAAAUACAAUUUGUACAGAAAGGAGCAGCAACAUCUAGUCAUGAAAAUAUAAUAGGGUAAGACCUUGUAACGAUCAGCAAGGUGUUUCAUAUCUUUAGCUUCUUUCAGAAUACACAUAUAGGCCGGGGUGGAAGAAUCCCUUCUAGCUGGACUAGGGGCAUCAAGAUCCCUAGGUCUAUGCCCAUUCUGUGCACGAUGUCUUGAACUAAUAUGCUGAGUUCCAUUCUGAGUAUCAGCUUUUCUGUUCCGCAUUUGCACCUUGACUGAAUCAUUACCUUCAGAGCCAUCUACUUGUAAUAUAUCUGCUCCAUUACCUUUGUGAGAACCAGAGACUGGUCGGGGACAACGAGUCAUUUCUGGUUGAGCUCCUCCAGAGGGUGGCAAGGGCAGUGACUUUCCCCUUGUCGAACCUGCAUCUACUCGGUCACUUCUUCCAGAAGGAAUUCUCUUUGAAGACCUUUCACUAUCAGAUUCUGGCUGCUUCUUCGGAGUCGAAAUCGCGUCUCUUGGGUAAAUAGCAUCUAGUCUAACAUCUGGGCCAUCAUGCCCCCCAAAAUUAGACUGGUUCUCCCUUUUGCUACUCUCAUUCAAGGACUUCCCCAGCAAAUCUUUUUUACUAACAUAUUUGUUCUCAGUUUCACCAUAUUUGUUCACCUUCUCCGGCAAUUUGUUUUUAACAUCUCUAGGUUUCAUUCCAAGUGAUGGUGAAUGGUCAUGCUGUUCAUUGACAACAUUAGAAUUCCUGGCCUUCCCCAUGUCCAAAUCAGAUUCGUAGCUCUGCUUGUCCUUUGACCGUGAAGAGUGGCUCUUUCCUGAAUUUCUUGGGCGAGACCCCAGAGCGUUAUAAUGGCUGCCAUUCCCUCUGUCUUCACCAGCAAAUUGACUUGGAACUAGUGGUUUAAUAGGAGAACGACUAUCUGGUCCUGAAUUAUCCAAAGCACCAUUCACAGGAAAAUUAUUCGUAAUAUCCGGAGAUGCUACAAUCUGUCCCCUAGCUUUACCACCAGAUAUGCGACUACGAUCUCUGUCCUGAACAUCAAGUACUGAAGGUUCAGACCUAUGAUAAGCCCCGGAGGGAACUUUAUCCUUUCUCGCUGUCCCAGAUCGAUCAAUCCUGCUGUCAUCUUCACCAUCUGAGCAUCGUUGUGGGCUACCUAACGACAAACGACCAGCAUCUUGUGACUCGUCCUUUGGCCUGAGGUCUCUAGGUACUAAUUCAUGCUUAUCAGGGUGUAAGAUUCUCAUAGGUGAUGAUGAAACCGAUUCUACAGGCGAACCUUUAAUUUCUUGAAAGCUGGAUUUGGUCUUUUGGGAGCCAGAAACUUUGGAAGAGCUUGAAGUGGCAGCCACAGAAACCUGAACAGAUCCCGAAUCCUUCUUCAAAGAAUCCAUACCAUUCUGACUCCGCUGAAUUCUAAUGCUUGUAUUCUUCGCAGAUUGUUGCUUCUUUAUAUGGCUACUCUUUUUGUCUGUUCUACCACUGCCUUUGCUUGCACUGGACUCUUUUGCCUCAGAUUUAGAUACUCUUGCCUUCUUUUCCUUCCUACAGUCAUUCUCACUAAACUCUUCCUUCACUGCAACGGAACGGUCUGGAAGGGAACCCUCAUGAAUUUCAGGAUAUUCCCUCAGUUUUCUCUUUUUCGGUCUAUCUCUGAUAACAUUACCCAUGCAAACUUCAUCUUUCACUUUGGUAAGAGUAGCAGCCCCUAGCCUGUCCUUAAGUCGAUCUUUUCCUGCUUCAGUAGUCAGAAAACCACUACUUGAGCUAGGACCAACCUCGCCAUCAGGUCCGUGGUGAUCUGAUGCCCAUUCUUCAUCAGUCAUACGCCUACCUUCGCUCUUGAUUUUCUUUGGAGCUCUAGAAGUAUCUGGAUCAAAGUCCCUUCUGUUCUUAAUCUUUAAAUUGUUGAUAUGACCUGUAAUGGAUGUUAUCAAAGAGUAUGUAAGAUUAAGCAUUAUCAGCAAAAUUUCAAAAGCACUAACAAAUUCAUGUAGUAAAUAAAUUACCUCCAUCAUAAGAGGAACCUAAAACUGUUUGCUUAUCUUUGUGCUUAUGCUUCCGUUUCUCCACUGCCAAGCCACUGGAAUUGCUUAACUGCUGAAAAUUGGGCUCGUUCAGAGGUGAAGAUUGGUUAACAUCAUUCAAGCUUUUACUCUUCAGUGAUGCCUGUAUGUUCUUCAUAGAGCCUGGCAGCAGGACAGAACCAUCUUUAUCACUUGCCUUUGACACUUCUUUCAAUCCAUUUUUUUUCAUCCCACCACCAGGGAUGGCAUGCACACCAAAAUUUUGGGGGUUUUGAUCAGGGUGCCGAAAAUUAGCCAGUGCCACACCUUCCAUAGAGCCACCAGGAUUAUUGAGAAGAUUAGUUUGACUCCCAGGUGCAGGAACAUGGUAUUGUGCAAUUAAGGCUUUUGUCUUCUCUGUUGUUUCCUCCUCCGUUACACUACACCGGUUCAUCCCAGGCCUGCAUUUGAAUCAAGAGAUCAGCUUCACAACGAGACAAAGAGAAAGAAAAACUGAAACUACUAGGCACUGAUAUGUAUAACUAACAUACAUCAAUGUACCCGUCUAGGGUAUGAUUGAUUACUGUGUAAUAGAAUGAAUGUAUGAUAAAUAGUGAAGGACUAGAAAGGAACUUACAGCCAAUUGAGCAUGCUACAUAGCCACUUCUCUGGUAGGUUGUCGGGAGUGGUACCAUGUGGAAGAAGCCGCCAUUUUAGACACUUGUCACACUGCACCCAAUAGUCUUCCAUUAAUGCAGGAGCCCCUGUUGCAGGAGCUGCAUCAGAAAUGGGUCCAUUUCCUGGGCGUUGAGCUAUAUUUGAAGCUGUAACAGGAUGUGAAUCAAUUGUCUUGCUAUUUGGUUUCUCUCUUGAUGAGACAUUAACUGCAUAUGCGCUUUUUGCAACAGCAUCAGACUCCUUAAGCUUAACUUCAGAAGGCAAUUGCAAUGAAUCAAUUAGGUUCUCUUCUUCUUCAUCCCCAAAGAAAUCUCUAUAGGUAUCCCUGCUUUUAUCAGGGCCCUUUCUCAAGCUUUCUGACUCACCAUUGGAUGUAAGCUUGUUUACAUGCGUACUCUUUCCUUUGGGCAUUGAAGAAGAACCGGCCCUGGAGCUUUCUUUUGGAAAGUCUGUAACUAGAGUCCUUGGAAUUUCUUUUGAUUUCCUUUUUUCGCCAGGUAAAAGCUGCUCCUUCCCAGAAAGAAAUCUCAUAUCAUCUACCUCAUGGGCUAAACCCUUCUGACUGCCCCUUUGCUUUGACUGGUCCAUCAUUUCAGUACUUAGAGAUUUCCUCCCUUUAGAAACAUUUGAGUCUGCUUUUGCUGAUUCAUUACUUUUCUCUUUGCGAUGGCCAUUUUUCUUUGGAGGUCUCGAAACAAUAUUGCUAGAACUUACUUUUCUAUCUUCAUGAACCUUUCCAUCCAAACUGGCUUUUCGCUUUUCAACCCAGUUUUGCUCUUGGUUGGAUGUUGGCUCCAUAGGCUCAUCUUCUGCUUGACAAGGGAAGCCUUUAUCCCUUACAACAUUCUUAUCUGCUUCUUUACUCUUUGUCACAUCAUUGACAGAAGAGUAUGAAUUGGAUAGAAGUGGGAGCUUCAACGUUUUAGAAACAAGCUCUUCGCAAGCAAAUGUAUCGAUAUCUUGAUCUUUUUUCGCCAGAAGCCGAAUUCCAUCCUUAUUGUUCCCACUCUUUGAUUCUGCAGAAAGAUCAUUUCUUUCAACUGAUUUUGUUUUCCUCGCCCCAGACACUUUUCCACUACCCUCCCUGGUAUUUGCUCCAUGUACUAGGAACCCAGAUCUUUCCGAGCCAUCCCUUGGAAGAGGAAGAGAUCUGACUUCUUUUGCAAUCAUUUCCUUUUCAGUUAAAUAAAUUAAAUCUUCAGGAAGAGGUGACAAAAGCAUACCCUCAUACACCGGACAGGAUGUCAUAAUCUGCUUCAGACCGUCAUCCAAAAGAAUAUUUCAGUCAAUGCACAUUAUGUUUGAAUAAGAUAACAACUAAAUAUUUCAGGGAGAUGAUCACCUGGAGAAUACUAGUGGGAGAUUCAAAUAGGGCAUCUUGAGGGUCAUGAGAUAUUCCUUCACUAUCUGAAGAAUCAUCAAGUGAGGAAGAUGGUGUACCGUCAAGGCCAAGCCCACUAUAGAUAUCAUUUUUUCGUGUCGACAAGUUAUCCGAACCCACUUUAAGUCGUACUUUGAGAGUUUUCUGGUCUGGUAUUUUAAUAGGUUUCUUCGUUGCAGAUUCCUGUUCAGGAGGAUACAAAUCAGCUCGAUUAGAUGAUACACUCACGUCUUGUUUGACUGGAAUGUUUGCUGAUGGUGCCUUAGGCGCAACAAGUGAAAUAGAACUGGUAGAAGCAGUUCCAAGUCCCACAGACUGAGAUACAGCAUAACAACUUGCAUUGUUACGAUGGCCACCCUGUGUGGUAAAGCAAACAAAUGCGCUCAAGAACAAUUAUUCUGAAAUAAAUAUGGAAUAUAUGUAACAAAUAGAAACUAAUAUCCUCAUUAAGUUGAUACCUCGAGUUUUAGACUGUUGGGAGAUUUGGGUAAGCCAUUAUUCUGAAUUUUUGCUGGAGUCCUCGGAUGAGACCAGACUGGAGACCGCUGAUAGCUAGGUAAAAAUGAGCCAUACCCACCGAACUUUGCCCCUGUUACAGUAAAAUUAUCAAAGUUCGUUAAUAACAGAGAAGAGACUACAAUUAAGGCAUACCUUAAAAAUGAAAGAAGUUACGGCUCCACUAUUUGACUUACCUAGAUUCUCAGCAGACACCCCACCUUCAAAAUCUUUCUGGAAGUGUCCCAAAACAUCCUGAAUUUUAUCAUCCUAAUGUCAAGCAGAGCAAACACAUAGUUAAGUACAAAGCUCAUUCAAAAGACAGUAAGUAAUAACAAGGGCUAGAACAAGAUGGCAAUACUUCCAUAACAGUUCGGGUGAUAUUUACGUAUCUUUUAAUAUUUGAGAUAAUACAUUGUUCAGCUAUCUACUAUUAAUCCCUACAUCAGGAACCAGCAGUUACUCUCAAUUACAGAUACAGAAAGUAUGAUCGGACACUUUCAGUCAUAUCAUAGGUAAGUCCCAGAAACCUUGAUUUAUAACAUUCGAAUAGUGCAAUCCCACAAAAUUUGUAACUGGAUAAGAGGCACAGCACAGUCAACAGUACUCGAGUAACAUUAUUAUGCAGCAACUAAGUUUUACCAUAACCAGUCACCAGUGCAUAAAACAUUUCCAUAAACCACCUGAAACAACCAUUUCAAUACCUCCCAAUAACAAGUCAAUGAAGAAUACUUUAGCUCAUUGCAAAAUGGAUGAAUCUCAAGCUAAACACCACAAUUACCUUACAUUAACCAAUCCCCAAGUAACAAAACUCCUAAACUACAUCGUCUAUUCUCGAAUCAUAAAUCCAAUCACACGCUCCACUGCCCUCUACAGUUUUCAGAUUAACAAAAUUCAUAACCCAGAUUUCAAUCAAACACCGCAGCUGGGAUCUAACACCAGCAAUUUACAAGUCAACCCCCAUGAAUUCAUUACCAAAAUGAUUAAAUACACAUAUACAGGUCUUACGAUGUAAGCAAGAUGAACAUCAGGGUCGAUAUUCGGAUCGUAUUCAUUGAUUUGAGAAGAACAAGCCUCGCCUUCUUCAAGCUCGGAAUCGUCCAUCUCUCUCGCACCUCCUCCGAAUCCUAACCCUAGCCCCUUCCUCCCAUCCCUACCCCCCACAGAAAUCAUCCACACCCCAAAACCUACCUACCUUCUCUCAAAUCCUCCCUCAAUUGAAAACCCAAAGCUCCCUCCGAUCCAUUCGACCGGAAACUCCCACCGAUCAGUCAAAUUCAGAAAAAAAUAAAAAUAAAGACAGAAAUCGGAAGCAGAAAUAGUUUCUAAAAACCGCGAAGAAUUACGCAGGUGUUUUUAUUUUUGGACAAAAGGAAAAAAGUUGGGAGAGGAAUUUGAUGUGUUGUGUGCGCUUGAAAUUGAUUGAGCAGGAGUCCCUCCUUUUCUUUCUCUCUCUUUCUUUCUUCUUUCUCUCUGGUUUUUGGUGUUUACAGCAGGAGGCUGCUUUGGUUUUUUUUUUUUCCUUUCUGUUCAAGCAAAAUAUUAUAAUAAUUGAUUUCUGAUUGUUUAGGUGUCCAAAUAAGAUUAGGAGGAAGGAGCCGGGAUCUGACCGAGACACCGCCGUUUUGUUUCCCGUUACGGUCACGUAUUUAACUCUAUUUCUAUUUUGCCCUUUUUUUCCUUUUUUUUGUUGGAAUGGCUUUGUCCGGAAGAAUUGGAUGUAUUUAGAUGCUGCAUGGUGGGUGUUGCCACGCGCCUAGGUAAGUUUUAAAACAGUAGACCUUGUUUUAAAUGUCUAUUUAAAUUCAAAAGAAAAUAUUCAAAGAUUGUCUAUUGCAUGCGUGAUUAGUGUGUCUGCAAGAAGGUUGUUUUAUAACGGUUACGAUAUUAUGUUAUACUUUUUUUUUUUGAAAGGUGAUUUGACAUUCAAAUCAUAUCUACAUCUAACUAUCUAACGUUGAAUAUAAUAAAUAUUGUUUGACGUGAUUAACUUUAGACUUUUUUUUUAAUAUUGAAUAUGAUGGAUGAUGAUUCAAUUCAUAGUGUACAUUAAUAUUCGUCAAAUGCUCUAACUGUGCAUUUCAGUAUAGUGUGUCUAACCAUUCUUAACAUCUUCGUGAUUUAGACUCAAGUUAAAAGUUCUUCACUCGACACAAUGUAUCUUUGUUUUCAAUGAGUGUAUUUUAAUUUGCAUGUUAAAGUGUUGGCAAUUUUCUGUUACUUAUGUACAACGUAAAUGAAGUUGUUAAUAAAUUCUUAAAAACAAACACCGAACAAAGAAAAGAGUUAAGUCGUAAAUAAAGAACUAAGUUCAUGUAUAUUACCUUGUGUGAGAGCACCGGCGGAGCCAUAAAAUACACAAGGAGGGGGGGGGGGGGGGGGGGGGGUCAAUAUAGGAGAAUGUUAUAUUAAAUCUUCUAAGUUAGCUAGAUGUCAAACACAAGAUACAUAUAAAGCCAAGGUUUUAAAGGUUUUGAGAGGUGCCAUGACACCUCUUGGUCUAUGUUUAGCUCUGUUAGUGUGUGAGAAAGUUAGUAUCGUUGUUGGUAAAAAAACCCCCGCAUAAUAGGAUUUAGUAUGGAUGCACAUAUUAUUAUUAUAGUGUCAUUUAUAAUAAAUGUUAAACUCUAUAGAUGUGGUAAGACCGUACUUUAUCUAAGGUAGUUAAACUGAAUCAUAAAAUAAGAAUAAGAUAUAUAAAAGAAUAAAAUGAAUAUUAUUAUCAUGUACUAUGACCAUUUGAUCCCAAUCAUAAAAUGAAGUAUAAUUAUUUUAUAAAUAUCAUGUGUAAGCUUAUUACAAGCAGAAUAUUACAAACAGUCAAACAGAUGAAUGCAUCAUCAGUUCAAUACCAUUGGUUUGAUUCAAUUGUUUGGGAUAAUGGUAACUACUAAUAACCUCUCGGAAUAAGUAAAUUUUUUGGAGAGAUAAUUGGGUUAAUAUUUCCCGUCCUGGUAUAUCCGCGGCAGUGUGGUUCAGGACUCCUGGAAAGCGAGUGGGGGCAUACAGUCUUUGUGAAGCCACUUGUCAGUUGGCCAAUCCGACAUGUUCUUUAGUUAUACCUGGUCCACCUGGAUACAUGUGUUUCAUUUUCUCCACGAUAUAUUUACUUAUGAGAAAUUUUAAAUACACACAUUUAAUCUCUUAAUAUACAUUUUUAUUAUUUUAUAUUUUUAUUGAGAUUUUAUAAGUAAAUUAAAUGACCAAAACAGACAUCUAUUAUUUUUUUUUAUAAAAACUCUAUAAAUAUUCUUUUAAACGUUUUCUACCCUAAAAUCGUCGAAAGCAUGUCUUCUCUCCUAACCUCAACUCUUCUCCACAAUUCAUUUGGGUUGUCUUUUGUUUUUUUGUUUUUGUAUAUGUAUAAGCUUUAGUUUGAUCUUGCAUAUCAUAUUGUCGAGUACUGCAUCUUUAUCAUGACAUGUUUUAUCGAAUAACUAGUUAUCUAUGUUUAAUAGCGAUUGUACUUCUACAGCUCUACUAGCUUGUGAAUUUUGAAAACUUGUAUUGGUGAUUUGGAGUUGGGAUAUAACAAUAAUCAUUUGAUUAUAAAUUAAACGAUGAUAACCAAAAAUUUCUAACAAAAUUAGAUGAAAUAAUAUGUCAAAAGAGGUACCAAAUAAUAAAUAUACAUUAAUUAUAUUAAAUAAUGAAAUAUUUCAUAAUUAAGGGCAUUUUAGACAGUUUGAGAUGUGUAUUAAGUAUAAUAUUAAAAUGAAAAACUUGAUAGGUGGUGUAUUAAAUAAAUGGUGUGUAUUAAGAUAUUAGGGGUGUGUACUUAUUUAGAAGGCAACAAAAAAGAAGAAAAAAUUAUGGGGAAAGAAAAGGUGAAAUUAAUUGGUUAGGAUCAUCUGAUUAUCUAAUAAUAGUAAAGAUUAUGAGAGAUUUGUUCCCAAAAUCGUGAUUUGCUUAUGUUUAACUAUUUGACGAAUCAAGAACCGUAUUUAAUUGUAUUUAUAUAUGUACUUUGAGCUGUUAGUUUUUUUGAAAAUUCGAUUUUUUUAUUAUUAUUUUUUAUAUAUUAAUCGUACUGUAUGAGAGACCUUUAGAAAUAAUAAAAUACGAAUGACUCUAGCAAUAUAUAUCUCAUAUAACUUAUAAGCUUAGUUAUAAAAGCUUUAUUCAUUUUAUUCGGAAUAGAGAUUUGAGAAUGAGACAUGUGACUUUUCUAAUUUUAGUAAUGGGUCCAAUUCACGUAAUCAACCAUCUCAAGCUUGGUUACGCUCAACUAUCCUUGAAUUUAGAUUCACCGGUAAACCAAUUAAGAAAAUAUGUAAAUUUUAACUACUUUAUCUGUGAAAAUGACUUUCUAAUGCAAUAUAAUAUAAAUAUAAAUAAUAGAGGUAAAGUAUUUACUACUGAAAACAUUUACCGACUGUAAAUAUUAUGAGGGUAAAUCGCCCACCGUUUGGGCACAAACAAAGACAAAAGAGGGACUCGUGUUUGUUGUAGGGAACAAAAGUCAGAGGUUGACCCACGUGCGUAAUUAAUAUUAUGACGUGUCUGAAACCUUCUGUACUGUUUUUUUAUUUUACCCAAACAAGUCUUAACGAUAUUAGUGUGCAGUCAGUAUCUUUGUUAAUUUCUUCCCUUUUUUACUGGGCAAAGAAGAGGGCCUGAAUCUGAAUCAUUUAUCUUUACUACCCAAGAUGGAUAAAAGUAGUAAAUGAGAUUCAUGGUACAAUGCCAUGAAGGUGGAGCUAGAGCAGGUGUUUAAUUAAUGUAAAAUGAAUACAUGCAUGCAUUUGGUUUUGUUGUGAUGGUUUACAAGAUAUGAAGAUAUAAUUUCAUAAACAGAAAAACACUCAUGAAUCAUAAAGGUAAGUAAUAUUGUGAUCAACAUGAUAAAAAGUUUCAAUAAACUCCGUCAACUAUAAUAAUCCUCUGAGUAGGUGGAACAUACAUUAAUAUUAUUUAGAUCGAAUAUCUCACCCACAUUACAGGGUUGUAUAAACAAAAAAUGUUGUGUUUAACUUACUAAUAUAUGAAUAAACUAAAUUUCUAAAAGAGUAAUGAAAAAAUAAGGACCACUCAAUUGUAAAAGAGUGAGAAAAAGAAAGACAUUGCAUAUGACUUGAUUCUUCCUCCAUAUCUUAAGGAUUAGAUUUACAAAAAUUUAAUUGAUCCUUCAAAAAACCUAAUCUUUUUUCAAGAUUAUGUAAAUAUUGAAAAGUAAAGUCAAGUUUGGUAUUGAGUUUUGGGACAUAAAAUCAUUUAUAAUCACAAUUUUGAAUAUAUUUCACAUUUUGUAAAAUUUUAUGAGGUGCUUAUUUAAAUUUUUUUAGGCUAAAUAACCAUGAUUUUAAAAAGCAUGUUAGAGGUUGUUUUUUUUAAAUUAAGUUUGUUUUUAUUUAAAUUUUUUUUUAAAUUGAGUCUUCACAACAAUAUCAAACUAAGAGUAAGUAACAUAAAAUCUCUUGAUAUAGCUGUGAGCCUUCAAGACACUCCGUUAAAUACUUCAAUUCUUAUUUAAUAUAUAUAUAUAUAUAUACACGUUGUUAGUUUUUCAUAUAGUCUUAACCAGACAUGCAAAGAUUUUAUAGACCCAGAAUCUAGUUCCUUGACGCAUGUAAAAUGCACCAAUUAUGCAGUGCAACACAAUGUCUGGCCGCUUUUCUAACUUCGGGAAUCGAGCUUAAGUUGAGAGCACACUCAACUAGACAAAAAUCAUUAGACCACUUGCGGUGGUUAUACCGUAUAUAUUUGUCAGCUAAGCCUGGGUAGCUAAUUAAAAAAAUAUGGCUAAUUAAUGGUCCUUUUUUGAAAUCAAAACGGAGACCAUCAAUUAUUUACUUAACAAUCUAACAACAUAGUAAAAUAGUAUGACAUUAACGAUCGAUUAAAUUAACACGCAUGUACUAGUUCCGCUCCGUCAAGUAAUUGAAGGAAACUAAACCUGUACACUGAAUAACAUCAUGUGUGUUAAAUGAACGAAAUUAUUGCUACUACACUUUGAACUCAAACUCACACACAUAACACUCACAAAAAGAUUCACUCCCAAAACAGAAAAAAGCAGCGAGAAGAAGAAUGUGAAUCAUGAGAAACACGAGGUACGUCAAGUAGCCAUCAUCACGAGCAGCGUCUGGCGCCGUCUGCUCAUUCCGUACUAGAGAAUUCAAGGCAUCCAAUAUGUGUGGACUUGUUUCAUCCAUCCAAACAAUAUUAACCCCAAAAAAGCUCCAAGAGAUUAAGGACAUCCAGGUUCAUUGUGAGCACCCAGGUCACCAAUUAUUAUUCUAAUUCCUGUUUUUAUUCAUGGGUUUAAUAGUUGGAAUUAGAUAUUUGUAUUAUUAAGUGCCGUCAUGCAUUGUUUCUGGUAAUUAAUCAAUAAUAUUGGGGACCUACUAGCUUUGUCCCUCCAAGUUAUGACCAGAAUAUGCUCAGGUUUGUGCUGUAUUAUCUUGGCAUAUCUGUUCAUACUUUUACGGUUUACAAUACAGAUCAGCGAAAUGUAAAACCUAGGUACCCUUUUACUAAAUCCGAUCCAUGGUGAAAAAUGACAUCUUCUUAAAUAGUUUCGUUUUAACAAUGUUCUUUUUUUUUAUUAACGUAAAAGGCUUUUUAGACCCAAUGUCAAGAUUCAAGCCUAGAUUGAGAGUUACACCCAACUAAACGAGUACCACUAUACCACUCACAAUGGUUUCUUGUUAAAUAGUUAUUAUCACAGUUACACACCCAACAUUUGAUCCAGUUACUAGGGUAAGUAAAAAAGUGAAACGAAACAGUCAGCCAGAUGAUAUGAAUUGAAUUGUAACGAAAAUGUUAAAAGCCAUUACGAUAGUGAACGUGUUGUAUGUACGGAAGUCAUAUGAGAAUACGGUUAGGAUUCAACGAGAUUAGGAUUCCUAGUCCAAUCGAAUAAAAAAUGAGGAAUUUGAUUCUAAGAAUGACUCCUGCUGCAUCUUUGGACGAAUAAUGGUACAAGUGAAUGGGAUCGGAAGGACAAGUCUUUCUAUCUAUUUGUUCUAUUAAUUCUCAAAUUAUUAUGAUUAUUACUAUCUAUUUUUCUCUUAGUGGUACAUCCUACUAUGAAAAAGCUUCAUCAACAGACAACAGUUAAGCGAGUAUAAGAAGUGAUCUGUAAUUUGACCUCCUUAAUUGAGGAGAAAUCAUUUGGAAGAACCUUCAAACUGAUCUCGCAGCAGCUCAUACUUCCUAAGCUCGGCUGUGGAGAGUGAGGGCGAUAGCUCCUUUAAGACCUAAGAUUAUCGGGGACAAAGGCAGUCAGUAGAUGCACCAGAAACUGGAUUUAGAACAAUUCUUAUUUGUCUUGUAAAAGCACAACAGUACUUGUGAUUAACUCAGACACUUAAACACAGUUCAGAAAAAGACCGUCGUACCUUGACAAAAUCAUCAUAUUCAACAAUAACAGAGUCAGGUUGGUCAUCUAUGGAAGAGGAAUCUGAAUCUGAACUCAAAACCUGCAUGAAUGGCAAGAAGCACGUCAGAACAUCCCUUUAUCUAGUGAGUAUUAUAUGAUAAAAGCGUAAAGCUUAUGAACAUUGUAUCUUUAUAUAAUCCAGAAUAUUGUUGAGAAUGCAGGAGCAUCUAGUAUUCUGACUUUCUGAGUGUUGCAUCUUGAUUUGUACAAUCAUGGGUCUCUCCAGUACUGUAUAAUUGAUUGUCUACGACUCCAAUAUUAACAGAACUGUAUCAGUCUCUUUGCUUUACUAACCAGUUAAGCUCCACUCACCAAUGCAUUUCCUAUUUCAUAACUAUAAUUGAACACACCUCAAAAUCAAUCCACGUCCUUUAUCAAAUAUGAACUACCCCUCUACACCCUGAAUAUAUUGGACAGCUUACACCAAUACUUUUGGUUCAAUCAAAACCAACCAUAAGCUCUGGUGUUGACUAGACUCACCUUACGCUUAGCUGCACUAAACCAAGCAUCCGCACACAAGGCAUACAUGUCUGCACCAGUGAAGGUUGGUGGACAUUUCUUCGCUAUUGAAUAAAGUGAAACAUCUUCAUGUAACUUAAACUUUCGGGUAAGAGCUUUGAGAACCCUAUAUAAAAAAGGAAAGAAAAAGAAUCAUCAUACUGACAACAAAAUUAUUCAAUGAUGAACUUACGUAAAAACCAACCGUUCUCUGUAAGAUGGAUCAGACACAACUCCAACAUAAAGCAACUUAUCAAACCGGCCAGGCCGUAGAAGUGCUGGGUCAAUUAGAUCUGGUCUGUUACUUGCUCCAAUUAUAAACAAGUCCUACAUUAAACCAAACAAGGCUUUUCUGUCUUAGUUGAGGAUAGCAAAAUACCCUGUGAGAUAUUGGAAAAAAGAAAAAGAAAAAUAACAAGCAAGAGACAGAGCAAACACCUGAGUUGAAUCAUUUAGGCCAUCAAUCUCUGCAAGCAUCUAGUGGAACAGAAAGUCACAGUCAGUAUCAAGGAAUAAAUGCAAAUUUUCCCAGUCAUAAAGAAGGAUGCUUCACCUGAGAAACCACUCUGUCCAUGACACCCCCAGAAUCCCCAGAUGCACCUCGGGCUGGAGCAAGGGAAUCAAGUUCAUCAAAAAAUAUAACACAUGGGCGUGCUGAUCUAGCCUGCAAAGCAUGUGCAAUACUGCUCUAGUGUGAGCCAAAAUAGAUGUUCUGAAAUUCAAGUAGAUAAACAACAAUAAACUUCUUCCAAAAGGCUAAUGAUCAAGCUGGAAUGUUUUACCUUCUGGAAAAUGUCUCUGAUAUUCUUUUCUGACUCUCCUAUGUACAUAUUAAUGAGUUCAGGUCCUUUUACACUGAGAAAAUUUAGGGAGCACUCAGUUGCAACAGCUUUUGCCAGCAGAGUCUGAGGGUUGAAGUCAGAAAAACAAAUGAGUUUAACAAAUCUCUUGGGGUAAAUGAGAGGGAAAAUAGAGAAAACCUUAGAGGAGUAACUGUAACUUACUUUCCCUGUUCCCGGUGGACCAUACAGUAGAACACCAGAACGCUUUCGUAAGCCAGAUGAAAACAAGUCCUUGUGCAGAAGAGGUAACUAGAACAAACAACAAAGAAGAAUUGAGUUGAUAAAGCGUUCCAAAUUCCAAAUUGCUGGAAUCUUCCUGGUGGACAACAGGUAAAAAGUGUAGAUACAACAGACCUACCUGUACAGUAUCCAGGAUUGAUUUCUUCACAUCCUCAAGACCACCAACAUCUUCCCAUUUGACGUUAGGAACCUAUAGAGAAUAUGAUUUAAAUUGCAUUAGAUGUCCUAUAAGUAUACUACUUCCACGUUUGUUGCAAUAUAAAACUCAUUUUUUAGCCCCACAGAAGAGGACACACUUAGACAUCACCCAAUACAGAGAGCUUGAUAGGAAAGGACAAUAUAUCAUUCCUCGAAAUUAGUCUUGUCUCUCAAUUACCUUUGGAGUACCAAGGGCUGAUGCAUUCCUUUUCUUUGAUCUGUCCAAUGCUUUUGUCAAGCUUUCUUUUCCCAGAAUCGGAGAUGUGACUUCACAGGACUUACUGUCUGAUUCGACAUAAUCUUUGAGAGAAGCAUCUGAUUCUUCAGACUUCACUGUGUCAAUCUGAGCAUUGCCUUUUGGAAUCAAGUUUGCACCAGCAUCAGCAACCAAUGCACAGAUAUCUCUGGGCAUGAAACCAGAUGUCUGUGCAACUAUAUCCUUUAUAAGAUCCUCCGAAUCAGUCUGCAAAAAAACAAUUCUGAUCCUUUUAAGUCACGAGAUGAUCAAAAGAAACUACAAUUAAUACCAUGUAGAAUACAAAGGCGUACAGAACUUGUUUAUGGACUUCAAGAUUCACAUUCAGUUAAAAUCUGAAAAGUGACAGAUGGAGAGUUUACCAUUUGACAACACUGCAUUAGGCAUUACAUAUAAUUAUAUAAAAAAUUGCUACCCGAAGACAUAUUUAAGCGAUGUCAAUACUUGGUGCGACCAUGAUAAUUUUUUAACCACACCAUAGGAAUGCGGCAAACCAUCAAAUUGGGGGGGGGGGGGGGGAACGGUGGUGGAUAUAACACUUGUUUUGGUCAUACCCAACCAUCGAAAGCCAGAGGAAAAAAAGUAUUUAAGCAUCAGAAUCACGGUAUCAUCAAGGGAGAUCUUGACUGAAAAUUAUUAUACCCAAUCAAUAUAGAUGCUGAGCCCCAGUGCUUGACAGGAGCUCAGAUGAGAACAGGUGUCAGAUAAAAAACAAUUCUUGGCCCACCAGGUAGCAGCUUAGGCUUUUGAAAUCAAUAGCAAACCAACAAAACGUAUGCAUCAUAAUCAUAUUUAUAAUAGACUGCACACAUAAAAGGUUAGGAUUUUCCAACAAAACUUAUGCAUGAUAUACUUCUAAUAGAAAACACAUAUAAAAGGUAAAGAGAAACCAAACAUAUUUUUUACAUACAUUAGAAAGGAAUUCGGAAGCCUUCUGCAAAGACUCUGAGACCAUUUUAACCCUUUGUUCUUCAGUCAAUGGACCCAUACUUAUUUCAUGGCUAAAGCAACGUCUAAUAGUUGGCGGUAGACCUUCUGAACUGUCAGCAGCUGCAAUUAACAGCACUUGAUGCCUACCUACUUUCCCAGAAUCCUGCAUGCAGUGUAGUAUUAUUAGGUUGGUCAGAUUAGAAAACAAAAAACAACAUAGCAAUCAACAAAAGAGGAGAAGUCACACAUGAAAAAUGAGUGAGGACUAGAAUUUACAUCAACUAAUGAUCAUUUCUCAGAACCGAAAUUAAUUAAUCAUACAUAAGAAUAACCCAAGACACAAAAUAUGGCACUAAAGCCAUGUACUUACAGUAUGACCAUUUUGUUUUUGUUCCAUAUCUCCAGAAUCAAAAAUUGGCUCAGUGAAUUCCCUUAUAAGUGAUGCAACUUCAGAAGUGAUGCCAACUUGAUCAUUUGGUGAACCUUCUUGCAAAUUCCGGAAAACAUCAAAAUGGCGGAGAAGAAGUAUAGUUGGCGAGUAUCUGAAAGAACAUUGCAUAAGAACGAACUGGAACAACCAUUGAAAGUAGGAAACUUAGGUGCAACAAAAUUGAAGGAUAUGGCAGAGAAAGUUCUCCCAUCAAAUGAUAUAAUGGAGAAGGAUAAAAUAAGGAUAGAGUAGUAUGACUGUUUUCUCAUAUAUCAUCGAAGAAAAGUUGUAUAGCUAAUUAGUGAAACAAUAGGUAACAAUAACUGCUGCUGUCAAGCAUAUAUCAUAAAAAUGCAGUAGUAACAGAGGAAAUUUGGGACCUCUAGCAUGUAUCAUACUCAAAAAAUGCAUUGCUUUACCUUUGAGCAGCAUUCAAGGUUUGGGCUAGUGCAACAGAAAUCUUUUUUUCAGAUGACGUCGUCAGAUUAUGACAGCUAUAUUCAACUACAUGCAGGCCCAAUCGACGAGCAACAUAUCUAAUAACCGUUCUCUUCCCACAUCCUGCACCAAGCAUCAAAUAACUACUCAAUGACACUAAACUCAUGUGCGCAUGAAACAUACAACUUAGGCAACUCAUCCAGGGUAAUCAUUCUUUUCCAUAAGUGGUAAUAGGUUAAAGAACUAUAUUACAUAUUGAAUGCUUAAUCCCAAGGGAUCUUGUUAGAGAGUAGAGACCUUGCGAAAUUAAAUAUAAAUGCAACCAUCAAGUGUUCAUGACAAAAAGGAAAGCUUCAAUAUACCUGCCAAUCCAUACAAUAGGACAGAAACUCUGAAUUUUGAGGAUAGUGCUGAGGGGCACAGAAGCGGAGUAAGUAUGGAGGCCAACAUUUUCACUGUGUCCCCUUGCAAAGGUACAAAACCUUUUUGUCCAGCAAUCAAUAAAUCAGGGGGCACAGCAGAAGAGACGCUUCCUCCAAGCACAAGGGCAGUUUGAGAACGGUUAACUCGGAGAAUUGGUUUGUCCAAAGGUUCCAUAGCCACAACCUAAGACAACAAAUGACACGGUGAUUGUCAUUAUCACAUUUGUUGACUAGAAAUUGCAACUGAUGAAAAGCACUGAGAAUUCACCUUGAAAUAGAUAGUGUUAUCAACCCCAUUUUCCAAACUUUGGUCGCAAGGAACGCAAACCAUUGACUUGCAAUUCCACUUUAUACAAACACUGAAAACAUCACCUCUUGCUAGAUACCUAUCAACCUCAAAGUAGCUAUGCAGUGCCGAAUCUAUCAUUUCUUGACGAUCUUCAUGUUCAACAGCCGAAUUCCCUCUAAGAGAGUCAAGACUACCACAUUCCGGUACCUUCACAAACGAAGCCCUCAAGUGCGAAGCAUAUCUCGGCAACUCCAAAUGCGGCUGUAUCCCAAUCACAGAACCCCCAAUCCCUUUCCCACUCGCCUCAUCAUCCACCCCAUCCCCAAAAUAAGACGCCAACGCCGCUUCCCCUCUGUGAACAAGCGAUUUCAAGCACAAUGUAUGCAAGUCAAUGUUAAACGCCAACAUAGGCGACAUAUACGCAACUUCCUGAUCUAACAACAUGUGGCCAUUUCCAGGCAAAGUGCAACAAGGCAGAACAAGCAUUGCGUGGGAAGACUGGCCAGCAGAUAGUUCAGUGUUCUCGGAGCGGUCCGGUGGAUCCACAACAAUGACCUGAGCAAUUCUUUGUAUGUUUGUCUCCAUAUUCUUCACAAGCACCUUGUUUAUACAAAUCAAAAUCAAAGGAAAAAAAAAAACACUAAAGCAUCAAUUACUUGCUGUGCAGAAUUUUCCACAUGAAAUUAACGCUAAAAUUGAAGUAAUUAAAGAAAUUACAGCUCCUCCUACAAUUGAAAUCCGAAGAAUUAAAGAGUAAAUUUAGCAGAGAGAAAAGAGUAGAUGGAUUUGGAUACCAGGGAGCCGGAGGUGAUGUAGAGGCGUUUGAGGAGAGAAGUGGAGAGGCCGACGAGAGCAGAGUCGUCGAGAGAAGCCGAUUUGGGGCUCCGGUCGACGUAGAAUCGGAGAAUUCCCGGCGGAAGCAGCUGGAAGCUGGUGGUGACGUCAUCGGAGGCGGAGAGUGGGUGAUCGUCGCCGGAGGUGAGGCCUCCCGGCGGGGAAGAGAGUAGGGAUUUGAUGAGAGUUUUAGUGGAAGUGAGUACUAGUGGCUUCCUCCUCCCCACCAUUGGAAACUAGUGAGCUCUCUCUCUCUCUCUCUCUCUUUGGGGAACAAGUUCAAAUUUAGUUGCAUAGUAGUAUUUAUAUGAAGGUAGAGAGAGAGAGGUGGGUUGGAUUAGAGUGAGGAGCGCAUUUCGAUAGAAAGUAAAAAGGGACAAAAAAGUUAAAAAUGGAGAUGCGGGGUAUCGAUCCCCGUACCUCUCGCAUGCUAAGCGAGCGCUCUACCAUCUGAGCUACAUCCCCAACUUGACAGCUCCGGGAUUAUGCGGAUUAUUAACCUUCAUAAAGAAAAGAAAUGUGAAUUAUGAGUGAUAAAAUAUUGUGUGGCAAAAGUUUUAGUGUUUCAAAGUAAUGAAAUUCUAGAGUCCAAUAAAGAAUGUUGUUUUACGAUUGUAAGAAUUCAGUUGUACCAACUUUUCUUUCAUAUAGAAAGAGGUAGCGGAAGCUUUGUGAUUACAAAACAACUCUUAACAUGGUAUAAGGAAAGGUUGUUGUGUUGGAAGACGGACAACCUUAGCUUCUAUGCGUGCCUGAUUUGGAGGAAAGAAUCUUGCAAGAUAUGGAUAUAGACUUGUGCAAUCUCUAUGAAUGUAGACCCAUCAAUAAACCAGGUAGCACAAACAGCUCUUCAACUAAGCUCAAGUCCUCAUCUCCAUAGCUACCUACUCAUCCAUACAAGGCAGCUUGUGCAAUCAAGUCCAAUGACCUUUUUCAAUGACUAUACAAAACUGUUUGCCUGUCUCUCUCUCUCUCCCUAAUAUGUCUUCAAUCUGAUAGAAACAACCAGCUGGGAGAAACAAAAUGAACAAAGUUUCAAUUCCACAUAGAAGAUUGAUCAAUGAUGGAGCUUUUCACAAUAUAUUUAUUGACAGAUCCACAAAACCAACAGUGUUGAACUGUUGAUUAAGUUGCACAACUGCAGAUUUAUGCAUCAGAGCCUUAAAUAGUUAAAGCAUGUGAUCGGGUGCAUGUAGGUGCCCUUAUAAUUACUUCUGCAAUUUUCAAGCCGGCCUGUUGGCUUAACAGGCCUAUCAAAGCAGCAAGGAAAGUGUGCAUAUGAUGUGCGCUCUGAUCCUCCAGUUCUCUCCGAAGCAGGCUGCUGCUGCAUGUUUAGUUUGCUCUUCAACCAACCUCAACCCAGUAGCCAGCAAUAUAGAGUUGCUACUGCAUUAAAUCUACUAAUGACUGUUUCUAAUGAAACUAGAGAAGAAACAUGUAAAUAUCUCUUACAUUAAUGUUAUCUACUAGGUUCAGUAUCAGCUAAGCUAAUUUUUCAUUCCUCCAAUGCAAACUGAUUUCGUUUACCUUCAUCUUCUUCGACCAUUAUAGAGUAACCCUAAAGCUCUGGAAUCAAGAUCAAAGGAUGAUCCAUAGCACCACACCAGGGUUGUUGGUUCUUAAACCAGUUUAAGUAGAUAACUGGAUAGAGACGAACCGAGUCUCUAAUGAAACCAAUAAGAGAAUGAUAACUGCAGCAACUAUAGUUUAGCUUUUCACAUUUUUGACAAACCAUAAAACCAGUAAGAGCCACAACAGAGCACAUUCCAUUGCUGCCGAUCAAAUACCUAAUUGUUAAUGCCAAUUUGAUGUAACAGGACAUGAUAAAUAAGACAGUGAUUCCCUUAAAGGAACAGCUAUUUUGUAGACACUAGUUGACAAACCUCUUUCAAAUCACCACUAGGCUUCUUCACAAACUUUCUUGCAGCACCUCCAGAUUCAAAGCUACCCCCCCAGAAAUGUUGCAGCGUCACCAAGAUCAUACAUCCUGCACAUAUACUUUGCCUUGGUAUACAUCCAACAAUUGAGGUACUUGGUCGAGAUAUCUGGUGACAAACCUACUAAAGAAGCACUCCUCUGAAGGCACAAACACAUAAGACAAACUCAACUUCUUCUCUUCUAUCAGUCCUUUCAACAACAAAACUCUAACAACCGAACACCGAGGGAUGAUUCUCUUCUCCAAGCUGUACACAAAAACAUACGGAACCUCCGCAAUUUUUCCUGAUUCCCAUCCCAUCUUGUUCACUAAGAAAUCCAUUGUCACCAUUAUUUUCUUCUCAGACACCAUCAUACACAGUGGAUGCCUCUUGAAGGCAGAAAGAAUAUCAUUAUCCGACCAACCCCACCUCCUAUAAGCCUCUUCCUUAUGUCUCCAUGUUGUUUUCUUCCAGGAUAAUACGACCAUGGCUUGCACAAAGUUCACAUUUCCCGGGUCAAAUCCCAUUUCUGCGACUUGGCGGACUAAUUGACUGAAGAAUUCAGGCUUUCUCGUCACAGUCUUACUAAAACAUGCUACCAACCGCGCAAGAGCCGAGUGGGGCAUGCCCAACUCUGUAACAAGUCUAAUAUUGGGUUUAACAUUCUUGGAUAGAUUUUCCAAGAAAAUGGAUGAGUUCUGUUUUAGAGUACGAACGACCUUGACAUCAGAGAUCACCACGCUUUUGAGGAAGUUAUAACAGGGUAUAAGACUGUUUUCCAAGCUUCGCGUCAAUAGAUUUGGGUUGUAAGUCAUUAUUUUUGCAAGGUCGAGCCUUGACAUCCCUAUGGAGCAGAAAAACUCAAGCUUUGGCAAAAGGGUCUUCUUCGCAUUGGCUAAGAUAAGUUGCGGGCGUCUCCGCACAAGAGUUGAGAUCUGGGUAUCUGAGAAUUCAUACUCUCUCAAAAGGGCUAGAACGGAGUUUGGUUGCUCUAAAGAUCGAAGCUGUACCUUGUGGGCUGCUAGAGUAGCGGCUUUUGGGGACAACCCACAUGAGCGAAUGAGGUAAGAGAGUGUAGGAUUGUCUUGGGCUGCUGGGAUUAUCGAGCUGCUGAUGAACCUUCGACCAAAAUGAGAAGCAGCUACUGCAAAUGCUUGAUUUCUGUACAGAAGACUUGAAAACAUUGGGUGUGCGGAUCCGAGGCUCUUGCCGAAAAUGUAGAAGAGUGCCAUGCUCCACUCAUUACUUCAUUAGAGAGAAUUGGAGUAUUGGAGAUGGCCAAUUUUGGGUUCCCAAUUCAAAACGCACUAGGGUUUUGGUUCUCCCAAAUGAACCUCAUCUACUGUCGUCUUUUGCUUUUCCCACUUACUCUUGAAAUGUUGAGAGAGUGAAUAUAAUCUAUAAAUAUAUAGAGGGACUAAUUUAGCCCUCAAAGUUUUACAGAUGUAAAUAACGAGGUGGCAUACUUUCAGUCGAGAUCACAAAUUUAUAUAAUGCCGUUUUGAUUUUUUCAAAACAUAAGACACCUAAAUUACGAGUAGGUCAUUUAUCGUGUACAAUUGUUAAAAAAUUUCCGCACAAAUAAUGUAUUGUUGAUCUCAGCUGCGACAUCAAGUGAGGGGUGAGAUGAAGCUACUCUGCUCACUUUUGACAUCUGCUCACUGAUCUACUCUGCAUCACUGAUCUGCAUAUAGGAUUUAGUAAAGUUAAUAUGAACAUUCUAGUUUUCUAAUUCUGGAUAUAGCUCAUGAUGUUAUGAUCAUUUUUGUGCUUAGUCUAAAACUUGUCAUUUCGAUAAUGUUUGAUACUAGGGAGUAUUAUAAAGCCGAAAAAGGAAAAAAGAGACCAGGGGUAGCUCAGGAAUUCGAGGAAAGUUGAUCAACUAUAUAAAUGAAACAUUAUUUACAGAAGAUUUCCACUUCCAGCUACAUUCCUCCUGAUUGUGCAUUCAAAUUGAAGUAGAUGAAUAAAUCGAUCUAGAGAGUGUGAUUAGUGAGCCACAGAGAGGCAGAAACUAUAAACUAAUGAGUUUCAAUUGAGUUUUUCACAAUAUUGACAGACCUCAAAAACUAAGCAGUGAUAACAUAGAUGACAUUCAAUUUCUGCGCAUCAAAUAUCUCAUUGUUCAUAACGAAUUCAGGUAACAAGACUCAGACCGAUUACAAACAGUUGGUGUUCUCGUAAUCAAAACAAGUAAAAUCAAGGCUGAGGGAACACAUGAGAAACCUGUUUCUGUUCUCGUAAUCAAACAAGUAAAAUCAAGGGUGAGGGAACAUAUGAGAAACCUGUUUCUUAUCCAGACUUGGGAGGCUAAUUCAGUUUUCUCUGGUAAUGCCUCUGAGAUGUGACACUAUCAGCCUAGCAACUAUGUUACCUUGUCCACUUCCAGUUUGCCAUGGUACACAUUCAACAAUUCGGGUACACUGUCGAGAAAUCUGGUAACAAAGUUACUCAAGAAGUACUUGUCUGGCACCCUUAUAACAGUAGCCAAACUCAAGUUGUCCUCCUUGAUCAAUCCUUUCAGAAGCAAAACUUUAACAACCGAACACCUUGGUAUGAUUCUCUUCUCCAAGCUGUAGCAUAAAACAUGGGGAUAUUUUGCAAUCUUGUGGGAAUGCCAACCCAUCUUGUUCACUAAGAAAUCCAUUGUUUCCAUUAUUUUCUUCUCAGACUUGGUCAUGCAUGGUGGAAACAACUUAAAAGGCAGAAAGAAUAUCAUUAUCAGACCAAUCCCAACUCCUAUAAGCCUGUUGACAUCGUUUCCAUGUCGUCCCUUUUAAAGAUAAUGCCUGCAUAGCUUGCACAAAGCUUGACUUGUGAGGGUCAAAUCCCAAUUGUUGGACUUCACCCACAAGUUGACUGUACAAAUCAGGCUUCCUCAUCACACUAUGAGCAUAAUAUGUUAGCAACAAAGCAAUACAUGAUUCCGACAUGCCCAAUUCUCUCAGAAUCUGAGUAUUGGGUAUCACAUUCUUGGAGAGAUUUGCUCUGAAAAUCCAUGAGCUCUGCUUCCAAAUAUUGACGACCUUGACAUCAGAGACCACCACGCUUUUGAGGAAGUUAUAACAGGGUACAAUAAAGUUUUCCAAGCUUCGGUCAAAGAGCAUCGAGUUGUAGGUCGGUGUUUUUGCGAGGUCGAGCCUUGAGAUUCCUAUGGAGCAGAAAAACUCAAAGCUUUGGCAAAAGGGUUUUCUGGGUAUCGGUCAUCAGAAUACGUGGGUGUUUCCGCACCAGAGUUGAGAUUUGGGUAUCUGAGAAUUCAUACUGUCUCAAAAGGGCUAAAACAGAGUCUGGUUUCUCUAAAGAUUGAAGCUUUACCUUGUGAGAUGCUUUAAUGGCGGCUUCUGGGGAGAGAGACCACAAGAGUUGACCAGGUAAGAGACCGUGAAAUCGUCGGUCAGUGUUGUUGUACAAAACCACUGACUUUGAAGUCCUUCGAACGGGAUGCGAUAUCUGCAAAACAGACGUGAAAAUGGGUAUGACAGGGUCUUGCUGCAAAUGUAGUCGUGUGCCAUUGGAAUUUGCAACACCGAUUAGAGGGAUGGGAGGAGUCCCAAUUUCACUGCACUCUAGGCAUUUUAUUUUUUAUUUUUAAACAGAGAUGGAAAGGUUUUAAUUUUUUUUUUCACUGUUGAGAAAACAUUGAGCUUUUUAAUUUGUAUGAUACCUGAACUAUGGAACUAAUGUCUAUUGCAUUAUGGUUAUAGUUCAGGUACCAUAUAUGAGGAUUUUUCCUACAAACAUUGAGCUUUUCACAUAAUUGACCACAAAACCAAUGAGCUUUUCACAGUUUUGGUAUAGAAUGAGAGAAAUUCAUACAUCAGCUAUAUCACAUCCAACAAUUGAGGUACUUGGCCUGAGAUAUCUGUUCACAAAACCUAUCCGAAAAGUACUUCUCCUAGACAAUAUGGGAGAAUUGCACAGAACUGGCUUUCAAAAUCCUAGAGUUUAGCAUAUUAUAAACAGCAGAACCCCAAAUUUCUAAUCCGUUCUCCUGUACUUCUAGCUCCAGCACUCGGAUCAUGAACAUGUUCCAGUUUUCCUUGUCCAGGUCAAGGUCGUCACCAGCAUAUCCUUGUAUGAUUCAACUUCACCAAUAACUAUGUCAGUAGACAAUUUUCAUGAGCAAGUUACACAUAAGUAUUACAUGCCUUUGAAGUAGACGAAUGCCCAAAUGCUCAACACACUCUAUGACCAAACAAGGGUCAUUCCUUUGGGGUGCGUUUUGUAGCUCAUGCAUCUUAUGUACAAUGAAAGCAAGAUGUUGGUGCUAACUGUUUACGUAGUACACUCCUGAAUCGCAUGAUCAACCUAUGUCUUCCAGUUCUGGUCAGCCUUGCCUUCGACGUGGAAGCUUUCCUUCUCAACUGAACUGAACUACUCAACUCAUGUAAAUCUGAUCCUGAUGGGUGCUGUGUUGAAUUGAAUGUAAACCCUAAACCAAAUUCAAUAAUUCAAUAUUCACUUCAUGUGUGUAUAUAUGUUGCACUGUAAUCAUUAUUUUCAAUGAUUAUGAUAAAAAUGGGUUGGAAAUUGAUGCUUUAGUUUCUUCUUCCCUGUCUUCUAUAGACCAUUUGCAUGCCUUAUUCUUUUAUAUUUGAUAUUGGUAAAUAAAACAUGUCUUGUCUAACAGUGUUUUAGAUACCACUCGCGUGUUGCUGCGGGGUAGGAUUUCUUGAUGAUGACCAAUAUUCAAUCCUCAUUUCACGCCUCCUAUGCCAUCACCUUUUCUAAAUCUACCGCUGAUUCUCCCGUCUUUCCCUAAUUUUUCACAAACACAUCCAUCUUUCCCAAAUCCACCACCAACAUCAUGGCCUCAUGCCUGCAAAAUCCACCGCUCAUCUCCAAUUCUACCACCUCCUAUUCCGCCACCUGCACAAAAUUCACCAUCAACCCCAUAGCCUCUACCAUCAUUUUUUAAUUCCACCACCAUACCAUAGCUUUUCCCUUGCCAAAACCCACCAUGGACAGCUCUGAUCCUAUGCCCACAACCAAGUAAAAAAUAGAAAAUAAAGAAGUAACAAAUUUUCAAGGACACAAACGUCUUUUUGAUCAGAAAAAUUGAACAUUUGCAAAUAAAUUUGUAUUAAGAGGUAACACAGUCUUUUUAGUCAGUAUAAUGGUAGAUUUGUAAAUAAAUUACAUUAAAGGGUAAAAAAGAUAAGGGGCAAAAACACAAUUCACCAGAACUUGAGGGCAAAAACACAAUUCAUCAAAGAUAUAAACAGUGUUUUUCCCCUUGUUGUUUUAUUUUAUAGAAUGUUGAUGAGUGAUGACCCAAAACUCUCAAGUCAUCUACGGCCAACACAAAAGUGAAAUGAAAACAGUAGAGCCAUCUCAGACCUUAAGUCUUCUCUAUGAACUUAGACUUGAACUUUAAAAGAGCACAUAACAGCAGAUGAAGCAAUCUAACUAAAUGAUCAUGGGUAAGGUGGUGCUGGGUCAAUAUUUUUGAAUAGCUCAACCUUUAUAUGGUUUGAAGAGCAGCCUGUACCUGAUGAACACCAACAGAACUCAGAGACCCCUCACGUUUUACAUAUUAGAAAAACCAAAUUCCUUCAUGUGGCAAUGUGACAUGAAGCAAUAGACAAUGUGACAUUGCCUGAUAGGUUCAUACAACCAGUUCAAUAAGCACUCGAGAUGAUGCAAGUAUAAAGUAAUGAUUCUUGAUCAAGAUAUUUUAAGGAACAGAAAAUCAAUGCGAGAUAAAACAGGACACUUACCAUUAACUGAGAACCUCUUCAAAAAUUCCACUCCUUCCAUUUCUUCUAGAAGAGCCUCAGAGUUCAAGACUAUAAAUCCAAUUUACAGUGUCAUCAAGAACAUACAUUCUGCACAUACGCUUUGCCUUGGUACACAUCCAACAGUUGAGGUACUCGGCUGAGAUAUCUGUUCACAAACCUAUCCAAGAAGUACUCCUCCAACCUCGAAAGAACAUUAGCCAAAUUCAACUUCUCCUCCCCUAUCAAUCCUUUCAAAACCAAAACUCUAACUGAAAACCUCGGGAUGAUUCUCUUCUCCAAGCUGUAAAAAAAUCUCCAAGCUGUAAGAAAAAACAUGGGGAUAUUUUGCAAUCGUGUGGGAAUCCCACCCCAUCUUUUUCACUAGGAAAUCCAUUGUGUCCAUUGGUUUCUUCUCUGACAACAUCAUACACAGCGGAUACGCCCUGAAGGCAGAAACACAAUGAUCCUCAGACCAACCCCACCUCCUAUAAGCCUCUCGACAUCGUUUCCAUGUCUCUUUUGCAGCCAAUACAUUCAUGGCUUGCACAAAACUUGUCUUCUGAGGGUCAAAUCCCAUUUCCUUGACCUCACCCACAAGUUGGCUGAACAAUUCAGGCUUUCUCGUCACGAUACCAGCAUAAUCUGUCAGCGACAAAGCAAUACACGACCCGGGCAUGCCCAAUUCUCUCACAAACUCACUAUUCGGCACUACUUUCUUGGAUAAGUUACUUGCGAAAAUAUAUGAGCUGCGCUUCCAAGCACUGACGACCUUGACAUCAGAGACCACAACGCUUUUAAGCAUGUUAUAACAGGGUACAAUAAAGUUUUCCAAGCUUCGCAUCAAAAUAACUGGGUUGGAGGUCAGUACUCCUGCAAGGUCGAGCCUUGAGAUUCCUAUGGAGCUGAAAAACUCAAGCUUUGGCAAAAGGGUUUUCUGGGCAUUGGCGACCAGAAUAUAUGGGUGUCUACACACAAGAGCUGAGAUCUGGGUAUCUGAGAAUCCAUAGAGUUUCAAAAGCGCUAAAACGGAAUUUGGUUUCUCUAAAGAUUGAAGCUUUACCUUGGGGGAUACUAGAGUAGCGGAUUCUGGGGGCAAUCCACACGAGCGAACCAGGUAAGAGACUGUACAAUCGUCUUGGACGGGUCUGGUACAAAACAGCUGCUUCUGAAGACCAAACUGUGAAUCCAAUCCCUCCACUGGGUGCUCAUAGUUUCUAAACACACGAGCUGAUCUGAAGACCCUUUUGAAAAUGGAGAAGGCGGCCAUACUGAUACCCUACUGUUUCAGAGUGAGGAGAUUGUUAAUCCCCCGUUUGGGAACUCUUCUAUUAAAUAAGAUUUUGGAACCCUUUCAAGUAGUGCAGCAUACCCAUUGCCAGUAACAUUGUGACAAAACACAACAAGGUUAAUACUUUGCAGUUUGCCGUUCGUCUUGGAACUUAGACUCAAAACAUUCAACUCCUUUUAACUCGUUUCUUGUUGAUACAACGUAUAGGUGCCUCUGAUAAGAAAAAGAAACAAAAAGACGUGUAUACCGAGAACCUGUAUCUUCUAUAUAUAAACUUACUAGUGCAAUAUCCGAACGAACAGAAACCUAUUUAGUAUCCUCAUCAGAAUUCUCUACUCGAAUCCAACUCAAGCAGGAUGGACUAAUUUCUGGGAGAGAAGAGCCUGCAGGGAUCCAGCCUCAGCUACAGGCGGACUGCAAGUAAAGUUUUGGCAGACAAGAGCAACCACUUUGUCUGCGGCAAAAUGACUCUUUGCCAUCAGAGCGAUGUUGCUGUUUUUGUCUUCCCAGAAUUGCAUCUCUUCUGAAUUUGUUGGAUCUAUGUGAAUAACCUGUCAUUGGUUGCACAACAAAGUGGUGUUUACUAAAGAAGAUCAUAAGAUAUUCCAGAAAAACUGCAGCGUUACAACUUGCAUAAGUUCACUACUCACUGUUUUGUUGGUAUCAUAUGACGCAUGAGCUGCAGCCAGCAUGGUCUCAAACUCAUCACUUCUCUGGCCAACCAAGACAACUUGCUUCCGAGAAGGGGCAGUGAGCAUGUCAGAGGCACAACACAUUAAGGGUACUGCCAUGGCCAUGUCCUUUAAUCUCUUCUCAAAGACCGCCUGUCAACAGAACAGAAAAUGAAAGGCUCAAUAGAGAUAUAUUCCUGGAUAGUGAAUUUGUAAGAUCAGAAUUUUGGUUUACGAACCAGAACAUGUUCAGCUUCCUGUCUGUAAUGCUCAGACUUGUUGCCAGAUAGUAAGGAUGCCAGUCUCACAAGGUUGAUCACAGAAACCGAGUUUCCGGAGGGCUCUGCCCCGUCAUGAUCUUCCUUCACACGAAGGAGAACAUUGGGGUCAUCACCUGGGGUAUUGAAAUAGCCGCCUCCCUCUUUAUCAAGAAAUAUUUCAUCCUGGAAAAUAUGUCAAACAAACUCGCAUCAAGUCUAGGGAAGAAGGUGAAAACUACAAGACUUAGAGAUGGCGGAUAAUAUUUCUUGCCUGCAUUUCUUGCAGUUCAAUUGCCCAAACUAGCCAGCUGGUUUGACCACCAAAUUCAUAAAGAUCCAAUAAUCCUGAAAUAAGAAAAGCGUAAUCAUCUAAAAAUCCAGGUGCUUUAGAUGGGCCGUUCCUGAAGCUGCGUUGCAGUCUAUGAGAAUGCUCAUUGUAAAGGUGUCGCCUGAUAAAAGAUGCUGCCUUUUCUGCAACUUCAACGUACUCCCGUGGCUGACAUAUUUGUGAUGUAACACAUCAGAACAAUCAGUGAAGUAAAAAGAUGUCCACCGAUGUGACUAUCAUGGUUAACCUUACAGGCCCCCUGCCCUACGAACUGAUAAUUAUUACAUUACAUCUAAAAUGGAAAACAUUAAUUAUUAAGAAAAUGUUUUACUAAAAGAGAUUACGCCGUGAAUGUAACACUCAAAACUUCAAAACUAGUACACAAGUCCAAUUUCCCAUAAAUGAAAACGAAUUCAACACUAGGCAUUUUCCAAAACCACCAAACCUUCUUUUCCACGUAUAUUAACAACUCGUAUGACUACUAAUAAAGUGAAAGUCAGUGAAGGCUUACAUCGCAACCAACAACAGGGAAGUUAAAUUUGAUCUCCUUGGGUUCAUUCUUCAGAAUUUUAGAAGCUCUUGCAAAGGCUGAGAUGGCCAGUCCAUUCCAUGCUACAAUUACCUGGCAAAAUCUGAUUUAUCAAUUUCUGGGUGACAGAUAAAAAGAAAAGGAUAACAGAAUGAGGUGAAUCCUACGAAAAUUUGAAUUGAGAGAGUAACACCUUGUCAUCCAAAUGUGGUCUCGGUCGACUACAUCUUAUUUCAAACAGCUUUUGCCUGCUCCGACCCAGAAUAUCGAGGUAUUUCUCAACCGCCAUAGAAAAUUUUGAUGCCUCAGAUUCACUUUUUCUCUCAAUGAGCACAUUCUUACCCUUAAAUUCAUUAUGAGGAUCACUCAUUCUAGAGAGGUCACAGUUACCUGAAGGCUUUAUGUAAUAGUGGUUCUUAAAAAGUGUUGCAUCUUCCCCAAUUAUAUCUUCAACCUAAAUAGAAUCAGACACUUAAUAACAGAAAGAGAAAAAUAACACAGUAGACUAAAUAUCACUAGUGACAGAUAAAAUUCACACCAUUGAAGUAACUCUAAUGCAGACACACAGCCAAAAUUAGGGAAAUGCUAAAGUCGAUGGAGAAACCUCUUUGCUAGACCAAACAUAGAAUGCUCCUUCCUUUUUCCUAGUAGCACCUUCAGAUUCAGCACUAUCAGCAUCUUCAGCUGAAUAUAUUUCGCCUUCUAGUCCAAUCAUAUCUCUCCUCAGAUAAUCAAGAACAUCCCGAGCAAUAGAUGCAUAGAAUACAUCUUUGGUGAUAGAAAAUGCAUCUAGGAAGACAUUAACAAGUUGGCCUUGAUCAUACAACAUCUUCUCAAAGUGUGGUACUGCAACAUAACACAAUAAUCUGUUACAAAUAUGAACCAGAGAAAAGAGAUACUGGGCAUGGUGACCAUGAAACAAAUGCAUUCGAUUAAAUAAACAGGUCACUCUGCAAUCAUGCCUGUCAAGUAGAGAUUUGAUGGAAGUAAAAUUCUAUAAAAAGAACUAACCAUGCCAGCACUCAUCCACACUAUAUCGGUGGAAGCCACCUCCUACGUGAUCGUGAAUUCCCCCUCUUGCCAUACAUUGUAAGGUGAAGAGAACCUGUCUCACAACUUCAUCGGCAUUGGCAGGACUUCCAGUCUCCUCCAACUUCUUUGAAUAAUAAAGCAUCAGCUGAAUCUCAACCGGUCUAGGAAACUUUGGGGCUGAUCCAAACCCACCAAACUUCGAAUCAUAACUUUGAGAAAGCUUUAAGAAGAUCAAAUAAAUGCAAAUGCAUUAGAGCUGACUUCUUGUGCAGCAAGAGAAACAAUAAUACACGACUCAUGUUUUUCACCACAAAGUUGAAUAUACGACUCAUGUUUUCCACCAAAUAGUUUCAUUACGAGCUCCCUCUUCUUUGAAGCUUAAUGAAACAUCAGUGACUAUUUGCCCAAAACAAAAAAAAAAGGUGACCAACAUGUUUCCCAAAAUGCCCUUAUUAAAAAGUGAAGAACAGAAAGAAAGUUAUUAGGUAUGCAGCAGGUCUUUGACUUGCAACACCAAAAGCUCAUAAGUAACAGUAUGGUUCAUGGCUCGUCGCAAACAGAUAAGAAAAUUCUCAAAUAAGGCUACAUACUUGCUCAGCACAUAGACGCAAAGCAUUCUUUGGAACCCCAUCUGACAAUUUUUUAGAACUUGCACUCGUUGACAAGGCUUCUGACAACUGUUCAAUAGCAAAGGCUCCACUCUUAACAAGCGCAUCCCUCUUGGUCUCCCAGGCUUCUUUCACCUUUCUGAAGCAAAAGGUGCAGAUACAGGUAAUGCUUAGAAUCUAAUCAACAUUGAACUGUGCUGAAACUUUCAAGUGUUUGUGCCAAUCAAGAUAACCAUGGAAGGGAAGGGGUGGUAGGGAGGGGGCAGAAUUGUAAGUUAAUUGUUCAAAGACUGAACGCCUUCUCACCCAAGUAUUGUCUUAAAUCCUAGUCUUCCAUACUUGUCCUCUGGGGGAAAGUAAGUUCCACCCAUCAAAGGUUUUAAAUCUGGGGAAAGGAAUGCAGUCAGUGGCCAGCCUCCACCACCAUACAGAGCCUGUACAUAUGUCAUGUAUACCUGGAAGAAUAAAAAUGGUCUCAGCACAUCAUGCUGCUCAUAUAACAGAUGCGAAGUUGUUACUAUUUUUCUGAAAAGGGUUCUUCUCGAACAACUAGAAAUCAUUUGUGCCAGAACAAAAAGUUGCUGUGAUGAAACAAUUUUUAUUUUUUUUCAUAUGGCAGGCAUAUUAGAGCUUCUAUGGUUUUACAUAAAAUGAAGUUGAACCAGACCGUUAAUCACCAGUAAGUAUAUGUAAACUUUUAAGCACAUUACUAACUAAGCCUCAUGCUCAUGACUAUAAUCACCUUUCAUAUUGUCUCCUAAUCUUUUGGAAAUACAAAAUGCUCCUGAGAAUCUUUAAUAUCAUUAAAGAUAACAUAACAAUUAGAAAUUCAAAGACUUUUAAAAAAGAAUUCCCAAUCAUAUGUUAGGAGCUCCGGAAGGCCUACUAGUAACUUCUGGUAUUAAUGAUGGUAAUUUUCUAAGUUUAUAAUCAUGAAUCAUUCACCUUAUCCACAUCUGGUCUUUCCUCCCGGUCCACCUGCGGUAAUAGUAUGUUAGAAAAAAGGACUACAGAAUCUCACAUAAUAACUGUGAUACUGGGUAACUUGAAAAUGAGGUAAAUGAAAUAAGCAACAGAAUCAUAAUUUGACUCACCUUAAUACUAACAAACCACUCAUUCAGCAACUUGGCAAUGCCUUCAUCCUCAAAAGACUCGACCUCCAUAACAUGACACCUAAAUGACAGUUCCACACACCAAACAAAUCAGUUCCAGUUCAUUUUCCAACUUCGAAAUCCAAUACAAGUAUAAUCAACUCAAAAUUCAAAUAAGAACCCUCACCAAUGGCAUGUGCUGUACCCGACUUCACAUGUAAAAAGCAGCACACUUUGAAUGAGUAAUCAUCUAUCAAAUGCAUCACAUAAAAAAUGUCUACUUGUUCAACGCAAGAAUUAUAUAACAAUUUUUACUUGAUAAGAAAAUGGGCACAUCUCUCUUUCGAGCUUCAGCGAAAGCCUCUUCACCCCAUGGAUACCAAUCAACCUUGUAACACAAUCAAAAUCCCAUCUUUAACAUUAAAGUAAACAACUUUCAACUCAAUCAUGCCAAAAACAUAAAAACUGAGAAAAAUCAGAGAUACCGGGUUGUGGGCGUGUUGAAGGAGAUAAGGACUGUGCUCGGCAGCGAGGCGAUUGGUGUGUUUGUGGGAAGUUGGGUUCGAAGUAUGUUGGUCAGCCAUGGCAAGAACCUUGGAAGCGAAGAAGGGUCGAUGAGAAAUGAAAGAGUGAGGAAGUGGGUGUGGUUUUCUGGGUGAGGAGAGUAGUUUUGUUGGGUUUGAAGAGAGGAAGCGGUGAGUAAGCCUUUUGAGCAUAGAAUGAUGGAGAAGCAGAGAAGGGUGAGGAGGAGGAGAAGAGGAGGAGGUUGGUGAAAGUAUAGAAGAAAUUGGAAGGGGGGUAGUUGGUGGUGCUGCCAUGUGUAGGGAAGGGGUGAAGAGGAGAGGUGAAGAGUGCCAUGUGGAAGCUGAGCUUGUUUGACAGUUGGAGUGGACCUGACUGGUGUAUAGUGUUAACUAACAGGUGGCCCAGCCUUGAGCAUACAUCCAUGUUUCACAGGAUAGGGGGUAUCUAUGAGUAACGAGACAAGGUACAAACUUUUAUGGAAAUUACUCCUCCACGAUACGGUGUACAUGUGUGCAUGUUUACCAACAAGUAACAAAGAUCCUGAAAAAGGGAAAAAGUUUAAACUGUAUCUGACUUUUUAACGAAGUAAAACUUUGGUAUCUCAUUUUUUAAAAAUUUUAAAACGGUAUCCCACCUUUCGACCCCGAUAUAAGAUCGGUAUCUGGGGCUAACGGGGGAUGUUGGCUCCAUUACAGAGCUUGGCAGGUGGCAUCUUUUGCAGGGUAUUUUAGUCUGUUCAGUCUCUCCUGCCAAUUUAUACCAUAGUUGGCGCCAUGAACUUUUAAUGGGGUAGAUCGGUUUGAAUCUGUUCUUAACAGGCGACAAUGCAGCUACUCCGCGCAUAUUAGCUCUAUUUUGUCUGCUCCUUCACAAUGCAGAAGUUGAAACUAACAAAGCAAACAAUUCCUGGAGCAAAAUGAAAUCAACAACCAUCAAGUAUUUCAUAUUGCAGCAAAGCAUGUCGAGUUCCUCACCUAGUAAUACUUUAGAAGCAAGUAGAAGCACAAAACAAUAGUAAUAGUUCCUCACUCUUCUUACACUUCUUUAAUUUCUUCACCAUCUCCAAAUCCCACGAAUUACUCUUCAUCAAACCAAACCAGCAACUCACAAAUCUACGAAUCAAGAGAUAAAACUUGUCUAACCUCAACGCGUCGAUGCCGGACCAUUCGCGGCGCAUGGUGAGCAGAAACACCGAGAAGUACUAGACGGCGAGAGGGAGGUGGAGGUUGUGGAGGAGAGAGGAGAGGCGAUCGAUGAGCUGGGCCUGGGCGGGGGCCUUGUCGGCGUGCCACAUGCAGUAGAAGAGGCCUUUCCAGAGCUUCCUCAUGUCGUCGUCGGAGAGGUUGAGCUGGGUGGGGAGCCAGGUCUUGAGGAGAACCCUAAGGGCACGGCCGCGGCUGCCUUGGUUGCACGACGCGAGUUGCUUUAUGAGAGCUGGGCCGGAUUCCGAUGCCAUUUCGGCGUCCAUUUUGGCUGCGUGUAUUUCCUAUUGUUUUGUGCUUCUACUUGCUUCUGAAGUAUUACUAGGUGAGGAACUUGACAUGCUUUGCUGCAAUAUGAAAUACUUGAUGGUUGUUGAUUUCAUUUUGCUUCAGGAAUUGUUUGCUUUGUUAGUUUCAACUUCUACAUUGUGAAGGAGCAGACAAAAUAGAGCUAAUAUGAACGGAGUAGCUGCAUUGUUGCCUGUUAAGAACAGAUUCAAACCGAUCUACCCCAUUAAAGGGUCAUGGUGCCAACUAUGGUAUAAAUUGGCGGGAGAGACUGAACAGAUGAAAAUACCCUGCAAAAGAUGCCACCUGGCAAGCUCUGUAACGGAGCCAACAUCCCCCGUUAGCCCCAGAUACCGAUCUUAUAUCAGGGUCAAAAUGUGGGAUACCGUUUUGAAGUUUUUGAAAGGUGAGAUACCAAAGCUUUGCUUCGUUAAAAGGUCAGAUACGGUUUUGACUUUUUUCCCUCCUGAAAAAGAUAGGUAAGAAUGACAAUACAUUUAUUUGAGUGAAAUUCUAUAUAAGUUUGAGUCUUAAUAUUGACAAGUUUCUUAUUAGUAGGUUUACUGAGUAAUCGGGAUCUACGGGACUUAUAUAAUGUUGGUAAAAAUUGUUAACAUCUAAAUCUAAAGAGUUCGGGUUAUCAAUAGUUCAAGUCAUCAUAAGGUCUGACUGUUGAAUGUCUACAGACAAUAAGGUGAAAAACCUUGAGCCAACAAGAUAUAUAUAUAUAUAUAUAUACACACACACAAUGUUGAUCAGGUGCGGACGUCCGCACUAAAGUUUUGUUGCGGAUUUCUAUUUUUGCACCACUUCCUGAUCGAAUUUCCUCAAACUUCUUUCUAGACAUAUCUAGAUCAUCUUGUGUAGAUCAUCUCUGCAAAAUUUCAACCAAUUUGGUGAUCGUUAAGGCCCUCAAACUCGAAAACAAAUGGACUGACUGAAUUCUGUCCGGUUGUGUUCAUACCAGAAAAACUCGAGUUUGAGGGCCUUAACGAUCACCAAAUUGGCUGAAAUUUUGCAGAGAUGAUCUACACAAGAUGAUCUAGAUAUGUCUAGAAGGAAGUUUGAGGAAAUUCGAUCGGAAAGUGGUGCAAAAAUGGAAAUCUGCACCAAAAACUUUAGUGCGGACGUCCGCACCUGAUCAACAUUGUGUGUGUGUGUGUAUAUAUAUAUAUAUAUAUAUAUUACCUCUCUCAUGUGAACCAAGAUGUUAGUUGGGUUACUGACACACGGUUCAUAAUGUUUUUGAGUUCGUCGGCAGCCUCCCCUUAAUCCAAUUUCCUUUCAUAUAAAAAGAGGGUUCACCUUUCAGAUUGAUAUAGUACAAAAAUAAAGAAAAAUUUAAUUGUAAAAAUUAUGAAAAUGUCAUUUUUGAAAAGUUAUAAAAAGGUUAUUAAAUGUCGACUAUGUUCUCUGUAAUAUAUAAAUUGAUACACUACCACAGUGCCAUCCUCCCUAGUCCCGAACUAGUCUAGACCUAUUCCCUCUCUUGUUUCUAAGCUCUUACAACAUGGAACACUUUUAGAAGCUUUGUUCGUGAAUUCAGCUAACCACUAGCUGAUUCAACCUUGAACGCUUCUUGGGUUGGUUGCACUACACAUCCCUCAUGGUAUGCAACAUGAUAUGAGUUGAUGAAAUAAGUUUUGAGUUCAAGCUCUAAGGUUUACAGUCACGAAGAAGACUUAGAGCAGCAUGAACAAUGCAAGAUAGAACUAGACUCAACAAAGAAAACGCAAUAAGGCAGUUUUCAACAACCAUUGAGCAAAGCCAAUGCUAUAGAUAUAUAUAUAGGCAGACAAGGCAUCAAAGAUGAUGCAAGCUAACCUCUACAUGUUUCAGAAAGGUUUGGACAAAAGUGUUUGGUUCCCCAUACUGAAAGUGAUGUAACCAAAUGGAGAGUUGACACAAGCAACCUCAAUAAGACAAAGAUACCUUUCUAAAACAUGAACGAUUCCAAACAGGGAGCAAGAGGUUUGAAACCCUCUUACUCAGUCCAUCAGUGGACCUUGACACAGCCGAUAGCGACUGGUCUUUGAAUCACACAGAGACCAGCUUUGUAUUGGAUAAUGUAUCAUAAAAUCCAAGCUGGAGCCUUGAGCAUCAAACCAUUUGGUCACGGGUUGGCAUAACAAAAGAUCUCAACCCUUAGACUGGUUUGAGCGCCAAAGCACUUCUCACAAACUCAGUUGUCCAUUUGAAUUUGAAAGACUUAUUAAACUAAUAUAACAGACUUUGAAACUCAGGACAGCAGAAGACUCAAUACUAGGAUAGCAAGCGAGGCUGCUAACCUCUGUGAAAAACAAUGAUAUGCAGAUGCAUGUUUUACCUGAAACCAUAAGGGAUAUUAGUGCCACUUGUUCUUGAUCAGACAACAGCAUCUUAAGGUGUUUUACAGGAUAAAAAGGAUUGCCAACUAUCCUUAUACCUUCAGAAAUGAUUGUUUUCAACUCAGUCAACAUGUUACCGAUCAAAGUAAGAUUCUGACAACUAAAACCUGGUUUUAAUUAGCACUUACAAUUUUGCUCUUAGCAACUGAAAAGCACGAUGCUUGUUCUGAAGUUGAGACCUCUCUUCGAUCACUACAGAAGAUGCGGAUGCCAGUUGGCUUAUGGACAAGAUCAACAGCUGUCUCCACCUUGUUGACAUUCUGCCCUGCAUGACAAUGUUGCAUAUAUAUAAAGUUGUGGCAUACAAGGAAGUCGAUACUAAAAAAACAAAAAAUAAUAAUAAAAAAUAAAAAAAACCUAUAUCGAUCCAAACUUCAUCAGAUGGUGUUUUCCUCGUCCUGUAAUUCCUUAUCUAUAUAAAUUUGGAAAUCCCUAUAAUCCCUUGUUCUAAAUUUGAAUUCCACCGGUAAAAGAAUGCAUAUGUGAUAUGUGUUCUAUAUAAAGCUAGCCCAUGGUAGAGUAACUCGUUAUUUAGGUUUCGCAGCAUAUAUAGCAUCUGAUCUACCCUCGGAAGGAGAAUCUGCACCUUAAUAAUAAUGACAUAUUUACCUUCAACAAUGGCUACUCCGGACCGCCCCAACGAACCCCCGACCACCCUCGGACAGAGAAUCUGCACCUCAAUUUGCCUCUUUAUUCUAUUAACAGUCGUUUUUGGAUUGAUUGGUUGGCUAAUCUAUACGGGGAACAUAAAGCCUUCAUCCAUACAUUUCGAGGUCGAAUCCGCCACCGUCUCACAACUCAUCACAGAAGGCAGCUCCUUGAGCGCCACGUGGGACAUUACUCUCCUCGUCGGUAACCCUAACCGCAAAUACAAAAUGUGCUUCGACCACGUCCAGGCAGGGGUUCGCUACCACUACGUCGGUGACAUCGUAAUCGAGCUAGGGAGUACGCCUACAUUGCCAAUUCACUUUGCUUUGAAACGGAUGAACCAAACACACGUACCUCUUGGUUUAAAGAUAGGAGUGGAGAGGCUGUGGAUCGGCGAUGCCGUGGCACAACAAAUCUCCAACGACAGGUCUCGCGGGUCGGUGACGUUUGCUGUUACAGUGGACGCUGUUGUGAGGUUUAAGGCUGUGCUAGCGCCUGUAGAUGAGUAUCGGCUUAGGUUUACCUGCGAUCAGGUAGCUUUUGCGUUUUCCGGGAAUAAUGGUACCGGCAUAAUGACGAGUCAGCUUUCGUGCUCAGUGUUGAACACAGAAUCUAACACAGAAUCUGAAUCUUGGGGUUUUAUUUUCUGAUGAUACAAAUAUAGAGGGCCGGAUAAUAACUUUGUUUAUGAAUGUUGGCCAUUAGUUUCGUAAGUUUUUUUUUUUUUUUUUUGUAAUUAUUGGUUAGCUAAUAGGUUUGGUAACAGAUUGGCUCGUGUUGUUAUAAUAGGUUUGUUUAUUAAUGAUAUGAGUAAACCUUCUUCCAAAAAAAAAAACCAAGAAAUCCCAUUAGUAGCUACAAUAUUGCUCUUUUCUUAACCAAUCACUCCAGUAUUGUCAAGCUAUUGGAUUGUUGUUUGGAGACUGAUGUCCCCAUACGGGUUUAAGAGUUAAUCACAAAUGUGACUCUUUCAACCCAUCUUCACCCGUCCUCAAGCAGACAGUCGUGAAAAAUCUGCCUUAAAAUUGCCAAGGAAGUUGCGGCUGCACUUGCAUACUUGCAUUCCAAGACUUCUAUGAGUUCUAUAUCCCUAUCAUACAUAAGGCCUAAGAAUAAAUUCAGGGUUUUGAUCCAACUAGUCAGAAUGGGAUUCAAUAUUACAUAUCCAAAUGGGAUAUGAGCUCAGCUAUUCUUCAAAAUAAAUAAAAAAUAGAGAAAGAAAAAGAAAAAAUUGAAACCGUUUUCUCCAUAGCACAUUUUCCGGAACAACAGUGUGUGAAUCUUACAACAAUAUAGGCUUCAGAUAGUUUGCUAUAGGGCUGGGCACGGGACGGGAAUGCGUUUUUAAAAAUCUGUCCCGUAUGUCCCGAUUCCGACAAUAAUUUUUUCAAGAACAAAUUAAUUGAUAUCAAACACCAUCACAGGUGGAAAAACGGGUUGAGAAACUCCAAACAUUCAAAUGCUCCACCAAAAUUGAUCAGUGUUUGAAAUUUUCGACAUUUUUAUGCUGUUUGGAACAACAUUAAUGAAAUUAAUGGAAAAAAAAAUCCAAAAACACAUAAACAAAAAAAAGAACAUUGAUGAAAUUAAAAGUACUAAAAUCAACAAGAACAUAGGUGCAUAGGUGCUAAAUUACAUCCCACUUUAAAAAUACUAAACAUCCCACAUUAAAAAUUAACCCUCAAACAACAACUAAAAAUAUCCAAAAUCACAAAAAAAAAAAAGAACAUGAAUGAAAUUAAAAGUAUUAUUUUAGACCAAAUUAAGUGUGGUUGAGUUCAUUGUAACAUCAUGCAACCUCAAAAAUCAAGUAUAAAAUAAAUAAAAUCAUGUAUUCUAAUAUUAUGGGACAGGACGGGAUUUUUCGGGAUAGUACCGUCCCGUCCCGUCCUGUUAUGGUAAUGUUAAAACAGGACGAGAUUGCUAUUUUCAAAACCUAUCCCGUCCCGUCUCGCUAACUUUCGGGACGGGACCGGUACGGGAUCGGGAUUCCGGUACUAAUUGCCCAGCCCUAGUUUGCUAUUACCCAGCUGGAGCUCCUGCAGAUUCAGCAAGUUCUUCCAGGAGUUCCUUUUGCUCCAAGGAUGUAACUGCUUGCAAAAAAGCAGGAAAAUCAAUUGCAGCGUAAUUUCUAACUUAAAAUUUCAUGCACCUCUAUCCUUCUACAUGUAGUAUGCAACUAUCGAUGAAGAAAAUGGACAAGUCUUAAGCAGCCAGUCAAAUUCAUUUAUUUACCAACACUGUACUGUCAAUUAAUAAGCCAUUCUAUUGAUACAAAUGUUCUCACACUACGUCCUUUUUGGCUUCAGACGACAGAAGACGUUUAGUCUGUCGUCCCGAAUAUUGUAACGACAGACAUUUAAAAGAGUGUCGUCUGAAAAUAGCAACUCAAUAGUAGUUAAAAUUAACGUGUUUUUGAGACGACAUACGUUUGUCGUUCAAAAAACAAGGAAAAAUGUACCCUAAUGUUACACUUAUAAGACGACAGAAAACUGUCGUAUGGUGAAGAAACUUAAAUGUGUCUGAAGCUGUUUUUUUUUUUGGUCAUAAUUGGAGGAGUUUUUUUGACACUUAAAACCAACUCUCAUUCUCUCAACUCCCCCGAUACUUUUCUUUACUUUUCUCAACUCUCUUUUCUCUCUCUCAGUGUUCCUCACCCACAUAACCAAAAUCUCUCUUCCUCCUCCCUAAAAACCAAAUUCUCUCCUCUUCACAUUCUCAAAUUGAUCGAAUCCUCUCCUCUAUCUAAUACCCUAAAACUAAUUUCUCUCAUCUAGAUCUGGAGACCCAGAUCUACCCCAAUUUCAACCUCCCAAACCCUAAAUCUCCAAACCCUCGCAAACCAUAUUCACCGUUAAGGCCACCACCCGGAAGAGGCGCGCGGCCAAGCCCGACCAAGCCAAGUCGGCCAACGUCAAUCUCAAUCUCGACCUUUCCAGGUUUUUUUCUCCGCCGUAACGACAGCGCUGUGGUGAGAGGAGAGUCCAGGAUGGACGGGGUAGAGGAGGACCUUGGUGACGAUCUCGUUGGUGGUGGGAUCGGCGAGGAAGUCGACAGUGGCGAUGCGGUAGAGAAUGAGGGGCUUAGAGAGAACACGAGGGGAGAGAAGAAGCGGAGUUGGUGGAGUGUUCGAGGUGGCCUUGGGGGAAGUAGCAAACCCUAGUAUGGAGGGUGGGGAUGGUGACGGAGUUGCCGGCGCAGGCUCGCCAGAUUUUGGGGUCGAUGGAGACGAGCUGCAGGGGAGGCGGCGGCACGUGGGAGUGAGAGAGACACUGAGAAUUGGAAGACAUGGUGAUUGGGAUUUAGAGAUUGGAGGAAGAAGAGGAAUGAAAUCUCUCUCUUUCUCUCUCUUUCUUCUCCAGGUUUUGCUAGGUUUCCAAUGGCCACCAUUCCAGGACAGUUGAUCUGGGAGAUCACCAAGAAGGAGGAACAAGCCUGCGAGCUUGGUUCACAAGUCUGUGAUGAGGAAGGAAUUCCCUCGCAUGGCCAAGGCUGUUACUAAUCAGGUACCAACAUGCUCGAUUUACAAUUCGUUGUUUUGUUGAUGCAUAUGUGUUUUGUGGAAUGUUAUGAAUGAGGAUAGGUCGACUUGAGUUUUGUGGAAUUCAUCUUCCACCACGACUGUUGGUUUCUCCAUCUAUAUCAUUGGCUAUGUAACCCAGACAAGACUCCAAAGGUCAAGAUUCUUAAACUCUUUGUUAUGAGUUUGUUUCUAGUAACAUAAUCUAUAUUUUAUGUAAACACAUUAAUUAAUUUUCAUUAUCCAAAGUUCCAAACCAUUACGUAUACAUUUCUCUGAUUCCCUAACAUAUUCAUUUGAACUUUGUUAGAAUGAUAUAUAUGAAUGGCUAGCGGCUACGUACAUUCUUCCUCCGGUUCGCAUUGGCUAUCUACUUCGGUAAUAUCAUCCCAAAUGUAUCUGGUGUGAGGAAGUCAGUGUUCUACUUUUUAAAGCCAGGAUACUGGAUAGGGAAAAGUGGAAACAAAGUGGAAGGUAAAAAUACUGAAAUUCAGUAUCUGCUCAACUUUCCUUUCUAAGUUGUACUUAUGAGUUGUACUUAUGAGUUGUGACUUGAUACUUUUGUGUUCCUCUAGCUCUCUUUGGGUAGAGGGUGGUGUUUGUAGUUAGAUAGGUUCAAUUCCACCACCUGAGCAUACUGGUCCUGAUGAUGAAGAUGUCCUGGAAGAGGAGAACAUUGUCAAGGAGCAAGCUAAGGAAGGCACAGUUGGUCUAAACCUUGCAGUUUAAAUACGCGUUCUUGUAAAAACAUAUCCUAGCAAAAAACACAGUCGUUGUUGUUCCAAGAGCAAGAGGACUCCACCAUACCAUGCUCUUAAGGUACAUAACCUAUUUUGACUCGUUAAGAGAAUGUGGAUCUUAUUAUGAACCUGUUGUUCGUGUGGAGCAAAAUCUGGUGAAAUAGUCUAUUUAGAUUAUUCAUUCGAUGCAUCUUUGUCUAGCAUUUUGUACCUAGACUAUGAGAUCCUCUAGCAGAAUAUUAUGUCUUCAUCAAAUAGAUGCUCAGGCAUAUAUACCUCUUUGCUAAUUUUUAGGUGGAUAGGUCGACUGGAGUUUAGUUAUUUGUUCUUCUUUGGACUUGCUUUGUUGGCCAUAAUGCUUGUCGGUCUUAAUGACUUUAUGCAAGUAUAUGCAGUGCCAUAUAGUGAGAUGCCUCUUCUUUUUGACCUCUGUUAGUUGCUCUCUGCAUAUAAUAUGACCUGGACUAGAAAAUUGAGGUAUUUCUUAAUCGUGGUAUACUGGUAUUUCUCUGCAUAUAAUAUAACCUAGAUGCCUAGUGUAAUUUUAUGAUUGCUGCUAUUAUCAUCGACCUCAACUCCAUUGGUUUAUUUGGGUGAGUUUAUUUUACUGCUAUUGCCUUUAUGAUCAUCAUUUAAUUUAACUGUAUUUAACUUUGGUUCUUAUAUUCACUGUCAUAGAAGUACAUAGGUCUCAUCAAGUUAAGAUCCAGCAUUGGAUAUUGUAGGUACUGUAUCAUAAAUAUUCUUUGCAUGAAUGCAUCAUAAUGUUCAGAUCUUACUUAACUUCUUAUUGCUAACAUUUAAUUGUUUAUUGACAUAUACUCAUAUUAAGUUAAGAUCCAGCAUUGGAUAUUGUAGGUACUGUAUCAUAAAUAUUCUUUGCAUGAAUGCAUCAUAAAUGUUCAGAUCUUACUUACUUCUUAUUGCUGAAAUUUAAUUAUUUAUUGACAUAUACUCAUAUUGAUUCACUAAAGUUCUUUGUCUUCAAUGUUGCAGGUGACACUUGAAUGAAUGGUGCAUAUUGAAGUUUGAUGAGUAUGAUGAAAGUAUCAGAGUGCCUUAGUGCAGUUAGGACUUAGGAGGACUUUCUGCACACCACCAUAUUGUAGUUGCUAUUAUUUGGUUUGAUAUAUUUUUUAUUUUAUAGUUUAUGGGUCCCUUUAGAACAAAUAACUCUUUGUAAUUUGAUUGGUUUUGGCAAUGAGAAUGAAUUUGAGAUUUCUGAAUCAUGUUGUGCAAAUGCUUUAUUAAAUUGUCAUCCAAAUUAAAAUCAGACAACAGAUAUCCCCAUGGACAUCGACGUCUCUACAUAUUUCAAAUGACAUUUAUAUGUCGUCUUAAAGUAAAAGAUGACCAUAGUGUAUGUCGUCUGAGGUAAGUAUCAGACGACUAUUAAGUGACGUUUGAAUGCAUUUGAGUCGAGAGAAGAGGUUUGACGUAUGUCGUCUGAGAUAUAUUUAGACGACAAAAUAGUAACAUGUGAAUAAGUUUGAGACGAGAGACGGCUGCUCACAUCUUUAGUAUUACUUUAGUUUCGACGAUACUUUUAUGUCGUUAAGAAGCUUUCUAACGACAGAAACUUUAAUUUUGUUACGAAUGUAGGUGCAUACAGACGACAGUUGCUUAUAUACAAUCUGUCGUCGAAGUGGUAUCAAACGUCUAACGAGGUCUGUCGACUGAAUGCUUAUCAAAUGACUGCUUGAUAGACGACAGCCGAAAAAACAUUCAGACGACCAACCUGGCAGGUCGUCUGAAGCCAAAAUUGACGUAGUGUCAUUCUAUACCCUCUUCACAAAAAACCAUAUAUGUGAUGCAAAUGUUCACACCAAGGUAUUAGUCAUAUGCAUCUUAAAUAGUUUCUAAGCUAAACGAGUAACAGAUACCUGUGAUUUCCGUUGAUUCUGAAUCAGUUCCUGCUGCUCUCUCUCAGUUUUAUCUUAUAUGAUCUGUAAAUGAUCAUUUAUCAUCAGAACUGCACCACAGAAAAGGCGGGUGGAAAGUGGAAACAAGACAUAUAUGUCUGAAAGAAAUGAUUGUUUCCAACUCAGUCAACAUGCAUGUUACCAAUCAGAGUAAGAAUCUGAGGACACAUAAAACAUAUGGUUUUAAUCAGCACUUACAAUUUUUGUAUUGGCUAAGCAUGCAUUGAUGCAUAUAAUUCGCUUUUAGUUUAGGGGUACCAUAAUCAAAAUUUGUAACUUAUCAAUGUCUUACUACUGAUGGAGAGCAGGUAUGAGCAUCAUGGUGCUCCUUGUAGUAGGUUUUAGGAUUUCCAGGGCAUUAUUGAACAGAAAUUAAACUAGUCCAACCGAUCAAAAGAGAGUUCUUUAAACAGAAGGGGUAGAGGAAUGAUUUUAAAUAAUUUUACUUACGGGGCGAGGAGAUGACAGACCUACGUACGUACUUUGAACAAAUCCAACUUGAAUCCUACCAACCAAGCUAGAAAACUUGUUCAUAUACGUUCUGGAUUAUGUUUUUGAUAUCCAAACUUCAUCAGAGCUAGGUUGCAUUUCCUCAGCGUAGUAUAAUUCCUUAUCUCUUCUAAAUUAGAAUUCCACUGUAAAAAAAUUUCACACUCACUCCGGAACAAUGCAUAUGUGUACGUUCUAUAUAAAACUGGCCCAUGCAUGGUAAAGUAACUACGUUAUUUAGUUUUCGCAGCAUAGUAUCUGAUUCAUCUAGCAUAUAUACCUUCAAUAAUGGCUAUUCCGGUCAGAUCGGCCGCCAUCCCAUCCGCGCCUCCCUUUCCCCAUCCAUCCCUACCGGACCGCCCGUGCACCACCUUCUGCUACUUAAUACGAUGCCUAGUAAUAACCCUAGUUGUAGUUGGAGCCGGCGGUUGGCUAAUUUAUUUAUGGAACUGCCACCGUCUCCCAACUCAACACAGAAGGCAGCACCAUCAGCGCCACGUGGGACAUUACUCUCGUCGCCGUUAACCCUAACCGCAAAUUCAAAACCUCCUUCGACCUCGUCCAUGCAGGGGUCGGCUACUACUACGGUAACACCGUUAUCGAGCUAGUGAGUACGCCUAGGUUUCGAAGACACUUUGCUUUGAAAGAGAUGAACCAAACACGUUUCGAUUUCAAGAUAGGAGUGGAGAGGCUGAUGAUCGGCGAUGCCGUGGCACAAAAAAUCUCUUACGAUAGGUCUCGAGGGUCGGUGAGGUUUGCUGUUACAAUGGACAUUUUACGGGUGAAGUUUAAGGCUACGCUAGCGCCUACACUAGAAGAUCAGCAUCGGGUUGGGGUCACCUGUGAUCAGGUAGCUUUUGAGUUUUCCGGGAAUAAUGGUACCGGCGUACAGACGAGUCAGUCUUCGUGCUCUGUUUAUUUUGAUUGACAAUUAGUAUAGGUAUGGUAUGUGCUCGAUCAUUGGUUUGAACCAAUUUUCUUAGUUUUGUUUGAUUUUUUAAAGGUAGGAUGCGUCUAUUGCCACCCCACAAACCAUUUUACUCACCUCACAUUCUUUUCACAUCUCACUCAUAUAAUUUUAAUUACAAGUCUAUUUUGUUCACCCAUUAACAAUACCUAAAAUACCCUUUUAUCAAUUCUACUUUGUUCAUCCUAGCUACAUUAUCUUCUCACCCUACAUAUAUUUUGAUAUAUUUUAUCAAAUUCCGAUUCGCUGAAGGUAAGUAAAAUCACCAACUGAACAAAAAAAAUCACAUUAAAAUAUAAAUCCCAGUUAAAGAACAAGAAAAAACUCUCAAAUUUAAUAACUCAAUAAUAUCAGUCGAUAUCAUAAUGCACAAUGUCUGUAAAUGUAUCUCUAGUAGCAACGUUUUCCAUACUUUUGAGUUCUUUAACUGAUCUAUGUGUUGUUCAUAAAUAAGGUACAGUAGUUGUCCAUGGGAAUUUAGAUACAAAGUCAACAUAAGAAAUAAUGAGUAAAUUGAUAGACAAAUCACCAACAAAGAAAAAAAGAAAAAAAAGAAACACAAAUAGUUUACCUCAUCUUCAGGUUAAAUGUUGGUGUCUUCAGACUCACAACCGAUGAUAAAUUUAGGUUAAAGUUUAUGAAGUUUGUGUUCAUCUAAAACAAAAAGAUAAAAAAAAAAAAUUGUAAUUUGUAACAAUUUAUUGUCCCUUGCUGUAAUUUUACAUCAGGGUAUUUUAGUAUUUCAAUAAAUCAACAACAUGUGAGGUGAGCAAAGUGGUUUGUGAGGUGGUAAUAGACGCACCCUUUUUUAAAUUGAUGACGGGUGACAUGACAUGUCACAUAAGAUUAAAGUCAUAAAUCUUAAACCUUAUUAAGGCCCUCUAACCCAUUAAUAUAUGUUCCAUCGUUUGUUUGAACCAAGUUUCUUUUCAUGUUUGGUCCAAGACUCCAAGCACAAAUAGUCCUUGUUUAUGAUUUUUUUUAUUUUUGGCAACUUAGCAUACACAUGGUAUGUGUUGGUUUGAACCAAUUAUCUUAGUUUCGUUAGUUUUUUUUUUUAAUGAGUGGUUAGCUAAUAGGUUUGUUACACAGUUGAGCACUGUUGGCUCAUGUCGCCGUAAUAAUUAGUAUUUUAUUAAUGGUAUGAGUAGACCCUCCAAAAAAGAAAAUUGCGAUUAGUAGCUACAUUACUCUUUUCCAAAUCAAUCACUACAGUUUAAGAAUGGGACUCUUUCAAGCCAUCUUCACUCGUCCUCCAAGUAAAAUGGGACAGUCGUGAAAAAUCUGCCUUAAAAUUGCGAAGUUGCAGCAGCACUUGCAUAUACUUGCCCUCCGAGAGUUCUAUGAGUUCUAUCCUUAUCAUACAGGAGUUUGAUCCAACUAGUCUCAGUCAAUAUUCAUCUGUCUUAUAAAUUAUAAUCAUCUUGAUUUGGAUUAUGAACUAUAAUUUAGGUGCCUCAUGAGUUUGAUCUUUACAGAUAAUGGGAUUCCAAAUGGUGCCUCAGCAUUUUCUACCGGAUUAUGGUGGUAGGCGAAGCAAAUUUUAUGAUACUCCCUUGCUCCACAAUGUGGUGUAUAUAUGCUUGUUUUCUUCAUCUUUAAUGAGGAUUCUGACGAUGAUCGUCAAGAAUCGGAAGGCAUGCUUGAGUGGAACUCCACAUAAGUUCGAGCCCCAACAUGUACAUGUCCCUUUAUUAGUAGCUUGCUAAGUACUAUGAACCUGCAAUGACCCAUAUGACGUUGGUAAAACGUGUCAGAUCUAAAGAGUUUGGGUCAUCACGAGACCCGACUGUUGAUUGUAUGCGGACUUACAAUGUGAAAAAUCUCAACAAGAUAUAUUACUGCUCUUAUGUCAGUUAUGUGGAAUCGGCUUGAAUCUAGAUGUUAGAUGAUUUAUGCCUCCUCCAAAUCUAAAUAACCAAAAAAAAAAUUUUUAAAUAUGGUACAAAUUUAUAAAAAUAAAUAAAUAAAUAAAUAAAAAAUGAAUUCAAAACAUGCCAUUUCUGAAAAGUCAAAGUUGCUGAAUUUCAAACGAGUUUCCAGUACUCUAGCUAUUCACUUUUCAUUAGAUGAUUAUCAAAUUUGCCAACCAGCAAAUUUGAUGACCAACAAUGACCAUCCAAUCAAGAGAGAGAGAGAGAGAGAGAGAGAGAGAGAGAGAGAGAGAGAGAGAGAGAGAGAGAGAGAGAGANNNNNNNNNNNNNNNNNNNNGAGAGAGAGAGAUGAGUGGUUGUGAUUUGAUGGUCAUGGUGGUCAUCAAAUUUACUGGUUGGCAAAUUUGAUUCCAUUGAAAAUGUAGUCUUAUCAAUUCCCAAAAUUGAAAUUUUGUUACAGUGGUUUUGAACCCCAAGACAAUCAAAAAGCGGAAACUCAACUGUUUGCAGCGUCGAUCUAUCAAAAAAAAAAUGUUUGCAUUGUUUUUUUUUUCGAUUAAGAAAAUGUUUGCACUGUUGAACCUGAAAUUUUGUUAUGAGAUCGAGUGUACUAACUCCCUGCUUAGAUAACUAUUGCAUUAAAUCUUCAGAAGAGAAGUUGAUUCAACAACUGAGGUGAUCUAUUGCCUCAUAGAUAACUACAUAAACUAACAUCAACAAUGAGUUCGUUCAUGAUGUUUUUGUCAUUCUGUGUCAUGACCCAUGCCCAGUGUGGAAGGCAAAAAUACUCAAGUAAUAAACGUUCUUAUCAUGUCUUAUUGGGCUAGAAGUAGAACAUGCAUUUUGUAUGUAAUUUCAGUAUGUCACUCAUUUUAACGAAAUUUUCAUCUCAUAAAUAACAUAGAAACUUAGAAAGAAAGAAAAGAGAAACUAUGACUUGAUCGAGGAGAAUUGAUCGAAUAUAUACCAAUCUGUGACCGAAAAAUCUUGGUUCAUAUUGCUCGCCUUUGAAUUUCAUUAACAAAAACAAUGAAAAUGAUGAGUGACAACCCUAUAUAACUAAUACAACUGAACUAUAAACGGACAAACAUCUUAACAAAAUAUUCCAAGAACAACAGAGAGGCUAGCUAGCUAGGGGUUCUAACGAUGAAUUGAUGAAAGAAUCCCAAAGUAACAAAUUAAAAGAUGAACUUGUUCUUCCCGAGCUUCUGGAAUUUGUCGCAUCCCAGCAUAUGCGGGACCAACGAACAAGGAAUUACGGCGAUAUGUCGGAGAUCCGGAACGCGCGGUUUGAGAGGCUCAUCCUGCAUCUGCAUCUGGGUCAGACCUCCACGUCUCGCAGCGAAGUGUUGCACGCGUUCUUGAUCUCGUUUAACAAACCUUGUGAUGAGGAGGGCGUCUUGAGCGUCGUCGGUUGGGUUGGAGGAGAAGGUUGUGCUUCCAUUAGCAGUUGAUAUGAACAAGGUUGCGAAUAGAAAGCACAGAAGAAGGCAUGGUACUACUGCUUUAUUAGCCAUGGCAGAGAAGAAGAAAGUAUGUUUUUUUUUUUUCGGGGUGAUCGAAUUGUAUAUAUAGGGCUUUGGAAACUUGAGAUGCAAGAAUACUAGCUAGCUAGGUCUCCCAACUCUUAUAGGAUUAGGUUUGUAUAAGCGGCCCUACCUAGUUUUCUUUUAUAUUUGCCAACUUGAAUUCCUUUUCCCAAAUUAAAACUUGUUCGUAAACAACUUGGACUCGUAAUAAAACUGAAAGUUCACGAACUGCGUGUGUCUAGCCCUGUGACAAAAGCUUGUUUCCGGGAGGCCCCCACGAAAAUAGAUGGGUAGAAUCUGCUAUGGGGACGCCGUCCGACUACUUUUACAUCUCAAGUAAGUUAAACAUGAUCACUAUUGUUGGUUGCAAUGCAAGCACGAUGAUCAUUACCGGCACCCCUAGUAAUUUGAGCAACAACAUUGCAGAUUUGCCUCGACUAUUGAGUUGUUGUUCGGAGACUGAAGUCCAAAUGGGACUCUUUCAAGCCAUCUUCACUCGUCCUCAAGCAGACAGUCAUGAAAAAUCUGCGGUUAAAUUGCAAAGGAAGUUGCAGCAGCACUUGCAUACUUGCACUCCCAGACUUCUAUGCUCUAUCAUACAUAAUGCCUACGAAUAAAUUGAGGAGUUUGAUCCAACUAUCUCGGUCAAUAUACAUCUGUCUUAUAAUCAUCUUGGUUUGGAUUAUGAACUAUAAUUUAGGUGCCGUGCCUCAUGAGUUUGAUCUUUACAGAUAAUGGGAUUCAAAAACUACAUAUCCAAAUGGGAUCUGAGCCUCAGCUAUUCUUCCCAAAAAAAAAAAAUGAGAAAGAAAAAGAAAAGAAACGGUUUUCUCAUAACAGAUUAUCUGGAAGAACAGUGUGAAUCUUACAACAAUUAAUGUAGGCUUCAGAUGGUUUUCUAUUACCCAGCUGGAGCUCCUACAGAUUCAGCAAGUUCUUCCAGAAGCUCCUUUUGCUCCAAAGAAGUACAGGCCUGCAAAAAAGCAGGAAAAUCAAUUGCAGCGUAAAGUCUAACUUAAAAUGUCAUGAACCUCUAUCCUUCCUACAGUAUGUAUCAAUGUAGAAAAUGGAAACAUCUUACUAGAGAAAUACCUGAAUUGCGUUAUCUAUAUCACCACCAAGAAAACCGGUGAGCUCAUAGUUUAUCUUCAACCGGUGGUCAGUGACUCUAUUGUCCUGAAUCAAUAAACAAAAGAGUAAAUAACUUCCCCAAACGUAACAACAUAAUCAUGAAGAGAUUUUGUACACACUAGUCUCAUACAGGUUAGGCUAAGUUCACAAAAUUACUUGACCAGACUGACACUUGUUUAAAAACUUUAUACAAUUAUUGGGACUCUAAAUCUAAUAGUUGAAACCUUUUGAAUCAGAUAGUUUCUUAAGCAGCCAGUCAAAUCAAUUUUUUACCAACACUAUAUUGUCAAUAAGCCUAUCUUCGAGACUUCAGUGGCAGUAAACUUAAAAUUGAUGACAUGAGAAAAUAAAUCUAACUAGUUAUUAGUACCUUGAAAUUAUAUGUUCGAAUCUUUUCUGCACGAGAACCGGUCCCAACCUGCAUUUCAAGAAUACAACAUCAUUAAUGUAGUUAAUCUAGUGCCUAAAUCAUUACCUAAAUAAUGUAAUUGUAGUAUUGUUCUAUGUGUGUGUGUGUGUGUGGAGAGAGAGAGAGAGAGAGAGAGAGAGAGAGAUGGGAGGCUCUUGCCUAGAGGUCACAUUCUAUACCCUCAUCACAAAAAACAUAUAUGUGAUGCAAAUGUUCACACCAAGGUACUAGUCAUAUGCAUCUUAAAUAGUUUCUAAGCUAAACGAGUAACAGAUACCUGUGAUUUCCGUUGAUUCCUAAUCAGUUCCUGCUGCUCCCUCAGUUUUAUUUUAUACCUGAAACAUGGUCAUUGAUCAUCAAAACUGCACAAAAGAAAAGCCGGGUGGAAGCAAGACAUAUAUGUUUGAAAGAAAUGAUUGUUUUCAACUCAGUCAACAUGUUACCAAUCAAAGUAACAUUCUGAGGGCACCUAAAACAUGGAUUUAAUCAGCACUUACAAUUUUGCUCUCAGCAACUGAAAAGCACGAUGCUUGUUCUGAAGUUGAGACCUCUCUUCACUACAAAAGAUGCGGAUGCCAGUUGGCUUAUGGACAAGAUCAACAGCUGUCUCCACCUUGUUGACAUUCUGCCCUGCAUGACAAUGUUGCAUAAAGUUGUGGCAUAUAAGGAGUCCUUUCCUCUUACCAAAUUGAGGUAUGCAAAACAAUGUCAAUUCUACAAUAAACAAAUACCUCCAGCUCCCCCAGACCUUGCUGUUGUCAGUUCAAUAUCUUUUGGGUCAAUAACCACCUCAACUUCAUCCGCCUACAAUAUGGCACAGAAGAACUAUAAAUAAGGUAACAUGAAUGAUACAAUCAAGAGUAACGUAGAAUAUUAGUCACAAAAAACAAGAUUCAGAAUAUUCCGGUUGCCACAGCAAGCUUGACUUCAACAAUUUUGAGGUAAGGGGAUGAAUUUAAAACUAUAAAUAUUAUAAAGCCAUCUGGAUACAGAUUGAGGAAAGUAGAUGGUGCUACUCAAAUUCAUUAAAACAGUACAUCCAAACGGAAAUUUUGUAGCAGAUAAAGGGACAAUAUUCAACCAUAUUAGAGGGUAAACUAAUUUAUUACUAAUGGCAAUGAAAGUGGGGAAGAAUGGCAAAGAAAGUAAAAGAUAAUGCAUAUCACUGUUUUCCUCAUCAGGAAGAAUCCAAAUGAAGUACCACCUUUUCGAGAUAGUCAAUGUAAAGAACUUGGAACAUUGGUGGACCAAUGUUAGUAAUGGGUAUACAAACUUGAGCACACUUUAUUGAAUCUUUCAAAAUCCAGAUCCAAUGUAAAAUUGAGUAUUUUGUGCAAAAGAUAAGAUACCUCAGGCAUGAUGGCAACAGUUGCAGUGGAAGUAUGCACACGACCCUGUGUUUCCGUAUGAGGAACACGUUGAACCCGGUGAACACCAGACUCAUAUUUUAAUUUGCUGUAUACACGCUUUCCUUUUAUCUCCAUCACAUAGGUCUUGUAUCCUCCUCUUUCAGCCUAAAAGAAAGAAAGAAAGCUCUAUCAGUCAUGUCAAGAGCAAUAGGAUAUACCUCCUUAAAAAUGGCAGCAAAAAUACCUCUGUGCUUGAAACUGGGUUGAACUUCCAAUUGUUCCUCUCACAGUACUUCUCAUACAUACGAACCUGGGUCAGGAAAUAAAAAUAAAUAAAUAAAUAAAUGCAGAAGCAUCAAGGUAUGCUCAAAAACAACUUGAAGGAAUGACUUCAUGGACUAAAAGAAUACUUGUUUAGGCCUAUAAUGCGUGUCAUUGAAAACAAAACAUAUAAAGCGAGCUUGGUGUCGUAACAAGUUUAUCCACAUAGAUAGAUGCUGAAACAAGCUUGUCCAAAACCUAAGUUACCUAGCCCAUUGUUAUAGCUUUUCUCAUUUGGGAGAGACAAACAUUCAAGGCCAGGAAAUUUUGCAAAAUACUUGUACGAUUUUUUCCUGGUAUUCUUUUCUUUCUUUAUCACCAGUUUGGUGUUGUAUGCAAGAAAGGUAGAUUCCCUAUAGAUUUUAAAGGACAAAAAAAACAUAUACCUACAAGAUCACCUGCCCAGAUUCCAGCUUCAUCACCACCAGUACCAGCCCUUACUGUAGCAAGGAACAAUGCUAUUUUUAGUUAAAAUGAAAUUGAUGGGCAGGUACCAUCAUCGCCAGCAUAAUAAUGAAAAAAGCUGAUCUAUAUGUAGUAGGAAGAACAUGGUGAACCUAAACAGUCAUUGCAUUGUCUACCAUAUACUUGCCGUAGUUCAGACCACCCGAGUAAAGUAGAGCAGUUUACUCAGUAGAAAAUGAUACGUGGCUCACAAUUAAUCAAAUAAAACAAUUUACUCAAAAGGGAAGAUAUGAAAUUACCUUCAAGCAUUAUAUUUCUGGCAUCAAGAGGGUCUGUAGGAAGGAGUUUCGUCUGUUAAUAUAACAUGUAACAUUAUUAAAAAAAUUAAAAAAUCAUUCCAAAUAUCAGGACAAGGAACAACUGUUACUCGGAAAGAGGAGCACCAAUCUAACUGCUAAUAGCCUAAUACAAGGCUCACCAUAUCAACAAUAUUAUAUCAAAUUACACCAUAACGUACCUUAAGCUUCUCCUCAAGUUCUUUGAUUUGAUUGGACAAAGAUUCAAUUUCGUACGAAAUCAUAGCCGCCAUUUCUUCAUCAUUUCCAUCCUCAUCCGCCAAAGCUGAUACAUUGCGUCAUAAACAAGGACUUCAGCACUAAAAUACCUUGAACAUAUUCGAAACCAGAACUCUACUCAAAUAGUCAAAUUGCAGCAAACCUUUACUCUCCUCUAACUGCUUCUCACAGUCCUUAUACUCCUUAUAAAUUGACACAACCUGCCCAACAGCACAAAACCGCCUUCAGCGAAAUCCGAAAUGAACUCAAUCAGACAAAAUAUGUUAAUCUAAACUCUGCAAUACCUCAUCGAGCUCCGCCACGGAUUGCGCCAGCCUCUGGUACUCACUGGGAUUCGACACGAUGUCUGGAUCAGCUAGCUUGACCUAAUUCAAUUUUUAAUUCCCUUCUCUAUCAGAAAAACUCAAAUCUAACAACAAAGCAAGUAAAAAUUCGCAGUAAAAUAUUUACUAAUUUAAACCUAUCCAUUCUAAUCACGGUAACUAAAAAUCAUACCGAUAAUUCCUUCCAUGUCUUCUCCGCAGAUUCCAGCUUCGUAAUCAAAUACGGUGCCUGCAAAUUCAACCAGGAUUAACACAUGAAAUUACUCCUAUAACCUCAGUUCGUUAAUUACCAAGCAGAAACUGAAUGAAGAAGUUACUAAGUGGUGAAUGGACUGACCGCCAUGCAAGUGAUUCGUGGAGCUCUGGGAUGAGGUUUGGGGAUGGAAAGGGAAGUCCAUGAGUGGUGGGUGAAACGGCGUCGUGGAGGGAAUGCGAGUAAUCGCGGCGGUGCGGAGGUGGUGGUGAGGCCGCUCAUUGCCGCCGUGGGGGAGAAAAGCGCGGUAAGGCGGAGUGGUUGGAAAUGGAGGAGAUUUUGAUUCUUUUUAAGGCGACGGGGUGUGGAUAAGUUCCGUUGUGAGGUGUGCUUAGGAUAGAGCAGCUAUUAAUGGAUUCCAGUAAUACACAAAGCCCACGUUUUUUUCUUCUAGCCCAAUCUCUCAGCACAACAACGAGAAAACGGUGAAACCGUUAAACAACGACAAACGUGACACGUGGAUUAUAUAAAUAUUAAUUAUAUUAAAUAUCAUAUUUACAAUAUAUUCUACUCUUAAUCUUGUGUCAUGACUCACGCUAACAUAAACCAAAUCGAAGGAGCCGGGUGGGAAUGAGCAAAAUCAGCAAGAUAGUCUGCUACAAAGUUAACCUUACGAAACAUAUGAUGAACACAAUAUAAUCAAAUUGAGCAGCAAAAUGUGAGGAUGUCCUUGACUAGUAAAUAGUGUGAAGAACAAUAGAGACUGUGAAUUUUUAUGCGAAAUAAUUGACACUGUAAAAGUCAAGAGUUGAAAUCUCCCUGACAUCAUCAUGGGACGAGUGUGACAAGAAAAAAAUAUAGUAGUUUUAUACUUAAACAAGAAAAAGCCACUAAGCUUAAAAAGAAAUUGUAUUGAUCCGCAAAUGAUACCUAUGAACUUAUUGUUUGUUUAUUUUUAGCGAAACCUCACAGCUCAAAGUCGACAACACACCAAUAUGCCAAGCAAUGCUUGUCUGGUAGUAGCCUAGUCACACCAAUUACGGUGUGACUGAAACAGCACAACACACAGCGGGAUAUUGUCUGCUUUGGCCUCACUCUCAUGGUUUUGUUCUUGGGUUUCCAACUCAAGAUGUGUCUCACUAGUGUGCGUAAUUAUUGUUUUGGCAUUACAUUUUCUUUAUUGAAACAUCUAUGAUGAAUUAUUAAAAACUCAUAAAAAGGGGGGAGGUUGGGCCUGCACGAUUCCUCGAGUGAGAUGUACGCAGUUUAUGGAGGGGGAGAAGACAUGAAAGAGAAAAUACUUUCAUUUUUUUUUCGGAAAUGGAUCUUACCCUUCUAACAAGCCUGACUUCCCGCUUAAGAAGUACUUGAUUACCGUGCAAGCUUUGAGAAUCAGUUUACCAGAAUUUACUGAAUUGAAUUCGGUACUCCUCUUUAGGUUGCGAAACAAAAAAAUCCUUCUUUAAACUAAGAAAAAAAAAAAAAACCCACAAAGUGCCUACUCCUUACGCUCUUGCUUUUGGGGGACAUUGAUCUAAAGCUUGAGUGCGGUUCUUUAUGCAACGUCUAAAAAUAUAUCUAUGGCAAAACAAAACGCAAUUUGUCGAAGAGUAUAUUCUUUUCAAUCCAAAUAAUAAGACAAAGAAACCGCUCAACAAUGAAGGACCGCCUACCAAUCAAAGAGGAUGAGAGUAAGUGUAAGCUCACUCGUAAACUCUCCGAGUUUCCAUGGCUGGCACAACAUAUUUGAUCCAUAUGAAACACACCCUUAGGUAAUUGAUUUUAUAAGCCAUUUUUAGACAAGAAGGGAAAAAAAAAAUACAAGACGUGUGCUAUGGUUUCAUAUUAGCUUUUCAAGUGUGACGUUCUUUAAGCAAGGAAUUCCGACCAAUCCCUUAUCAGUCAAGUUGUCAUGCUGCAGAAUAGGAGCUUGUGUGGAACCUUAAUUUAUGGCAUAACAACGAUGGAUGAGAUUGUAAGAGAGCAACACCAGAGUUGUGCUGCUAGGUGAGGUGGUGGAGUGUUGCAACCUAGAUUUAUUUUCUCUUUAUAGUUCGACUUACUUGCAAUGAAUAAUAGCUUGAUUAUGCUUGUUACAAUACAUCUAGUAGUUAUUGUUGAAUCAAUACGCAUAAACGUAAGGCAUAACAUUUCAAAAAUUUGAGCAAGUGUUAUAAAAGGUAAAUUUGUGUGUGAAUCUCGUAGAUAACAUUUCAUUGUCAAUUUUUUAAAUAAUACAAAAAAUAAAAGCCAAGUUUAGGUUUACGUAUUUCCCCUCUCCAUAGUAGAGCAAGAGGGAAAGUAGAUGAGAAUCAGAUUUGCCAACCAGCAAACCUGAUGACCAGCACUGACCAGCCAAUCAGAAAAGAAAGAGAGCAGAGAGAGAGCAGAGACAGGGAGAGAAAGAGAGAAAGAGAGAUGAUUGGUUGGUCAGUGUUGGUCAUCAGGUUUGCUGGUUGGCAAAUCUGAUUCUAAGUAGAUGACCCAUUUUUUUGUCACCAUAAAUGAGACGUGACACUAGAAACACACAGGAAAAGCGUAGCUGCCUAGGUAAUGAAGCACUCGUACUAAAACCAAACCACUCGACGGUCGAUAAUUAACAUUUGAUAUUCGUGGAAACCUAUGAUUACCAACCCCUUAAUCCCAUUUCCACCCAAUAAUAUAGAUUUUAGCGCCAUUUUCUAUAUACCCCGACCGCGCGCCGUACCGCGCUAACACCUAACUAGUGAGUCGACUCCUUCCCAACUCGGAAAAGCUCCUCCACUCCCCAAUCUCAAAUUGACCAUUCUACCCCCGCCCUUUCCUGAACCAACGUGUAACGUGUCAGAACCCCCUAAGGGCUGCAACGUAACUUCAGCGCUCCCUCCCAAGCGUCGGUUCCGAAAGUUACCCAAGCUUUCCAGAUGCGCUUUAUUUCAAAAAAACAAAAAAACCCAAAAACCAAAAAGACAGAGGGGGAGAGAGAGAGAGAGAGAGAGAGAAAGUAAAGAGUGUAAGUGAAGGUGUGUGUGUGAAGCCAAAAAGGCCAAAAUACCAGACCGUACGGAUAUACGGUCGCUCUCUCUCUUAAUAGAGAGAAAGCUCUGAGCUUUAGCUUUCCCCUUUCUUUGUUUCUCCGUUACUUGUGUUGUUGUCUGUUGUGUUUUUUUUUCUGUCUUUGGGUUUUUUUUUUUGGUCGGGGGCUACACUCACUCGAUCGAGCUCUCCGAUCAGUCGUGUGGCGGUGGCGGUGGCGGUGGUGUUGGUGGUGGUGUGAGGAGGAAUCCUGUACAUCCGUCCCCCUUCUCUCCUUUUCCUUUUUCCUCUAUUUAGUGUGUACAUAAAAGCUACUAAACGACGCCGUUUCACCACUCAUGGAGCUGUACGGUCGGAGCCCCGCGAGAAACGGGUCCAACCCGGAAUGGAGCUCCGGCGCCGCCGAGACCGGGCUCGAAGGUGUGUGUGAGUUUGGGUUUGAUUUGGGGGGAUUUGGGUUUCUAGGGUUUUGAAAUUUUUUGAGUGAUGGUAAUGUGGGUGUGGAAUUUUGUAGAGCAAAUGUGGCAAUUGGGCCUGACGAGCACCGAAUCGUACCCGGAGCGGCCUGGUGUGCCCAACUGUGUUUACUACAUGCGAACCGGGUUCUGUGGAUAUGGUGUCAGGUGUCGGUACAACCAUCCUCGUGAUCGUGCUGCGGUAAGCCCUCUACUUGUGUUUGGUUUGGAACCAGUUCUUGAGCUUGUCUUUGUGAUUUUUAACUAGUUUGACUUAGCUUGUUGUUUCCAAACUUAGAUGGUAGGUGAAGUAGGGGUGAAUUUCGGAAUUGUAUGGCUUUGGUGUUAUUGUUAGACCUAGAUUAGGUAAAAUUUGUGUGUGAUGAACAUAUUGGACAUAAAUGUGAGUUGUUUGGUAUGAAACUAGUGUUUAAGCGAAUCUGAUUUUUGUCAGUUUAGUUUCUUCAUGUGGAGUCAGCAUGUUGUCCCGUUGUGUGAAACUGGAUGAUUCUUUGUUUGCUGAGAGAGAAAGCUGAGGAGCUUGGAAUGGGGACAGAUUCUGGAGAUAUGUUUCUUUGGGGGUCUCUGUUACACCUAGUUUGGUUAAGUGUGUAUUUGAUGAAAUGAUUAGACCUAAUAUUGGUGCUUUGGGCCGACGGAACAAUAUCAUUUCUUGGAUUUCGUUAAUAGCUGAAAUUAUAUUGAGAAACUGGUCAUGUAAUGAUUUGAGCUAAUGCUAUAUUCAGGUUGUGGCGGCUGUGAGAGCUACAGGGGACUACCCAGAAAGAGUGGGUGAACCUGUAUGUCAGGUAUGCAGAUGUAUAGUAAAUAUAUUUGAGGAUUUCAAAUUGGCAUUUCUUCCAUGGUUUACAAUGCGAACUGUAACAUCAAUUUAUGACAUUUUUUUGCUUAAUGUCCAGUAUUAUUUAAAGACUGGGACCUGUAAAUUUGGUGCGUCCUGCAAGUUCCAUCAUCCGAAACAUGGAGGUGGAUCCUUGACACGUGCUCCACUAAAUAUUUAUGGCUACCCGCUACGACCGGUAUGGACUUUCUCUCUCCACUAUUGCAUAUUCAUAUGCAAAAUUUUGAUGAACUUCUGGUGCAAAUGGCUCAUUUUUGUUUAAAAUGUAACAGGGUGAGAGUGAAUGCUCCUACUAUUUGAAAACGGGGCAAUGCAAAUUUGGUUUAACCUGUAAAUUCCAUCACCCACAACCUGCUGGAACUACAGUACCAGCCUCUGCACCUCAAUUUUAUCAGUCGGUGCAGUCUCCUUCUGUUCCUAUGCCAGAACAAUUUGGGGGCCAAUCCACUGGUUUGAGAGUGGCCAGGCCUCCACUAUUACCUGGUUCAUAUGUGCAAGGGGCUUACGGUCCUGUCUUGAUUCCUCCAGGAGUUGUUCCUAUUCCGAGCUGGAAUCCUUAUUCGGUAUGAUAAAAACAUAUCUAUGUUGUGACUUUGUGGAAAUUAGUUACGUGAGUGUAACUUGUUUGUUUGGUGCAGGCGCCUUUAAGUCCUGCACUAUCUCCUGGAGCUCAACCCACAGUAGGAGCAACCUCUUUGUAUGGACUGACACAGUUAUCUUCUCCCCCCCAUGCGCUUGCAAGACCUUAUACCUCUGUACCAUCUUCUGUUGGCCCUUCUAGCAGCAGCCCAAAUGAACAAACCUUCCCUGAGAGGCCUGGAGAACCUGAAUGCCAGUAUUACCUGAGAACUGGAGACUGUAAAUUUGGACCGUCCUGUCGGUACCAUCAUCCUCGAGAUCGAAUUGCACCAAGGACAAAUUGUCUCCUCAGUCCAGUUGGUCUACCUCUCCGUCCGGUAUGUUGAGUUAUAUAUGUAUCUGAUUUGAAGCUUUAACCUUUUUAAAUUUCCAGUGUCAGAGCUUGGAAGAACCCAAUAACUGUUUUUGCCUGACUAAAUAAUAAUUUUUCUUUUAUUGGGAAGUGAGUAACUAUUUAUCAUAUUCAGAUUUAUGCAAAAUGUACAACCAUAAUCAUGCAACUGAGCAACCAAAAAGUUUAUUUGAACAUGUUUUUGAUGUGAGGUGGUUCUGCAGUUAUAAAUAGGUAUUACUUUCAAUAUGAUCUCUUUUUAGCAGAACCUUCUUGUCAUAAAGGGUAGAAAGAAUCUCUUCCACAUUGAGUGCCAAAAAGUUGAUGCUCCUUGUACAAAUCUGUAGUUGUGAGGUUGUAGUGCAGUCAUUUUUGGAAUUGAACUAAACAGUACAUAGAAUGUAAGUUCUAAGUUGCAAACAAAGUAUGCCUCUGGUUGGGUAAAGAAUAUGCCUAAACUUUUGUUUCUCCAAAGUCCACACAUGAUACAUAAUUUCAUUUGAGAUGGUUAAGAAAACAUGGCAAAGUUUCUUAACUGCAAGCUUUUGUGCCUAGAGUCAUGACACUAGUUAAUCUGUCCUCUGUGUAUGCUCAUGCAGUUACGUGCUUUUUGGUUUAUGCCUCCCUACUUGCAUUAUAACAAUUAAUAUUUUUCCCUCUAAUUAUGCUGGUUGAAAGGGGGAGAAUUGCUGUUGGAUCCUGGGCAGAAGGGUCUCUGUUUAAACAUUUUGUUUUAUAUUUCACUUUUGCCUGCUUUUUUAAAAUAACUGUAGAGUCCGUCUCUUCACACCUUGCAUAUGCAAAUAUUCAUUUUACUCUACAUCACACCACUCAAAAACUGUCAGCACAGCACAUCUUCAUAAAACCAUGCUCCCUGUUCUUCUCCGGCAAAGGCCAUGUCCCUUUUUCAGCAAUACAGAGUUUGAGAUAUUUAUUGUUAUUUCUGUUGGUGUUUUAUCCUUGUUCUGAUGCUGGACAGUUAUAUUUAUAAACCUGUUAAAGAUGUGAUGUUCUUUCCUAAUUUAUGUAACUUGUUUCAGAUCUAUCCUUCGCUUCAUUUAGUUUUACUCAUUCCUACUUAUAGAAUUCAGAAUUCAAAAUUCAAAGUUGUUUUUGUAUGUCUGACAGGGUGUGCAACCUUGUACAUUCUACUUGCAAAAUGGGCAUUGCAAGUUUGGGUCUUCCUGCAAGUUCGAUCAUCCAAUGGGAACUAUGAGAUACAGCCCAUCAGCUUCAUCUCUCGAUAUGCCUGUUGCUCCAUACCCGGUUGGAUCUUUGCUGGGUACUCUGGCUUCUUCUUCCUCUUCAGAGCUUCGACCUGAAUUAGUUUCAGCUAGAAUGCCUUCUUCUGGGAACCCCUCAAGUAGUUCAGUCGGAUUGAUUUUUUCUCAGAGUGGAUCUGUUUCACUAGCUGAUGUGCAACUAUCAAGUCAAACUUCCGUUCCUAUAAGCAAUGGCAGAGGCACAAGGCAAGGUGGCGAGGUUCGUCGUUCAAGUUAGUGUAAUUCCUGAAAGUCACUCCUCAUUUCUCCCGGGUUUGGUUUCACCAGCCUCUCUGUUUAUAGAUGUCGGUAAAUGUGUAAUGGUCAAUUGUGCAAAGGUUUCAUAUUUCAGUCAUGGUCUAUCAACAAAUUGUGUUUAGCCCACGCUAGGAUGGAUAUUGUUGAUGCUAGUGUCAUCUAUAUACAGCAAUCAGUAUGAUUCCAAAUAAGCUGCAAAUAUCAAAUCCCAUAUGUACUUUCUAUCUCUAUCAAGUAAUUAUAGUAGAGAGCACGCAAUUCAAGUAAGCCUGCCAUGUUUCCUUCUGUCUGCGGAACAUUUACAACUUCCCAUGCUUUUCUCUUAGUACCAUUCAUAAUGUUUAAAUUCCAUCUGACAUGUCAAUGGGAAAAAAAUGUUAGCUCAGAAUCUAAUAUUAAACAUGAGCCCUCACUAGAUCUGCAUGUCUGAAAGUGUAGUUCAUGGACAUCCUCAGUAUCUUCCCUGAAACUGAAAAGUUGGUGUACCAAAUAUCAAUCAAUCUUGAUUUUGGAAAGAUGGUUCCGAUUUCUUAGCUUAUUGCUGCCUCUAUUACCUAUAUAAUCCCUUGCUAAACCAGACUAGUUACCAAACUCAGGGUAGCAGGCCAUCUCAGAUGUCUGAUUGUUAGGAAUGGUGUAAGGCCAGUCUUGCUCGAGGAUAACUUGUUCAGCAAAACACAUAAUAAAUGGAGUUGUCUUCGGAUGAGAUUGCCUUGCACAAAUCCUCGUAUCGAAAAAUUAGAGUUCUUUUGAAUAGAUCAAAACCCUGUUUAGCUACUUGGUUUUCACAACCUUGUCCAUUGUAUGAAACUGUUGUAGGAUAAUGUCAAUUUCUUUGCUUAAAAGGGGUUGAUCCUGAGGAGAAUGGAGCGUUUCGUUUUUUGGACAAGAAGAUGGAAUGGUCUUUGGUUAAUCCUGAGGGUGAAUGGAGCGCUUCGCUUUUUGAACUAUAAGAUGGAACAAUCUUUGGUGAAUCCUGAGGGCAAGGAGGAAUCUGUAGAAAAAACAGAAGGCAAAGCUUCCAGAAAUUUUCUGAUAUUUCUUCUUGGCAUGAAAGACUUUACAGAUCUACACUACAUAUAUGAGACUGAGAUAAAACAGAUCUCCUUUUCCUUUACAGACUCUUACACCCAAACUCACUCUUGAAGCAGACAACAAGGACAGAAGAAUAAGCUAUAAAGAGAAGCUAUAUAAGUAAAGUACAAAGUAAAAGAUAAAAUGUACAGUAAUAGGAACAGCUGGAAAUCCUAAGAAUAAUAGCCAAAACCCCAGCCAUACUUCCAGAGUACAAAUCAUGCUUCAACUUCUAAUACUCCCCCUCAAGCUGGAUCAAGAGGAUUCAUUGAGCCAAGCUUGCCCAAGAGUCGAUGAAAUUGAGCAGCGGAAAGAGAUUUGGUAAAGAUGUCAGCCAAUUGAGGUAAUGUCUGGCCGAGUGAUUGUAAGGUAGAUUAACUUACCAACCAGCCUUUGAUAAGAGGUCACAUCAGAGAGAAAAGGACUUAAAGUAUCAAACUGAAGCUUGCUGUCCAGAGGAGUGCUGGCAGGCUUGCUAUCCCACUUAUUGUCAAGGGGAGUGCUAGUAGGCUUGCUGUCCCACAACUCUGACUCUUUCAGCAAAUCAAGAACAUACUUCCUUUGAUUUAGAAACAAUCCUUUAUGAGAAGUAGCCAUUUCUAUACCAAGGAAGUACUUAAGACGCCCCAAAUCCUUAAUAGCAAACUUGCAACGAAGAGAGUGCUUGAGAACAUUAAUCUCUUCUAGAUUAUCACCUGUCACAAUUAAAUCAUCAACAUAAAUAAGCACCACAAGCUUACUUGUUGAACCAAUUCGAACAAAUAAUGAGGAAUCUGCAUUGCUGCUAUGAAAACCAACUUCUUCAAGCACAUAACUAAGCUUGGCAUACCAAGCUCGAGGAGAUUGUUUCAAGCCGUAAAUGGCUUUGUGAAGUUUGCAUACCAUAUUAGGAUCAGAAGAUUGAGGGUGACCAGGAGGCAAUUUCAUAUAAACCUCCUCUUCAAGAUCACCAUGUAGAAAAGCAUUCUUCACAUCUAUUUGAAAAAGAGGCCAACCAUGAUUCACAGCAACCGAAAGAAGAACCCUAACAGUACUCAUUUUUACAACAGGAGCAAAGGUUUCUUUGUAAUCAACUCCAUAGGUUUGAGUGAAACCCCUAGCUACCAAUCGAGCCUUAUGUCUUUCUACAGUGCCAUCUGAGUGAAAGUUGGUCUUAUACACCCAUCUACUGCCUACUACCUUCUUCCCUUGAGGAAUCUUAACCACACUCCAUGUUUUAUUCUCAUUAAGGGCUUGAAUUUCAUCUGCCAUAGCCUGUUUCCACACUUCAUAUUGAUUUGCUUCAUCAAAGCUUUGAGGUUCAUGAGUAGCAUCAAGGGUGCUGAGAAAAGCAGAAUGAGCAGAAGAGAACCUUUCAUAAGAGAUGAAGGCAGUCAUUGGAUACCUCGCAGCAUAUGUCACAUAAUCUUGGAGCUUUGAUGGAGGACCUCGUACUCGCGUAGGAUUUCUACGAGGUACAGCUGGAGGUGGAGGAAGAGACUCAACAACAGGUUGCACAGGUAAUUCAGAUUGGUCAACAUCUAGAUUUGGAGGCACUGCCAGAACUUCUGAAACCGGAGCAGUAGGAUGGGAAUGCUGACUGGAAUCCCCAACAACAGGGUGACUGAAACUCGAAGCUGGAACUAAAGCAGUAUGAUGGAAAGACUGUCUGCUAUCCUCAUUGACAAGAAGAUUGGGAGUUGGAAACAGAUCAAAUAAAGACUCCCCCUGACUGUAACCAUCUGAUUUCCUAGCAAAGAAAGGAGUAUUCUCAUCGAAUCUAACAUCCCUGGAGACAAUGAUCUUUUUAGAAGAGGGGCUGUAGCAUUUGUAUCCCUUUUGAGUGGAUGAAUAUCCUAAAAACACACACUUUUCAGCCCGAGGGUCAAGUUUCCCUCUUUGUUUAGCUUGUAUGUGAACAAAACAAACACAACCAAAUACUCUCAGGUGAGAGAUAUCAAUCUUCCUUCCUUUCAACACUUCAAGAGGGGACUUACCACUAAGUACUCUACUAGGCAGACGAUUGAUGAGAUAAGUAGCAGUGAGCACACUUUGAGACCAAAAACUCUUAGGUACAUUCAUUUGGAAUAUAGAGAGCUCUUGNNNNNNNNNNNNNNNNNNNNNNNNNNNNNNNNNNNNNNNNNNNNNNNNNNAAUGCCAUCUUCUGGGAAUUGAGUAAAUUGGGUUCUGACGGAGAUGGGAAUUGAGGGUUUGGGAGAUUGGGUGAGAGUGGUUAGGAGUGCAGAGAGUAGCGAGUUUUGUGCGUAUGGAAUUGAGAUUGCGAAAUCUGAAUCCCAUAGCUGAGAAUUGGGGGAGAUCGUUCAAGAGUGGAUUGUUGGGUGUGUAUUUGAUUUGGGGUUUUAUGGGGUCUGGGAAAAGGGAGCUUGAGCUACAAGUAUGGAACUUUCAACUUCAAAUUUCAACUUCAAGGUGAACAACCCAGUGAGGUGGUGGUGCAGCAUGAAAGGAAUUUGCUUUUCAAGUUUUACACACAAGGGUGAUUCUUUUCGGCUUUAGUGUGGGCUGUGUAUGAUCUGAUCAGCCCAAAGUCUUACCGCCAACUUAGCUUUACCAAAUGCGAGAGAACAAGAAAGAAAAUGAAUUGCACAAAAAGGGAAAUAAAACUGUUGAAACAAAUAAAUCAAUCUUCGGGCUCCUCAUCUCCUAAAAUGAUUUGAACUCCGUAUCCUUAACAAAUUGGUAUACCGUAUCUCAACUCCUAAAAGGGUUUAGACUCUUUAUCCUUAGCAAAUUUGUAUACCCUAUCUAGCACAAGUUGUGUCCAUCUCUCUAUAUAUAUUCAAAACCAUCUAGGUUUUUUUUUCAUCAGAGGACGAAGACUUAUUCCGCAAUUGAAAUUAUGGAUUGGAGUCCAUCAUCAUCAGAUUGCACAAAAUUGCAUCAUGGAGGCGAGGAUGGCCGUGAACAUGGUGAGUAUCAUGGUCCAGUAUUGCUCAUGAUUUCUAGCAACACAGAAGAAGAUACAUGGAAUUUUUAUAACAUCGCGGAGGAUAGAGUUCUUGAUAUGCAAGUGAGUUUGCCCAAUAAGCGAUAUUGUGGGUGUUCCAAAGGAUGGUUAAUUCUUGUGGAAGAAGAUUAUGCCGUGACCUUACUCAAUCCAUUCUCUAGGAUUAAAGGGAAGCAAGAGAAAGAAAAUUCAAUCAUUCGUCUUCCUCCAUUGAUCCCUAUAAUUCCUUUGAGAGUUGAAAAACGUGACUAUUAUGUUCAUAAGGCUAUGAUUUCAGGAGAUCCGAUACUUAAUCCAAAAGAGUGCAUUAUUGUGGUCAUAAACGACGAACUCUCUCAAAUGGCUUUUUUGAGAUUGAAAGACAAAAGAUGGCUUCAUUUAGAUGAAGGAUGGACUGCCAUUGAAGAAAUUGUUAAUGUUGAAGAUAAAUUUUAUGCGGUUAACAAUUUCAGCCAACUUUUAUCUAUUAACCUUACAAAGUUUUCAAACUCAGAGGACGCGACCGUGGCUGCAACAGGCAUUGUAAGAGACUACGCCCUUAGGAGUUAUCUGGUGGAUUCAGAAGAUGGAUUAUUAAUGGUUCGAAGGAUAUCAGAGUGGGAUGUUGACAAAUGUGUGACAAAGAAAUUCAAGAUUUUCCAACUGAAUGGCAGUAAGAAUGGGUGGAUUGAGAAAAACACUUUGGGUGAAUAUGCUCUAUUUGUAGGAGAUAACUCUACCAUAUCAAUUUUGGCUUCGAAGUUAAAAAACUGUAAGCCAAAUUGUAUAUACUUCAACCAAGAUGACAAUCGCAUAAAGAACGAAAUUGGACCUCACGGGCCUUAUGAUUUCGGGGUGUAUAAUGUGGAAAGCCAAGAGAUUUCAAAGCCUUACACCGUAGAUGCAAUGACUCUAUUGAAGAUGACUAAGCGACCUCCAAUCUGGAUUACACCACCGCCAUCCCUCUAAUGUUGUUACCGAUAUUUUGUUUUUUUUAUCUUCAAGAUUUUCAAUGAUUCUUUUCUGCCUGUCUACAAGUUUUCAAUAAAUCUUUUCAGUUUAUCUAAGAGAAGCUUGUAACUCUAGAUUUAAUUAUUUGGUAUUACCUUGUCUGUUUUGUCCCAAUUCUUAAAAAUGAAAUACUUUCUGCUUGGCUAAAUUUAGAUGCCUGAGCAAAUACUAAGUCAUCUUUGUGCUACAUGCUUUUGUUGUUUUUGUUGGAGGUCAUCUGUUUCUGGGUGUUUGUAACAGAUCGGCCCUUCGUGUCUAAAUGCACGCAAUACCUUAGAGUCCUUAGAUUUUUCCUACCAGCCCUCAUUGGCUCACAUACGAGUUCAUACCUUAGAGCUAUGUUUUUCUAAAGGAUAUUAUUCCAGAAAAGACUACGGAGAAAUCUAAGAGGCGUCGACAGGGCCAGUUACGAUUUUGAUUUGCCAAUAUAUGAAGUUUAUUGUUGCUGUUCAUUGAAGCCUAAAUAGUGUAUAGCUUGAAGAAAGGAUAUUGAGAAAAUGUGUACUAUUAGCGAGUCAGUUUAGCAUGACAGCGUAAUGAAAAAGGGUAUUGCAUUGCUGCAUACCUGUAUGCAUGCAUAUGGUAUCUCAUCAAUUCCUCAUAGACCCACAUGCACCUUGCAAGUAGACUUCGGCUCUUCUUGUUUCUUCUUCUUCUUAUUCUGGUAUGAUUUGGUGGGAAUGUGGGGAUACACCACCGGAUUUUGUUAGUUCUUUUGUUAUUUGUACGAGAGGUGUGGUUGUUUAUCCCCUCUUCUGUUUAAUAUAUUUAUAAGUAAUUAACCUCGUUCUUACGAGGCUUAAUCAAAGAAAAAAUAGUAUAUGUCAAUCUGCAUUUAGNNNNNNNNNNNNNNNNNNNNNNNNNNNNNNNNNNNNNNNNNNNNNNNNNNGCAAACUUUGAAGUUUAUUUGUCAUGUGAUCCGUAGCUCCUGAGUCUAUAAUCCAAUAGUCAUUCUCAGCACAAACAGUGAGAGCAAUAGACAAAGAUGAUAGAGUACCUGAAGCUUCUUCAUGUGGAACAAAACCAGUUUCUGCAAGAAACCCAGAAAAUUGUUUAAGGAUGGCAAAAUGGCUUUCGCUCCCAGACAUAUUCGCUUCUUUGCAUCUGGUUUGUAUCUGCUUCUUGUUAAGAUAGGCAGCAAACUCAUUCCAUGUGCUUGUAAGAUUACCCAGGCGUUUCACAGAAGGCUUCCCUUCUGGUUUAUUCACCUCCAUAGAACUAAAACACCGAUUUGGAUUCAUUCCAACAUCGGAAAACGAUAAGGGUACAAAAAACCUCUCAACAGAUCUCUCUUCCAUAAUAGGAUGAAGAAAUCAGAAAAUAAUCAGAGGAAAAGAACUCUGAACAGAUUUCCCUUUCACAGAGGAAAGAAGAAAUCAAAAAUAAUCAAGAAGACAGAGACAGGCUUUGGAUUCCUGCUCUGAUACCAUGUAGAAAAAACAGAAGGCAAAGCUUGCAGAAAUUUUCUGAUAUUUCUUCUUGGCAUGAAAGACUUUACAGAUCUACACUACAUAUAUGAGACUGAGAUAAAACAGAUCUCCUUUUCCUUUACAGACUCUUACACCCAAACCCACUCUUAAAGCAGACAACAAAGACAUAAGAAUAAGCUAUAAAGAGAAGCUAUACAAGUAAAGUACAAAGUAAAAGAUAAAGUGUAUAGUAAUAGGAACAGCUGGAAAUCCUAAGAAUAAUAGCCAAAACUCCAGCCAUACUUCCAGAGUACAAAUCAUGCUUCAACUUCCAAUAGAAUCUGAUGUUGCAAGGAAGGAGAAAGUCGGUCAUGCUAAUGAUACAAAAUGUUUAGCUCAGGUGAUGGGAGCAAAGAGAAGAGUAUAUUUCAAACUCUCCAUAAGGAAAUCGCAUGAUUUGAAAGCAAGAUUGAAAAUCAAGUCUGUCAAUGCAUUGGAAGAUCAUUUGAAUGCAAAACCAAUAUAACUGCAGCUGGAACCUAAUGAAGAAGGAGGAGAUGCCAUGUCGUUGACAUGUUUGAUGUAGGUAGAUUUCGACACUCAAAGUUGCUGCCGAAGCUAUGGAGACCUUAGCAAAGGGGGUCUCCUAGUUGCAAUCGUGGUAGCAUUCUGCUACUCUGUCAGUUGCUAUUAAGAAACAUGUAGGUAAUGGAGGUUGCGGAUGUGGACAUGAAGUAGAGCAAUGGAAAUUAAACGUUCCCACUUGAGAUCUGUCGCCGAUUACAUAGUUUAGUAGUUUUAUUCUGCUAUAUAGUACAACAAUGUUGAUAUGGCCGAGUUGGUCUAAGGCGCCAGAUUAAGGUUCUGGUCCGAAAGGGCGUGGGUUCAAAUCCCACUGUCAACACUCCACUUUUUAGUUUUCUUCUUCUGUUUUUUUGCUAAACCCUACAAAGCAACUAGAGAAGCCUUGGCCGGAAUAAAUCCCAGGCAACCAGCUGAUUAUGAACUCUCAAACAUACCCAUUAUAUUAGCCAAUGGUUUACCAUUGUUAGUGGUUACACCAGAUUAUCAAAUUCACAUAAUCUUGGUGUAUAAUUUGAAGGACAUGGGUUUGAUCCCAAAUCAUUCAAAGCCAAAUCUACAUCUCUCAUUCUCUCGUUAUGUUUGAUUACAGAUGGUGUCUAUAAUAAUCCAAAGCAUUAUGAUUUAUGAUCCCACCGACCCACACGUUGGAUGAACACAAUGCAUGCUUGCUCCACAUACAAUCAUUCUCCUCAAGUUUUAAAUUAGUGGGUUCACAUUUUUUCUUUUUUGCCUCUCUAUAUAAUCAGUAGCACCCUUUUUCCUCACCUGCACUAAUCAUUCCAUGUCCUGUUUCACCCUCAUGUAUAUCAAAAAGAAAGACACCCUUUUGGAGGUUUGGCUAUUGAUGUCCUUCCCAUCUGAUAUAGCUCACACAAAAUAUCCUAGCUCUCAAAUCUGAUAUUGUUUUUGAGCCGGACACGUGAACGGAGAACUUAAAUUGGUUUAUUUGGUAGACAAACAACUUAUAUUGGGUGGCGGGAGAGCAUGUGCGGCCGUUGAGGCUAGCGCGUGGAUAAUGUGCUUUGAUAAUGUGAAGGCAUAAGAGCAUCCUAUUCAAAACUAGUUAAGAACGAAUAAAGAGAUCGAAGUUCAUGUGAAGUGUUACUUUGCACCAAAACUUUUACAUACCAUAGCCUACAAGUACCAACUAGGUCCACUUAUGUGUUAAACCAAAAGGUGAUCCUGUUACAAAAAAAAAAAAACCAAAAGGUGAAGAUUAAUUUGAUGAAGAAGCUUUAAUAUCCCCUAAACUAUGCCAUUUUAUAUGGGGACAAGUUCCAUCUAUUAUUUAUGCUUCAAGCCAGAGGCCCUAGCAUUAUCACCAUCAACCUUGAACAACUAUAUUAUGUUAUUUUGAUUGGCCAUAACAGAUCAAUAGCAAAGUUUCUGAUAGAAUGAAGAUUGUGAGGGAUAAACAGCUUUUGCCUUCCUGAUGCUACUCAUUAUGAAAAUUUUAAAAACCUUUCACAACCUUUUCCAUGAAACAUGUAAGAACUGAGCUUUUGUUUUAUUUUGUUACUGCUGUGAGAUUCCAUGAACAUUUUGCUGCAUAUGAUCUUCUGACUGAAUAGACAAACAAACAGUCCAUAUCAGUCCAAACCUGAUUUUACCAUAUAUUCUUGUUGUCUUUCACAGACUACACCAAAGAGCCAAAGAGUACAGGUUACCAUAUAUGUGGCAAGCUGCUAGCAGUACUAUUCCUCUUGGACUCACGCAGGCACCUUGCUUUGAUUCAUUUGGCUGAAAAAUCAUAAACCAACGUACUAAUCUUAAACCAACUAAAGCACAGAACUGGAAAUCCCUAAGUGCACCCAAUACCUAUAGUGACUAAUCUAACUACUCCUAACUCCGGAGUUUCAAUACUCCAGAGACUAUAGAAUGUUCGACACUUCGCAUUUUGUAAUUAUUUUAUCAGUAACUCAGUACAUCUGGAUCUGUACGUAGCAGCAUUGAAGGAAGGACCACUAGCCAACUAUGAAGAAAGAAUCCAAUCCAUAUGCCAACUAUGUUGCAAUGUUGCAAAGCGCCAAAGGCUGUAAUAUGGUCAUGUUUAAUAAACUGUAAAGGGUGCAUAUGCCAUAUGGUGGAAUGAAUGCAUGAAUGAAUUGAUCUCAGUACAGAUUAAACUGGUGAUUCUGUUUGGCUUUGCUGUGCUUCUUGUUUAAAUGUUGUUCAUGACCUACCAGCAGGCACAAAGAAAGAAUUGAAUUGAUGGACGCAUCAUUACCACCUGAUCGACGCAAUCUUCGGCCAUAAUGGAUCCAACACUUGUCACAGCAAGAGCACUCGAACACUAUCGGCUACUUUUGAUCUAUUUCGGAAAUAAUGUAACAACACGAGUUUUUUCAUACUCAAAAUCAAUUGAUAAUUGUUAGAAAGACUCGUCACUCGUACAUAUGUUCAAGUUCUAAUAACACGCUUGAAUAAUGAAUACAUACAUAUUUCAAAGAGUUUUAUGAACUGCAGAAGCACUUCCUGCAAAAGCACAGACAAAGAUGCCAAGAAAUGUACAAGACUGGAUUAGAAUACAAUUAUCAUUGCUAAACAUAUAGUUUUAGUGGAUGCAUUGUGGUUCUCAUUAUAAACCUCCACUAUACUUGCCUUUCCACAUAAUUGAGACUUAAUUUAAGCAAAAGCUCUAUGUGGGUAGCUUUCACUCACCAUGAUUACAUCCCCCAAAAGCCACUGCAACAUCUCAGAAAUCCAGCAAUUCCUCCAAACCAAAAACCGUGUAAAAGGAAGAACUUUCACCGAAAAGUGUAAGAGCAGUUACGAAUUUCUUGACUUUUAGAAAAUAAAAAACCAAACACUCAUUAAAAGCAUUGGUUUCAAAGUCAUCACUAACCCCCUUUGUUCCUGCAUGGAUUCAUGUGACUUUCUCCUCACUCCAGCACUCCCUUCAGGCCCUUAAAACCAAUCCGUCAGAAAAUGAAUGAUUUGUGUCAAACUGAUGAAAGCUGGGAUGGGUUUCAGUUGUUUUCAUUGAAUUAUUGAAACUUUGGGAUUUGGGUGUGGGAUUUUGUGUUGGAAUAGUUUUGGUGGGAAUUCCAAACACCAAAAUUAAGAUGCGUUUUUAGUGAUAGUCUGAAAGACUGAAGCUUUGGGAUUUGUCUUGCAGAACUUGAGUUUGAGUUUUGCACUACAGGUGUUUGAGGAAAUGGGUGUUGUCACUGUUGGUGAGUUGAAGCCUAGCAUUUCAGGAAAGAGGUCUUUUCGUCCAAGCUCAAGUAUAAGGCAUGCCAUGGAAUGGUAACUUUCUAUUUCCAGACAUUCAUAUUUUACCUGCAUUUUUCUAAUUGUAUGUCACAAAAUUUACCAUUGAAUGGUAGGUGACAUCAACUUAAUAUUUUUUAGCUUAGUCCUCUAAAUUGGUUGCAGAGUUUUGGUUAAUGCAUUAACUUUGUGUUGCAUGUUCUUGCAUCUCUGUUUGGGAUUUUGAGUUGUCAAAGACAGAGUCUGGGUUUUUUGAAACACUCUUGUGGUCAUGAUUUCCAAGUUCUAACCUGCCUAAUCUUAGGCCCCUUUAAAUUUAAAUUUAUGGAAGACAACAAAACUUCAUGGUACAUCAUUAUGGCAUAUGAAUCCUGUAAACUUGAGCUUGGAGACAGUCUCAAAUCCAAACGACAUCGGCACGAGGUGUAAACAUGUUCAUUUUCAAUACUUCACUAUCAACACUGUGAAAUGCCAACUGCCAAACGCUGUGAAAUUUCCUGGUGAUGAAUUAUUUUUGUGCCUUCAACAUCUGUAGGCCCUGAAGGUAGUACGGACAAGUAGCACACUUGUUCUCUAAGCAUGACAAAUCUUCUGGCUUUAUAUGGGAGUAAGCAACAGAUUAAGGCAUUAAGCCAAAACCAGCUAGCUAAACCACCCCAAGGGACCCAUAUAGUGUCCCGGAAUUCUCUAUAGACAGGUGAAGUGAUCAAUUUGGUCCAUUUCCGGAGAAGAACAAGUUUCCGAAAAACCUCAAAAUCAACUUUCUAUCUUGGCAUAUCUAACAUGCAUUACUGUGCUAAAUGUAAUCCACUCAUUUUUUCAAUUAUUGAGUCGGCGAUUUACAGUCGGGUCAUCCAUAUUGAAUCCUUAGUAGCUAAGAGGAUCACACCAUCCAUAAGUUUUAAUGUGCUUACUGUACAUAGAUUGAACCCAAUUGUGUAUAAGUGAAUGGAAACUUAUAGAAGCUCAUGCAAGGUUUUUGAUAUGUUGGCAAAGAUCAACAACAUGUAUGCAUGCAAUUCUAAAUGAUGUCUGAAGUGUUCAAUUGUUUUUCUUCCCAUCUAACAAAAUUAUCUUCUGCAGGCCAAUCUCUGAUGUUUCUAGUGAUCUUACUGUCGAGAUAGGAGCAUCAAGCUUUGCACUUCACAAGGUAAGGAAAAUCUAUUCAGUACUAGUGACUUUAUUGUCCAAGGAAGUUCUAUAUAGAUUUAUGUUUACAGUAGCAAAAUAAUGAUCACCAUUGCCUAUUAUAUGAACAAAAGGAAUGUGGACUCUAUUGCAGUUUCCUCUAGUUUCUCGGAGUGGAAAGAUUCGGAAACUGUUGCUUGAAGCAAAAGAUUCAAAAGUGGCACGCGUAAUUCUUCCAUCCGUUCCUGGUGGAGCAGAGGCAUUUGAGCUAGCUGCAAAGUUCUGUUAUGGACAUAAUAUUGAGAUCACACAAGCAAAUGUUGCCUUUCUCCGCUGCACAGCUCACUUUCUUGAAAUGACGGAAGAGUAUGCUGAGAAGAACAUGGAAACAAGAACUGAAGCUUAUCUAAAGGAUAUGGUGUUCCCCAACAUAUCAAAAUCAAUAGCAGUUCUUCAUCGUUGCGAAACACUCUUGCCUGCAGCAGAAGAUAUCAACCUGGUUAGCAGGCUCAUCAAUGCAAUUGCAAACAAUGCGUGCAAGGAGCAGCUCACCUCUGGCUUACAGAAACUUGACCACAACUUUCCUUCAAAAGUAGCUUCUUUGGAACCUGAAACGCCCUCGGAUUGGUGGGGAAAAGCACUUUCAGUGCUUAGUCUUGACUUCUUCCAAAGGGUUUUAUCUGCAGUGAAAACCAAGGGUCUUAAACAGGAUAUGAUCAGCAAAAUUUUGAUAAAUUACUCCCACAACUCUCUACAAGGUCUUGUUGUAAGGGAUGCGCAAUUGGUCAAAGGAAGUCUACUGGAUCUAGAACUGCAAAGGAAACAAAGGGUCAUUGUUGAGGCUAUUGUUAGUUUACUACCAACACAAUCAAGGAAGAGUCCAGUGCCAAUGGCAUUUCUUUCGAGUUUGUUGAAAACUGCAAUUGCAGCAUCAGCAUCCACUUCAUGCAGAUCGGAUUUAGAGAGGCGGAUUGGUUUGCAGCUGGAUCAGGCAAUUCUUGAAGACAUCCUCAUUCCUACAAACUCACAGGGAAACAACCACAGCACAAUUUAUGAUGCUGAUACUAUAGUGAGGAUCUUCUCCAUAUUUUUGAACUUGGAUGAGGAUGAUGAAGAUGACACUAAUCUGUUAAGAGAUGAAAGUCAAAUGGUUUAUGAUUUCGACAGCCCUGGAUCUCCUAAACAAAGUUCAAUCUUGAAGGUCUCAAAGUUACUUGACAAUUAUCUGGCCGAAGUUGCAUUGGACUCAAACUUGUCACCAUCAAAGUUCACAGCUCUAGCAGAACUACUUCCAGACCAUGCACGCAUAGUAAGUGAUGGACUCUACAGAGCUGUGGAUAUCUUCCUCAAAGUGAGCAUCUCUAAAACUUUUUCAAUUUGUCCAUGCAUUUUUCUUUCAUAGUGUUAUAAUUCAUAUAUGGUUGUUUUUCUGUUUAUAGGUUCACCCAAACAUGAAGGACUCUGAAAGGUACCGGCUUUGCAAAACCAUAGACUGCCAGAAACUAUCCCAAGAAGCCUGCAGUCAUGCAGCACAGAAUGAAAGGCUACCGGUGCAGAUGGCAGUUCAAGUCCUAUACUUUGAGCAAAUCAGGCUGAGGAAUGCAAUGAAUGGUGGCCACAACCAGUUCUUCUUUGGCGCAAUAAAUGGUACUCAGUUCCCUCAAAGAUCAGGCAGUGGUGCUGGCAGUGGAGCCAUUUCCCCUCGAGACAACUAUGCAUCAGUUCGGAGAGAGAAUCGAGAGCUCAAGCUUGAAGUAGCCAGGAUGAGAAUGAGGCUGACAGACUUGGAGAAAGAUCAUGUCUCUAUGAAGCAAGAGCUUGUUAAGACACAUCCUGCAAAUAAGUUGUUCAAAUCCUUCACCAAAAAAUUGGGGAAGAUCAAUGCAUUGUUUGGGAUUAAUAGUAUCAAGACCUUGGGGGGUAAAGCACAUUCAGAGAGCAGAUUCCCGUUUCAGAAGCGUAGGCGUCAUUCGGUUUCAUAACUAUGUAGGAGUUUGAAUGUGUAGUAUAUGUACAACUACGAACAACAAGAGUGUAUACUAUAGUAUUAUAAGUAUAGAUAUAAGCUAGAGUGAUGGCUUCUAAUCUCAGUUUUCACAACUUUUUGAGUGUGUACUUGAUUCAAUUUGUUGUAUAACAUGCGUUUAUAUUAUAUCUGAAGUCUCCUUUUCAUUGCAAAUCAUGUUUCAAGCUACAUGCACUAGUUCAUAGAGUCAUUAUAUAGUUUUUUAUGAGGCUACUUAACAACAAGACUCUGUGGCCCAAUGGAUAAGGCGCUGGUCUACGAAACCAGAGAUUCUGGGUUCGAUCCCCAGCAGAGUCGUUAAGUUGUAUUUUUUAUAUUUUUGGUAAUUUUCUCUUUUAUGAGGAAAUAGUAAAACGGCGUCGUUGCUGUCUUGUUACUUUUAUGUUAUGUUGGCUGCGUGCCACCGUCGUCGAUUAACAGAAACGGCGGGUGUCUAGAGAGAGAGAGAUGAAAGUAUCUUCUAGAUGGCUGCGGUCGUUGCCCUUCUCCGGACUCUUCAGGUACCUCAUUCCAAUGACCCAAGUAUUUGCUUUAUUCAGAUUUUCAGAAAGUUCUUUUCUUUUUGUUGUGUUUAAAUUUCAAAGGGGCUAUGGAGCUAGAUUGAAUAUGAACCCAUUUGAUAGAAACCCAGUAAAACCCAAUUAGAGAUACCCAAUUUAUUGCAUCUGAAUUGCCCCAUAAGAGUUGCAAGCUUGAAUCUCUAUGUAAAUGGAAAAAAGGACAUAGAUUGUUUGAUUGUGUUUGUUACAAUUGAAACUGUAUAGUUCACAUUUUCAUCUAAUUGUAGAUUUAUUACAUGUGUUGUGGUCAUGAAAGAUAGUGCAAGUCAUUGUAAGGCUCCCAGUUCACAAAGCUAAUACCUUUUGUAAGAAUAAUGGAAUUUUAGGUUAGAGAUCAAUUUUUGCUUAGAAACCUGCAAAUGGGGAUUAUUUUGGAUGAUAGUGAGAGCUCAGUGCUGUGGGAAAGAAUUCUAGGAACCCAUAAGCAGAACUUUCCGCAGUUUUAAUAUCGGAAACUUCAGAUGUCUAUGUCUAUAUUUUUGUACCAAUAAUUUUCAUGUCCCUUAAAUUAAGCAGCACGAAUUAUGAUGUUCAGUUGUGCACUUACACUCCCUGCAUUUGUUCUCUUACUAAGACAUGUUGUAGUUCAUUUUACAUUGAAUUGGGAUUGUGCUUCUUAUUGCAUAGGCAGCUGGAGCAGGAGAUGGAAACUGUGGUGACAGUGCUGCAACCUGGUUCAUUGGGAAUUGUAGAACACAAGUUUUCUGCUGAGGAGAUACACAAGGCAAAUGCUAUGGUUCAAAAGGCAGUGCAGAACUGGCGACGGAAUGCAAUCCUAGAGAAGAGAAAUGGCAUCUUAGAAGAGUAUAUACAGAAGUGAAAGAUCUUAAUCCUUCUGUCGUAGGUAAUCGGACAAUCAAACCAUGUUUCAAGAGCAUUCGUUUCAUAAAAUUUUAAGAUAGGGCUUCUACUUGUUUUCUCAUUUCUCUCUUUUUGCUAGAACUUGUUAUAAAUAGGCAGGACUUAUGUUUUUCUCUUCAUAUCGUACAUUUUACAAUAUGAAAAAACAAAUGCUUCAUUUAGUUUUGUUUUGAUUAUUACUUCUGUUUUUUCUGAAGAUGAUAUGUUUUGGACACAGUUUGUUAGGCAGUGAUAACGUACCAAAAUGGUGUAUAUAAUAUGUUGAUUGUAAUAAGGAUAACAAUCUUAGACGAGGUACUGAUUGUUGGGAGAAUGUAAAGUAUACAGGAUCAGGAUACUAGUUCCCAAACCAGAACAACGAAAUCAAUUUGUGGUCUAGUACCGUGAGUUUACAGUGAUAAUAAUAGAUUUAGUUAUUGACAAUUGUGUAUAGCCAGUAUAGGUGAUGACAAAUGAGUUAAAGAGGAAGAAGAACAAUAUAUAAGAAGAAUAAUCAGGUAUAGGAUCAAGCACUCUACGUACUUUAUUUAAUGUAGUAAUAUAUUGCAACCAAGAGGGAAAAACCUCACCCAGCUCUGCUCUUCUAAAUAAGAACUAGUAGUACAAGAUCAUAAAAGUUUGCCAGCCACAGCUAUAUAGAAUAUAGAGUACAACAUAUUCACUCCUUAAUACUAAACCCAAUGGAUCCGGAGGGAGGGAACACGAAAACGUACUGUUAUUUGGAGUCAUGGUUAUAAAGUAAAUAUAACUAGAGUAGUGUAUAAAUACUACUGUUGAUUCCAAAGCCAAAUGGCAUUGGCCGCCAGGAGCUUAGGCGCAAGCUGGUUUCUGAGUUGCAGGGUCAUGACCUGAUUAGUUCCACCAACGAACUGUUGGCCUAUGAAAACAGCCGGCACACAAGGCUCGCAAUUCAGCUGCUCAACCAGUACCCUCUCUAUUGCUUGCCCAUUUGGGAUUUGAUCAAGCUCAUACACUGUUGGAUUCGCCCCGUACCCCGUUAUCAGCGACACGAUGGAGUGGCUCAUAUCACUUGUGCUCCUGCUGAAGAUCACCACUGGCUUUCCGGCCACCAUGCUUGUUAUCAUAUCCAUUUCAGAAAAGCUACACUCUUUCAGUAGUUUGAAACUUUGAAAUGCGGGUGUUAUAUAUGAUGGAAGUGACUCUGUGGAGGUGAUGAUGAACUUUGAGCUCUCACUCGGGUCUAUUUAUAGAGUGGUGAUCGGGGCAAUAUUGUUUCUCAACCAGAUAGAAUGAUUAGUGAUUGGCCGUACCAAGGAAUAACACAUGAUAGAUUACCAAAAAGUCUUUUGAUUCUCAUUUUAUCCUUUAAAGAUUUUUAUGCGUGAUUACUCGAUAAUGACUCAACAUGAGCUCUUUGCACGUCCGUUCACUUGGUAACUCUGGGUUUCAGUUUCACACAGUUAGAUCGAUGCAUCAGUCACAUUUGCAUAGCUUUUCUUUUCUUUUCUGUUUUGGCCAAUCCAUCUCUGCAAAAUUAGUUCUCGCUCUGCAUGUCAAUGUAUUAUGCAUGCAUAGAGCACUGGCUUGGAAGAAUCGUAGCUCAUUCUGAGACCAGCAGAUUUCAAGAGAGGAGGGGAGAUUUGAAGAUCUUUAGCUAGAAAUCACAAAUGGAUGCUGUCAAGUGUCUCAUGGAGUCGUGAAAGAACUUCUUAAUCCCAAGUUUUUAUUAUAUUUUAUUUGUGUCCAUAUAAAUUCAUACACAUCUAUGAAUCGAUACUACUAUUUGCUUUCAUAUACUUUAUUUUUUCUUUGAGUGUAAAACUUUAAAAGACGAAUCUUAUUUACAAAAACAUUUAGACAUGACGACACAUUGUUUAGAUAAUGUAAUAUAAUUUAGAUCAAAAUAGAAAAGUUGCACUUUUGACCUACAUAAAUCUAGUAUGUCCAUUGUCAUUUUGUCAGUACGAACAUACGUAUGUCUAAUUAUUGGACGGAUCAAUUCGUCAUUGAGAGCGACAAUUAGCUUAGAGUUUUUGAAAGCAUGCACACAACUGGUAUAUUUACAAAGGGGGAGAAAUUAAUAGUAGAAAUGAUAUGCAAUUAAGCUAGCUAGCUAGGGUUCUAUUUGAUUGGAGCAUAUCUGUCAUAGAAUAUACUGAUGUGUGGAAGGAAGAAGCUAGGGUUUUCGAGAAAGCUAGGGAAAAGAUUCUCUCAAAUUUUCUUUUCUUGUUUUACCAAAAACUUCUCCAAUUCAGUCGAAGCAGCAAACCGAAAGGCAUAACCUGGUGCUUAGAAAAACAAGUCAAGAUGGAUUUUGAAGGAUUGCUUUGUCUGUAAGGAAAGGCUCAUUGAUCUGCAUGCGCUUCUCCAAAUUUGAUUUCCCGUACAGGAAAGGAGAUCGAAGCUAGAUACCUCAAAGGACCUACCACCUUAUCAACAACAAUGCCACUAGCUAAAAUAUUCUCUGUCGUAUCUAAAACAUGUUAUUUGCCGCAAUUAGUAUAUGUAAAAUGUGGUUCUCUCUUCAAGAGCAUAAUAUGCAGUAGAUGGAACCAGUUGUUGUGCAACUUCCAAUUUGCGUUUGAAAUUAAAAGCUACGCGUGCAAGUCCUUUCGAUAAUAUAAUAUUUAUUUCUAAAAAAGUUUGAUUUGUCUGCAGGUAUAUAAUUAUCACAAAAUCAUAAUGAUUGAUUUUAAUUUCAUGACCCUGAUUCCUGAUCGAGCUAGCUCACAUCAUCUACCUAGCUAGCUCGAUUAAUAUGUAAAUCAAAGAGUACGUACGUACUCUAGAGAGAAUGCUCGGGUUGGAACUUGGAAGAACGUCAAUUUGAAAUUCACUUUAGUUUUCUGGAUAAGUGGGGACUGUACUUCUGUUUGUUUCAUUCGGCCAAAGGUGGAUAACAAUUUCUUCUCGCCAAAAAAAAAAAAAGGUGGAUAACAAUUUCUACAACAUGAAUACAUACAUAAUAUACACCUGCAAUGCAAGAACGGUUCCUGACAUCACAUAUUUCCCUUAAUUUUUUGACUUAGUUCCUGAUUCGAUCACUGUUCUUACGUUUCUGAAGUUCUAAUUAUACGGAGCAUUACAAAUCCUUUUUAUUUUGUAAACUGAUUUAGCCAGAAUUCAAUCCAUGUUCAAGUGCAAUACAGCAAUCUAUCAGGAAGUGAUUGAUGUGGAACGAAAUGCCCUAAGCGAAGUGGGGACUGUUUAGUUUUGUGGACAACAAUAUUGGCCAAGGUAUGUGGAUAACAAUCUCUAGAACAAAAGAAUAUAUACACACUUGCGCGCUAUGCACGAACGAUUCUUGACAUAAACCAUUGACGUCAUUGUUUGACGUAAAUAAUGUAAUUCCUGAUCAUCAUGUAAGUUUAUACUUAUAGGUGAUAUUAUCUAUGGUAAAAUUUUGCCAAAUUAACAAUUCUCACGUCUCUAAAUUUAUAAUCAUCCGAAGUUUUAACAUACUUCUUAGGUAGAUAUAAGUUGUAUUUUCAUUGAAAUGCAGCAAAUCUAUCACAAAGUGAAAUAAAGCAAAAGGAAAUUCUCUAAGCUAGGCGUAUAUAUCAAGUUCAAGGAUGUAAUGUUGCUUUCGACUUUACCAUAUAUACAAGACACACCUUGAUAGAUCAUCUUCACGUGGCGCUCCCUAUCCAUAUUUUGGUGUCGUAAUUCCAAGUGUGUUAAUAUAUGCCACAGCAUCGUUCAAUUGGGACGUCUGCAAUGCAUGCAUGGAACACACGUGUUUACUCACAUAAACUUUGUCGGCACCGUCGGCGCCCGCCGGAAUCAGCUACCCUCAAUUUUCUAGGGCAUUUACCUCAUUUGCAUGGCUCGAAUAUUUCUUUGUUCAGAUCCUAAAUGAAAUUUAGUUGAAAUUGGAAACAGGUCAAACGUUAUAUAUGGAGCUACAAUUGAAUUUGAACUCGAUCGAUCUCUGAGUUUAAUUUCUGCAAGACCUAAAAUCUCUGGGGAUGAGCUGGUAGACUAGAGAGAGUCUGAUUUAGUUUCCUUAGGGUUUAUUCGAUCGGUAGUUCUCGUAAUCUGCAGAAGGUUAAUUACCUAGCUAAUUUAAUGCGUCUAGAUUUCCCAUAUCAAACAAGGGCUCGAGCAUAAGCUUUGUAUGAAAAAGAACCGAAUUUUUAAGGCACUUAGGGACCAAUCCUAGAUUUAAAACCUGCAAAACCAGGGAUUGACUGGAUCAUAAUCGAAAGAAAAUGAUGAAUCUAUGAGAUUAGCAAAUAAUCGAAAGAAAAUGAUGAAUCUAUAAUCGGAGUGGUAUGAUGUCUCAGUACUGUGGGGAGAGAAGAUUAGCAAAUCUAUGAGAUUCAGCUCAGUACGUAACUGUCAAAAACUUCUUCCGAUCUCACAGGCCAAGCUAUGUUCAAAUUUUCUACCAUUGAAAUUCUUGUCCCUGAAACCUAAUAAGCAGCACAGUGCAUGAUGUUCAAUUUAUUGUCAGAUCAUAUAUAUUUCAUUCCAUAUAUCAUUUGGUACUGUCUUCUGUUUCUGCUUCUUAUUGCAUAGGCAGCUGGAGCAUGAGGUAUAAACUGUGGUAACAGUGCUGCUGCAACCUGGUCCGUAUUUGGGAAUCCUAAACAAAAGUUUCUGCUGAGGAUUAUUUAAGGGGAUAAGCAAGGAAAAUGCUACAGUUGCUGUUAAUUUGUACCAUCAAUUUCAUCAUCUGCUCAACUAGUACCUUAUCUAUAAUUACUUGGCCAUUUGGGAUAUGAUCGAUCAAGCUCAUACAGUGUUGGAUUCGCUUCAUCAAUUUCAUCAUGUGCUCAACUAGUACCUCAUCUUUUGCGUUAUUACUGACCUGAUGGAGCUAGUGACUCAUGCAAGUUUACAUAGAAGAUCCAUCACGGCCACCAUGCUUGUUAUUGUAUCUAUCGCAAAAGAUAAACUUGUUCAGUAGUUUAUAACUUCGAAAUGCAGUUGUUACUCUAUAUGAGGAAUUAUUGAGUUUAUGGAGAUUAUAAAUACAGAUCUCUCGGCCUGAUCGAUAUAUCAACGUAUAGUGUGGAGAUCAUGGCAAUCUUGUUUCUUUUUUACUGAUCGAAACAAACUACGAUAUAUGGACUAACAUGAUCAUAGAUAGCCAAAAAGUCAUCUGAUUCUCAUUUUAUCCUUGAUGAUCUUUAUGCUUACUAGAUAAAGACCUCUCUGGCUCUUGCCUCCUUGCACAUCCAUUAACUAGGUAAAAUCUUUAGAUUGAUGGACCAUGAUGAUGGAUCUGCAUCAAAUUUUAUUCAAUUCCUUUGCACAUCGAUCCAUUUCCUAGUUCUGUGACUUCGAUUUGUCGAUGCAGUAUGUUCACGUUAGCUUGGAAUAGACUGUUAAGUCAUUCCUUGACACAAGAAAGAUUAAAACCGGUGAUCAGAGAGUUUGAAGGUUUUCGAUAACAAAAAAAGAAAAGAAAAGAAGGGUCACUACACAAGGAUGCUGUCCGUACAGAAUACAGUCGAUCAGAUGUGUCGUAACUUCAUAAGUCGAUCAUGAAAGAAUUUCACUUGAUUGUGGAAUGUGGAAGGAUGAAUCUAGCGUCAUAUUUCAAAUGUCAAUGUCCGUACGUAUCACACUUUGCUCAAAAAUAUUUCAAGGGCAUGCAAUGGCAAUAUGGCAUAUAUAUUCACAAGGGACAAAUAGUAGCAGUGCAUGAUUAUGUACGUAAUUAUAUAUGCAAUUAAGCUAGCUAGCUAGGGUUUUAUCAAAUUAAUAUAUAGAUUCUUAUUUGCUGAAGUGCAAAAGGGAAAAUAGAUUCUCUUCUAAUUGGGUAAGAUUAGGGUGUGUUAAUACAUGUGAUACAUCAAUUUUGUCCUCAAGUUGUAAAAUGAGCUCUCAAAGUUGUAAUAUGAGUUGUUAAAGUUGUAAAAAAAAAAAAAAAAAAAAUUAAGUUACAACAUUAGUCCUAGCCUCAUUUAUCCUUAAAGUGGUAAUUGAGUCCUUAAAGUUGUAACAACUUUUUUUAUAAUCACUUUGAAGANNNNNNNNNNNNNNNNNNNNNNNNNNNNNNNNNNNNNNNNNNNNNNNNNNNNNNNNNNNNNNNNNNNNNNNNNNNNNNNNNNUAACUAACUUUUUUCGUAUAAAUUCGUUCUCAGGGAUAGCAAGGGUUAUAGCUAUCCUGAAUAACAAAUACACAGUGACAAUAAAUAAAAGUUGCAGUAAAAUAACAAUGAACACCAAGAUGUUUUUUUACUCGCAGAAACCCUACAACCAGAGAGAAAAACUGCGUGUCUCUAACUCUUGAGAGACAAAACUUUCCACUAAGUUGAAGUAACUUUUUACAAGAAUAAUAGUUCUAGUGAUACACUACCACAGUGCUAUCCUUCCUAGUCCCAAACUAGUCUAGACCUAUUCCCUCUCUUGUUUCUAAGCUCUUACAACAUGGAACAUUUUUAGAAGUCUUGUUCGUGAAUUCAGCUAACCACUAGCAGAUUCAACUUUGAACGCUUCUCAGAAGUUUCACUCUCAGAAACUCAGCUAUCCUAAACUGAUUCUUUCAUGAACCCAGCUACCUCAGCGGGAUACAUCAGAACUCAGCUAUCCUCAGCUGUUUCUUUCAUGAACACUUCCGGGAUUGCUGCACUACCAACUGAUCUCAUGGUAUGCAGAAUGCAAUGAGUUUGUGAGAAGAGGAUUUGUUCAGCUCUAAGGUUUAUAAUCACAAGAGGAAGACUUAGAGACUAAUGAACAAUACAAAUGAAAAACCAAAACCCAACAAUAAUGCAAUGACUUUGUGAGAGAAGGUUUUGUUCAGCUCUAAGGUUUAUAAUCACAAAAGGAAGAUUUAGAGACUAAUGAACAAAACAAAGGAAAACCAAAACCCAACAAUGCAAAUGUAAAAACUACAUUUUGACAACCAUUGAGCAAAGGCAGCCUUGCUCAAUAUAUACAAGCUGAUGGAGUGCUCUAACAAGAGAGAGACACAAUCCAAAGAGGUGCCACAAAAGGGCAAGCACGAGGGCCAAAGCAAGGAAAGGCUUUUUGGACUUUUGUCCUUGGCCAAACUCAGAAAGUGAGAGGACAUAUGCAGCUGUCCAUGGCCAAGAGAAAAGACAAACAAAACUAUCCUAAACAAUGUUUGAUUUAAAAACAAGAGACAAAGGUUUUGCAAACUUUUUCCCAAAAGCAUAAUACCAUAAUGGUUUAGCAAACCACUUUUCUCUGAUAUCAAACAAAGACAGCUGCAAAUAUUGGUUUGUGUAUCACAAACACAGCAAACCACAGCUGGAGCCUAAAAGCUAAAACAUGGGUCACGGGUUGAGAUAAAGGCAUCAAACCCUAGACUAAUUUAAGCACCAAGGCAUGUCUUUUACCUUAGUUGUCAAUUUGAAAUUCAAAUGAGGAUCUCACCCAGACAUAGUUCUUAUGGAACAAGGGUAAAGAAACUUAAAUAUAAGACAACUGAACAAAAGAUCAAAAAAGCUGGAAACCCAGAUUUUAGGAUGGCAAGUGAUACUGCUAUCCUCUGUGAAAAACCAUGAAAUGCACAUGCAUGAUUUUACCUGAGUUCCAUGAGAUCAUGUUGGUUCUUCUAGUUCUUCAACUUGUUCUUAAGAUGUGCAAGACCAAUCUCUCAAUUGCUUUAGGCUUCAUAGGUUGUGUUUUGUUCUAUAUAAGGAUUGCCAACAACCUUAUACCUUCAACACAUGAUGACUAAUGUUGUAACUAGAAAAUUUUACAACUUUAAGGACUCAUAUUACAACUUCGAGAACUAAUAUUACUAGUUUGAGGACUCAAUUUACAAAGUUGAUGCACCGCAUCAUUCACAUACAUUAACACACUAGCCUUACCCGUUUAAUUCCUCUUAUAUUUUAGAACAUUUAGCCCAAUCUUACUCUCAACUCUAUUGUAAGAACCCACCCCGAAUUUUACCCUAAAACCCGGAGUAAAUCCUGCGGGGACCACCUCCAAGGAAGAUAUUACCGAAAAUUCGGCAUAACCUCCCAUGAAAAUGGACAACCCUUCCUAACGAAAACCUGCAAACACUCCUAAAAAUUCUCAAGCCAACCUUAACUUCUAGAGCCUACGUGCUCCCCAAAAACAACCACCACCAAUAACAAUAAAAAGAUCAACUUCCAGAUCAAUCACAUAAUUAUCCCGCUAAAAUAGCAUACAUCUUCCUUGAAAUAUUCUAAAUGUAAUCAAGCCUUCGUCCACAACCGAAAUAAUGUCAUACAAUAUUCCCAAGGGAAAAUCAGAGCUACUAGACACUAGAGGAAGCAAGAAAAACACUGGUAAGUUAAAUAGAUAACCUACUGAUGAAAGGUGGUGGAAAUGCGGGUGACUCUGCCUCGCCAUCUACUAGAUCUAACCCGAACUCUGCAGACUGGGCAUUUUUAAAAAGAAGGGCCCAGGGGAAGACAUUUGAAACCGUUAGAGUGAGUGGACAAAAAUAAAUUUAAAAAGAAAAUAAAUCUUUAUACUUUCCCGAUUUAACUUCUGUGGAAAAACAAUUAACGAUAUGCAACAAGCUCAAAAGCUUUUAAAAAUUUACCGAAUUUACCGAAACGUGACUAGCCGCGCUAGUCACCAACACUUCAUAAAAAUAGAGCCUCUCAGGCUAAAAUAAAAUAUGUAAGUAUUACACUCGUCAUAUCCCUUGUAUGAAUUUUUUGAAACAACAAAGACAAAUAGAAAAUUCACACAAGGUUACGACGCUUGCGUCUAACGCUCACGUCGUACCAUAAUGGCAUUUUACCUCAUUAUGGUGGAAAAGACGUUGUAUAAAUAUAUACGCGCAUAUCCCCUAUAUAAAUUAUUAUAUUUAUAUAGGGCUACGACGAUUGCGUCUAACGCUCACGUCGCACCAUAAUGACAUUUUACCUCAUUAUGGUGGAAAAGCAUGUAUAGCUAGCUAGCAUUCCUUCAUAUACAUAUUAUUCUCAUAAUCAUCCAAAUAUGGAUAUGUAUAUAUAUAUAUACUCACCGAAAUUCUCAAUUUCGGUUAUUCUCCAACAACAUAAAUUAUUUCGCAUGCACAUUAUUUAAAACAAAAGUCCACUCACAAAUUAGGCCUAAGCCUGAUGUCGAUGCCUCCUCACGACAUGUUCCAAAUAUAAUAUUAAUUUCCUAGCUGAAAUUCCAAUAUUUACACAAAAUAGGCAAAAAUUAACCGAGAGCCCUAAACACGCUCAUCAUUGCCUAACUUCGAAAUUGUCCACACCUCAACCCUAGAACCAGCAGCCGUAACUACACUUUCUCACAGUUUAAACAACUUUAAUCCAACGGCCAGAUUCUACAUUAAUUAACUGCCAAAAAUACCAAACUUCGGAAAUUUACAAACCUAACAAAAACUCCUCCAAAAAUUCCAUAAUUCACAUCAAUAAACUCCCCUUAAUAUUCCACAUCUAAAACCAUUAAAAUCUCCCAAACAGCGGCGGCCGGAGGCCGACUCCGGCGACUUCCAAUGCCAAUGAAAUUUUGACAGCAUCUUCCUCUCAACCCCUUAUACAACUUUCCUAACUAGCACAAACAUCAAUUCCAAGCCUAACUAGGGCAAUCGAGCAAAAACAACACAAAAAGCCCUAGAGCUUCCACUCACCGGUUCUACUCACCUUAAGCAAACUGGACCGAGUCCUUCUAGGGCAAGGCAACUAGGUUGGAGACCUUCAAAACCAUAUAAGGCUUGCCCGGAUUGGUGGCCGGAGGAGGAAGUUCCGGCGAGAAAACCACCACGACAGCUAGCGUUUCCGGGCGUCGUUUCUCUCUCACGGCGGCGCUAGGGGGGCUGUCAUUAGUCCAUGGAGGUAGCUGGGUUGAAGGCUGACCGAACGGGACCGGACCGGUGGCGGAUGGUGGCCGGACGGCGACGGACGGACGGCGAGAAGAUCCGACAGCGGGAGAGGGAGUGAGUCGGGAGGGAGAGAAGAAGAGAGAGAGAGAAGAAAUGAGGUUUGGGUCUCCACCAAACCGAUCCAACCCUUUAAAACAAAACCCAACUCUAAAAUUUACACCUCAAAAAUAAUACCCUAAUAAAAAUUACCUUUUACUAGCUAAAAAUUUACCAUUUUUUACCGUCGUUAAUAUUUUCUCCUACGAAUAAUCCUCUGAAAAUAACCGUCCCCUAAACCCCUCUAGGGACCAAUUCAACUAUAACCUCAAUGACGGAGACGGUAAAAUUCUUAUUAUAACCAAGCUAGUAAAUAAGGUAAAAAUUUAAGGGUCGGGAUGUGACAUUUAUUGUCACAUGCACCUUGACCCGGAAAUUGAGAAUAAUUUUUUUUUUCCAGGGUAAGGACGUGAAUAGCCUCGAUUUGUCAAAAGAUAAGAGAGAACCUUUGACAAAUAAAAGCUAUGUGAAAAACUUUAUUUCAUAAGUAUUGUUCUCACAACAAACAGGAAAGUAGCCUGAUUACACAAACUUAAAUAAAAAACAGUAAGCUAUAGAUUCACUCCUCCUCCUAGACUUCAGAUUCUUUCUAGACAUCAAGUCUUAUCCCUCAAGUGUAACAUCUGAACAAAUUCAUAAAGGGGUGAGCCAAAAGACUCAGUAGAGCAAAUCUCAUGCACAUAAUUUCAAUAUUAGUGUAUGCACAUAAUUUUAUGUUUCAGUUGCUGGUACUCUUGUACUCUUCUUGGUCACCAGUGUCUUCUUACCAUAAGAUCGUUUUAUUAAUAUAACAUUGAAAGGGCUUUUCUCCCUACAUGUAUAUAGAGAAAUUUUUCUGUCCUCCAGGAGGACCACGUCAACAUGCCUAGUGGUCAUCUUUGGCCAAUAGGAAGCGGUUAUGUAGUAUUUUUUGACAUGUAAUAAUAAAGUAAAAUAAUUACUGUAUUUAACUUAAGUAAAUCCAACCUUUUCUUUUAAAAAAAACUGAAGGAAAACCAAACAAGAUCAAACAAAAAAAAACCCAAGAUACUAGGGUUCAUCUCAUACCUACCUUACUAGUAAAAAAAAAAAAAAAAA